rnacentral:lncRNA from 1 species
UUUGGAAAUUGAAGACAACUAUCGUCUAGUUGAAGAAUUGGGAAAAGAAGCAGAGGAGUUGCAAAUAUUGGAGUGCAGGCUUGAAUAUCUAAAGUUUAAAAAGUGCGAAAAUCUUUUGAAGCUACCAAAAGGAUUAAAUCAGCUGUCGUCUCUUCAAGAGCUUCGCAUACACGAAUGUUCACGUCUAGUUUCUUUCCCAGAUGUAGGUCUGCCACCUUCUCUUGAAAACGUCGAGAUUAGAGAGUGCCAUUCGUUGAUAUAUUUUGCAAAAUUCCAGAUUCCCCAAAAUCUCAAAAGAAUAGAGAUAAGAAAGUGCAAAAGUUUGAAAUCACUAGUGGAUGAGGAGGCUGUUGGUUCUUCUUGGUCGUCUUCUUCUCAUAUUUGUCUUGAGUACUUGAAGAUCGAAGGAUGUGAAUCUCUGACGUCGUUAUCAUUGAGUGGCCAGCUUCUCAGGACACUUAAACACCUUGAGAUACUUGGUUGUGAACAACUGGAGCUAAUCGCAGAGGACGGGUUCUUCCACGACAACACUAAUUAUUGUCUUGAAUACCUUAAUCUCUGGAAGUGCCAAAAUCUGAAAUCCUUACCGGAUGGCUUAUGCCACCUCAGCAAUCUGAGAAAGCUAUAUAUUCAAGAUUGUGGAAGUCUUGUUUCUUUCCCGAGACUGAGCGGGGGGAGACUACCCUCCAACCUGAGAGAGAUCCAGAUCACCAGUUGCGAGAAAUUGGAGGCGUUGCCUGAAGACAUGCACAAUCUCAACUCUCUUGAGGAAUUGAGGAUCGAGUACCGUGAAGGUUUGACUUUUCCUUCCAACCUCACGUUUCUUGAAAUUUGGAAGGUAAGGAGCUGUAAGUCAUUUUGGGAGUUGGAAUGGGGGUUGCACAGACUCACCUCUCUUAGAUACUUGUGGAUCGGAGGUGAAGACCCGGAUACGGUGUCGUUUCCACCCGACAUGGUCCGGAUGGAGACGCUCAUUCCCAUAUCUCUUACUCACCUCACAAUAAAAGGCUUCCCGAAUCUGAAGAAACUGAGCAGUAAAGGCUUUCAACUCCUCACCUCCCUUCAAUCUCUGCAUCUCUGGAAUUGUCCAAAGCUAGCAUCCAUUCCAGAGGAGGGUCUGCCUCCUUCACUAGAGCGACUUACCAUCUCUGAGUGCCCAAUGCUAAAAGAGAGAUGCCAACCAGGAAAAGGACGCUACUGGCAAAAUAUCCCACAUCCCUAAAAUACAGAUCGAUUGACAGCCGAUUUGAAGCUGAUAGUUGAUUCGAUCCCAUUCUCUAGGUCCAGGUAUCAUCUUCUCAAGGAAUGUUUUGUUAUUAUUAUUAUUAUCCACAAUAUUUGUUUUUUAUUUUUUUUAAAUUUAUGUCCUUCAUGUGGCUGAAGAUUUUCGGGGUUUCAUGAGUGGCUGCUUUGGGAGACCUUCAUUUGGCUCACACAGUAGAGCUGGUUCUGUCUUGCUUUGAGGGCGAUUCUUUGACGACAACAACCAUGGCUAUUUCUGGGCCAAGGUUUCUUCUCUCGCGUUCCUCGCAACACUAGUUUAUUUGGAGCCCAUGGGAUCUCAGAUCGAGUUGAGUGAGCAGGAUAGUUUUGUUGAAUUUGAAUAUGAUUUCCUGGCGUGGGGGGCAGAGGACUGGAAAAACUGGGAAUCUGGUGUGGUGGGAAAAAAAAAUGCAUGAAAUCGUUUGAUCUUGAAGGGACCAUUUGGAUCUCCACAUGGCCAAUCCUUGGAUUUGAUUGGUUCUGAUGAUACAAAAGCCUGAGCUUGACGGGUUCGUUAUGCAAACAGAUGAUGAACCAACUAGCAUUGCUGGAAAGGGAAAUAGCUUUGACGAGUGAGGAUAGUCAUAGUUGCUCGAGAAAGAAACUUUAUGAUAUUGGUCAGGCGUUUUAUGGAAGGUCAAGAGGGUGUGGAUAUGAGGACCAUAUAAGUUGCAUAAUUUUCCACAUCUCUACCAGUCUCUUCCAACUGGGCUUCUAGAGGGUGUGGAUAUGAGGACCAUGAAUGGUGCUGUCAAGCAAUUAGAGGAUGGUCUGAAACUUGAGCGGUCAAGAAUGGAGCAGGAGAAUAUGAAGCAGUUGGAGCUGCAGAAAAUGGAAAGAAGAAGAGAGGAAGAAAAAAGAGGCUGAUAUGGCAUCAAAGAAGAGACAAAGGGAAUAGGAAGAAAGGAAGGAGAAGGAAAGAAAAAGAAUGCGUGUUGAAGCUCGUAGACAGCGGAGAGAACAUGAAGACAAGUUACCUGCUGAAAAACUAGAGAAAGAAAUGAAAAACCACUCCACUGUAUGAUUCUUUAUGCUCUGCCUCAUUUCAUAUAUAUUUUGCAAUGUUAGAUUUCACAUUCUAUAUUGGGCUUUCUUGUAUAGGAUGGAAGAAGCCCUGGCGGUAAGAAAUUUAAAAUGGACAAAGAAAGGGGAUUUGACAAUUCCAGAAAUAUUUUGGAGACUGAGCCUAGUACUUCCAGGAUUUCAAUAAGCAAUGCCAGAAGAAAAUAUUAUCCACGAAAAGUUCCAUGAGGCCUCGAGUAGUUAUGGAUAUAAAGCAGAGGUAAAUGCUAAUGACUUUUUAACAAUCGAUACCCGCCAUAUCUUAGGAUCUAGUUGCAUAUGUUGAGUGCUUUUACUUGCAUAGGCAGGAGCAGAGUGAUAAACUGUGAGCAUAGCAUGAAUUAUAAUCCUCUGUUGUUGAAGUUUGCAUACGACCUCUAAAUUUGUUGGGUUGAACCUAUUUUGAGGCCUUCUUUAUACCAGGAAAUAGGGCUACACUCGCCUAAGUGCAAGAGUUCUCUUCUUUUAAAACUCCUAAUAGCUUAUUGUAAACUCAAGUCUGAACCACCUUUAGAAAGUUUUUCAAGUCUGAACCACCUUUAGAAAGUUUUCUUAUUCAUGAAUAGCUGCAUGCUGUUGUGCACUUUUACCUUGUCUGUAAAGCCUCUCGCUGAUACUUCCUGUGAUAUUUAAGGUACCUAGCAAUUUAGACAGAGAAAUGGAGAAUUCACUUGGCAUUACAAGUCAAGUGCAGUAUUAUGACAUCUCUGCAUACAAAGAAUCUGAUGAUGAAAACGACGAUGACGAUAAUGUCAUACCAAAUAGUAAAUUUAUUCCUUCAUGGUUAAGGUAUGUUUUUCAAUUGUUAUAUAUGAAAUAUGAUCUUCAAGUUAAAGAGCGUCACAAUCAUCUUGGUGAUAUGUAUCUUUAGCGAAAGGCAUAGAUUGUGUACCCUUUGAAAGUGUCAACUCAGCUGCGCUAUAAAAUAUCUGUUGUUUGGUUCUUGUUUUGUGCAGUAAAAACUGCCUGGCUUUUGCCGUUUCUAGCCAGAAUAGAGCAGAUCCAAAGACGAUAUUCGCCCCCCCCCCCCCCCCCCCCCCCCCCCCCCCCCCCCCCAGAAAGCUUUUGCUGCAUCUCUGAAGGUACUUUUAUGGUUUAAAGUCCCGAUCUUCGUAGCUAUUGCAUUGGCAUUUUGGCUGGUCAAUUUUUAGAUACUGCUGGACUAAGUUCCAAUAUGCUCAUUUGCAGUCCUCUUGCCCGAAAAGCAUCAAUUAAACAACAGCGGAAUGUGCUAAACUCUAUUCAGUAUAUUCCUCAGUAAUAAGAGCUUUUGAUCAUGAAGAGGUAAUGUUUACCUUUAUUGAUUAUUCUCAUUUUUCCUCUCCAUGCUCUAAACUACAUUUACGCUGCCAGUUUGGUUGUUAAAGGAGCAAUUUUCCUUCUGCGAAAUGUAAAAUGCCUUUAGUUACUGCCUAUCAAACCAAAAUACUUGUAGUAAUUGGUUUUUAUUUCUCGUUGCAGAUUUUCAAAGUCUAUUUGUGAACAGUUUCUUGAGCAGGCAACACCCUUCCAAGCCGAAAUGUAGCUGAAACGUGUAGAACUUUUUUUUUUAAUUUUUUUAUUUUUAUAUAUAGGAGUCUGUUGUAACUUAUCUCAGAUAAUUUGCAGUGUGAUUGUAGUUAAGAAGAGUAACAAGUUCCAUUGGCAGAAGGGCAAUUGCAUGAGCUAUUGAGUAAUUUGGUCAGCAUCUCCUGCUGCCUUGUUUUUUCUUUGGCACCGCCACUUUGGUCGGCAUUGGUUUCAGUUUUACUUUUAGCCCUCCUGAAGGAUGAUAAGAGAAGGCUAGAAAAAGUAUGUAUUUUGCAUGUUGAGUGCUUUUACUUGCAUAGUCUGGAGCAGAGUGAUAAACUGUGAGCGUAGCAUGAAUUAUAAUCCUCUGUUGAUGUAGUUUGCAUGGGACCUUUAAGCUUGUUGGGUUUUAACUCUUUUGUGGCCUUCCUUUUGCUAUCGUUACCACAAUAUAGGAAAGAAGGCUACAAUCGACUAAGUGCAAGAGUUUUCUUAUGUUAAAACUCCUAAUAGCUUAUUGUAAACUCAAAUCUGAACCACUGGUAGAAACUGCCGGGCUCCAAAAUAAUCUAUUGUUUGGUUCUUGUUUUGUACAGUAAAAACUGCCUGGCUUUUGCCGUUUCUUGCCAGAAUAGAGCAGACCCAGCGACGAUCUUCCCCCGAGAAAGCUUUUGCUGCAUCUCUGAAGGUACUUUUAUGGUUUAAAGCCAUGGUCUUAGUAGCUAUUGCUUUGGCAUUUUUGGCUAAUCAAUUUUUAGAUACUGCUGGACUAAGUUCCAAUAUGUGGGCACACGAGAAAGGAUAAGAUUAGGAAUGAGGAUAUCCGGGGUAAAGUAGGAGUAGCCGAAAUUGAAGGAAAGAUGAGAGAAAAUCGGUUACGGUGGUUUGGACAUGUGCAAAGAAGGCCUACUGACGCUCCGAUUAGAAGAUGCGACUAUGGGACACAGGUUCAGGGCCGAAGGGGUAGAGGAAGACCUAGGAAAACUUUGGAAGAGACUCUAAGAAAAGACUUAGAGUACUUGGAUCUAACGAAGGACAUGACACAGGACCGAGCACAAUGGCGUUCUAAGAUUCAUAUAGCCGAUCCCACUCAGUGACUUGGAUUUUCCAAGUCUCCAACCGAGAAGUUUUCCUCAUUCGGGAAAUUAAGGGAACACUACCUCAACCUACAUGCUCCACUCACAAAGCUUCAACAUACAAGCUUCAAUAAAAGAAAAUUCAAAGAACUUAGCGAAGAAGGCUUUGGUGUAUUUAACACAAACGUUGAAAUGAAGGAAAGCUUAUUUAUUGAUAUUCCCGAUAAGAUACAAAUAUGUACAUAUACAUAAGUCAAAAUAAACAAACAAGAGGGAGUCUUCACAAAGGUUGCUUAGGAGAAGUCUCAGCAGUCGGUAGCCCCAGAAAGAGAAGGCACCGGAGGGGGAUCAUUCAGAGCCUCAGUACUGGACAGAAUCCUAGAAGGAGGAGGAAUCAGAGGUUGAUCAUUUGGAGCUUCAUUACGCGGUACAGCCCCAGAAGAUGAAGGCAAUAAAUGCUUUUGGAUUAAACCCACAAAUCUUUGAUGAUCAAGUAAAACCUGACCAUCAGAUUCCUUCAUCUGGUCAAGCUUCCUCUUCAUGUUUGUAGCAUAGUCAUGGGCGAGCUGGUGCAACUGUUUAUUCUCAUGCUUAAGCCCUCUAAUCUCCUGUUUGAGACUCAUCUUUUCAGCCGCCAAUGAUUCAACUUGGCAGGUUCGAGCAAAUAGGCGUUGGGCCAUAUUAGACACAGAACCUGCACACUGAACACUGAGAACUGGCGAAUCCUUAACAGCUAACUCAUCAGACCGUUUGGAAAGUAGUCUGUUAUCUUUGGGAGUGAGAAGGUUCCUGGCCACCACCGCAGCGGUCAUAUCAUUCUUCAUUACGGAAUCCCCAACGGUAAGAGGACCAGUAGGGGAGACGAAGGAUGGGCGCCAUAUGUUGUCUGGAGAAGGCGGGGCUGCCUCUUCAACAAGGUUCAAGUCAAAACGACGGUCGGAAGGGCCAGACAUUUUCAAAGGUGUUGAAGAGAGAAGAGGUCGGACAAAUCAAGAUCUUAGAAGUGCAAGAAUGGAGCUUCUACUGGUGGAUUUCAAGUGUGCUUUAGAACUUAAUGCCAGCCCUUAUAAAAAUCUGCACUCGACGGAGCUUUAGAAAUCGAAGAGGCGUUUGCUUUCUCAAAAGCUGGGCUGCUCAGAGACCACGAGGGUUGAUCUCAGAAAUCGAAGAGGCGUUUGCUUUCUCAAAAGCUGGGCUGCUCAAAGACCACGAAGGCCAAUCUCAGAAAUCGAAGAGGCGCUCGCUUUCUCAAAAGCUGGGCUACUCAGAGACCACGAGGGCCGAUCUCAGAAAUCGAAGAGGCACCUACUUUUCCAGCCUUGUCAGCACCUGUCACACGCACACUCAACUUUGCGGAAAUUAUGGGCAUUCUGUCGAAGACUUCUGGUAAAGUAGAAAACACAUGAACCUUACUGCUCAAUCACCCACUUCCCACACGCAACAAUAGCUCAUGGGUACCACAGAUAACUUUGCCAAAGUUCUCUGCCAAAGUUGAGCACGUGAAGCUUGCAGCUCCUACUACAUCGCUCUAACCAAGAAGGGUAAAAGAAUAGUAAAGAAACAGCACUAACAAAGUUUAGACACAUAAAUUUUGAAGGCCUAGCUACCAUAUUAUUACCCACAAGGGUAAAGGAACAGUACCACUGCUGGAUAAUUGGAAAGUCCCUGUGUGUCAACCUCUGUGCUUCGUGGCAAGGUAGACUAGCAAACAUGCCCAACAUUUACUCACAUUCGAGAAAACUCCCAACAAGAUUGCUUGCUCCAAAAUCGAAGAGGCACCGUCCUCCGAAUCUCGGGAGCCAGACUCCCAACAUGACUACUGUCUCAAAAAUCGAAGAGAGGGUAAGGGAACAGUACCAUUGCUGGAUAAUUGGAAAGUCCCUGUGUGUCAACCUCUGUGCUUCGUGGCAAGGUAGACUAGCAAACAUGCACAACCUUUACUCACAUUCGAGAAAACACUCCCAACAAGAUUGCUUGCUCCAAAAUCGAAGAGGCACCGCCCUCCGAAUCUCGAGAACCAGACUCCCAACAUGAUUACUUUCUCAAAAAUCGAAGAGACACCGCUCUCCGAAUCUCGAGAGCCACACCCCCAGCGCGAUUACUUUCUCAAAAAUCGAAGAGGCAUUGUUCUCCGAAUCAAUCGAAGAGGUGCUCGCUUUCUCAAAAGCUGGGCUGCUCAGAGACCACGAGGGCCGAUCUCAGAAAUCGAAGAGGCACCUACUUUUCCAGCCUUGUCAGCACCUAUCACACGCACACUCAACUUUGCGGAAAUUAUGGGCAUUCUGUCGAAGACUUCUGGUGAAGUAGAAAGCACAUGAAUCUUACUGUUCAAUCACCCACUUCCCACACACAACAAUAGCUCAUGGGUACCACAGAUAACUUUGCCAAAGUUCUCUGCCAAAGUUGAGCACGUGAAGCUUGCAGCUCCCACUACAUCGCUCUGACCAAGAAGGGUAAAAGAAUAGCAAAGAAACAGCACUAACAAAGUUUAGACACAUAAAUUUUGAAGGUCUAGCUACCAUAUUAUUACCCACAAGGGUAAAGGAACAGUACCACUGCUGGAUAAUUGGAAAGUCCCCGUGUGUCCACCUCAGUGCUUCGUGGCAAGGUAGACUAGUAAACAUGCCCAACCUUUACUCACUUUCGAGAAAACACUCCCAACCAGAUUGCUUGCUCCAAAAUCCACCGUCCUCCGCAUCUCGAGGGCCAGACUCCCAACAUGACUACUUUCUCAAAAAUCGAAGAUGGUAAAGGAACAGUACCAUUGCUGGAUAAUUGGAAAGUCCCUGUGUGUCAACCUCUGUGCUUCGUGGCAAGGUAGACUAGCAAACAUGCCCAACCUUUACUCACAUUCGAGAAAACACUCCCAACAAGAUUGCUUGCUCCAAAAUCGAAGAGGCACCGCCCUCCAAAUCUCGAGAGCCAGACUCCCAACAUGAUUACUUUCUCAAAAAUCGAAGAGACACUGCUCCCCGAAUCUUCGAGAGCCAGACCCCCAGCAUGAUUGCUUUCUCAAAAAUCGAUGAGGCAUCGUUCUCCGAAUCAAUCGAAGAGGCGCUCGCUUUCUCAAAAGCUGGGCUGCUCAGAGACCACGAGGGCCGAUCUCAGAAAUCGAAGAGGCACCUACUUUUCUAGCCUUGUCAGCACCUGUCACACGCACACUCAGCUUUGCAGAAAUUAUGGGCAUUCUGUCGAAGACUUCUGGUGAAGUAGAAAGCACAUGAAUCUUACUGUUCAAUCACCCACUUCCCACACACAACAAUAGCUCAUGGGUACCACAGAUAACUUUGCCAAAGUUCUCUGCCAAAGUUGAGCACGUGAAGCUUGCAGCUCCCACUACAUCGCUCUGACCAAGAAGGGUAAAAGAAUAGCAAAGAAAUAGCACUAACAAAGUUUAGACACAUAAAUUUUGAAGGUCUAGCUACCAUAUUAUUACCCACAAGGGUAAAGGAACAGUACCACUGCUGGAUAAUUGGAAAGUCCCCGUGUGUCCACCUCAGUGCUUCGUGGCAAGGUAGACUAGUAAACAUGCCCAACCUUUACUCACUUUCGAGAAAACACUCCCAACCAGAUUGCUUGCUCCAAAAUCCACCGUCCUCCGCAUCUCGAGGGCCAGACUCCCAACAUGACUACUUUCUCAAAAAUCGAAGAGGGUAAAGGAACAGUACCAUUGCUGGAUAAUUGGAAAGUCCCUGUGUGUCAACCUCUGUGCUUCGUGGCAAGGUAGACUAGCAAACAUGCCCAACCUUUACUCACAUUCGAGAAAACACUCCCAACAAGAUUGCUUGCUCCAAAAUCGAAGAGGCACCGCCUUCCGAAUCUCGAGAGCCAGACUCCCAACAUGAUUACUGUUUCAAAAAUCGAAGAGACACCGCUCUCCGAAUCUCGAGAGCCAGACCCCCGCAUGAUUGCUUUCUCAAAAAUCGAAGAGGCAUCGUUCUCCGAAUCUCGAGAGCCAGAUCCUCGAUAGGAUUGCUUGUUCGAAAAUCGAAGAGGCACCACUUUCCCAACUUCAAGAGCCGGAUCUCCUUGGAUAAAGCUUGUCUGUAAUCUUCACACGCAACAUCAGCUUUCUAGAUACCACAGACCACUUUUUCAAAGUGCUCUGACAGAGUUAAAACAUGUGAAGCUGGCAGCUCCCACUACCGUGCUAUGACCAAGCAGGGUAAAGGAAUAGCAUUACUACUUGUUGUUAGGGAAACUCCUAUAUAUGUCGACCUUCAUCCCUAACGGACAGGCAGACCUGCAAAAAUGCUCAACCCUUCCUUAUAUCUGAGAGGGCACUCCCAACGAAGCCUUUCGAAAUAUUCAGCUUUCUUCCCCCCGAUAAUACCUCUGCAAACAAGCUAUACUAGAGCAAGAAUAUCUCAUAUCAUCAGGGUUAAAAGCAAGAGUAUCCCAUAUCAUGCUUUUUCCCUGUCUUUUCCUUUGGCCUUGUUCUUACCUGCAAGACAAGGAGAAAGAGAGCAAUCAGUCAGCACUUGGAAUCAAGCUUCCAGCCAGGAACUGACUGCCUGGAACCCCUUACCUGAUUACUUACCUGGCAUUGCUCUUGAGUACUCAUCUUCAACAUCUUAUGCUCCCAGGGAAGAUACCGCAUAUGCCUGAGGAACAGAUAGGGCAAGUGAGAAGGAUACAAGGAAGCAUAUGGAGACAAGCGUAACAGCACACGUGCCGAUACAUCCAUUACUCUGUCAAAAGCAAAAGUAUCCCAUAUCAGCAAGGUCGAACAUACUCUAGAUUUGAUGGACUUGUUUUGACCCUCAAAUUCUUCAGUCGGCCUUAUACACUGGAGGAAACCAGAAAACCCUCCAGCUCAGUUCAAGAAUAAGCCUGUGGAAAGUUACUUCUUCAAAAGCAAAAGUAUCCCAUAUCAUCUCUUCUCAUUUUUCUUCUCUUUAUCCUUCAUGCUGCCUGCAAGAUAAGGAGAAUGUGAACAAUCAGCCGGAGCUCUGAUUGCUUACCUUGUCUGUCACCUCUUUCAGCAGAUCCCCUAGCUCGGCGACUUGGGGACUCCUACUACAUGGUUUGUAUCGCGCUUGACCAAGCUUGAAACUACAAGUAAGCUUCAAGUGAAAUUGAUACAUUACCUUGUGCAUCUCCACCAGUUACAGAUACCACCCCUGGAUGGAGGAAGAGUACUUCCAGAGAAGAUGCCACAUCUACCUAUGAGACAGAUAAGGCAAGUCAAGACGAUACCACACUCCGGUACUUAGAAGUUUCGUGGUUACGAGAUCAUUCUCCCACAAUAUUUCCUAAUGUCAUUUGUACUAAAUCAUUCACUUGUACUCACUAAAGGAGAGCUUGAACCUACGUACUUGUGUAAACCCUUCACAAUUAAUGAGAACUCCUCUAUUCCGUGGACGUAGCCAAUCUGGGUGAACCACGUGCAUCUUGUGUUUGCUUUCCUAUCUCUAUCCAUUUAUAUACUUAUCAACACUAAUGACCGGAGCAAUCUAGCGAAGAUCACAAAAAGUGACCGUUUUCGCUACCUAGGAUCUAUCUUGCAGGAGAACGGAGAAUUAGAUGGAGAUCUCAACCAUAGAAUACAAGCUGGAUGGAUGAAGUGUAAGAGUGCAUCCGGCGUGUUGUGUGACCGUCGUAGGCCACUGAAGCUCAAGGGAAAAUUUUAUAGGACGGCAAUAAGGCCAACGAUGUUGUAUGGCACAGAAUGUUGGGCGGUGAAGCAUCAACACGUACACAAAAUGGGUGUAGCGGAGAUGAGGAUGCUUCGUGGGAUGUAUGGGCACACGAGAAAGGAUAAGAUUGGGAAUGAGGAUAUCUGAGGUAAAGUAGGAGUAGCCAAAAUUGAAGGAAAUAUGAGAAAAAAUCGGUUCCGGUGGUUUGGACAUGUGCAAAGAAAGCAUAUUGACGCUCCGGUUCGAAAAUGUGACUACGGGACAGAGGUUCAGGGCCGAAGGGGUAGAGGAAGACCUAGGAAAACUUUGGAAGAGACCCUAAGAAAAGACUUGAGUACUUGGAUCUAACGGAGGACAUGACACAAAACCGAGCGCAAUGGAGUUCUAGGAUUCAUAUAGCCGACCCCACUUAGUGGGAAAAGGCUUUGUUGUUGUUGUUGUUGUUUGACUAGAGCAGUGUACUUACUUUUUUGCACCCAAGUUGAAUUUAGUAUAAAUUAUUCUAUGGUUUGGAAAUGGAAAUAAAAAAAAUAAAAAAAGUCAAUUCAUGAAUAAUUCAAUGUAACGGAGUGUUUAAACGCAAAACUUGAGCGAGACAUUAGCGGAAUGAUAGUUUCAAUCCCGACCACAAAUUUGCUACACCAACUAGUAUAGGGCCUCGUAUCGGAUGGAAGAUGUCGAAGAGGACGCUUUCUGAAAAAAAACAGCAUACAUCACAGCCAUGAUGCGUAGUCUGAAAACUUUCUGACACAAAUCACCAAAUGGGCAAGCUCAAAGUUUACAAAUUUCCAAUUGGGUAAGUUCAAAGUUUACAAAUUUCCAAUUGGGUAAGCUCAAAGUUGACAAAUUCCCAAUUGGGUAAGCUCAAAGUUCACAAAUUGUCAAUUGAGUAAGCUCAUAUUACAAUAUUCACUUAACAGAGCAAUUUUUAAAAUGUGUGAUCAAAAGUAUAAUGAUUUGUCAAAACGUGCCUAUUGUGAUUAAUUAUCCUUGUAUUAUUAAAGCAAUGUCAUAUCAGAACGACAAUGUACUCACUUUAUGAAAAUUCUUCGCGUCCGUUACAUUUUAGAAUGUACACAUGGAAGUCAUUCAAAACAUAAUCACAGUUGCCAUGUGUUUUCCUGGUCCGCCAAAUGAUCAUUUUCUUGUCCUUUGUGUUUUGUUAAGUAGUUCCUGCAUUUUGGCCCCCAUUUUCUGAUUAAUAUAUGAAGGGCAUGAACCUUCGCAUAUAGAAUUGAUUAAACAGCAGUUUUAAAAAGUGAAAUCAAAAGUGCCACAAUUUGUCAAAAGUUGUCAAACUGUGAGUUUGUGACUAAUUGCCCUUGUAUUACUCGAGCAAUGUGAUACCACAUCAAUGGUAUGGUAUACUCGUUCUAUGGAAAGUCUUCAUGAUCUUUAUAAUUUAGAUAAGACAAAUGAAUGAAUCAUUCAAAACAUAAAGUUUUUUUAAUUUUAUUUUUAAUUUUUUAUGUUAAAUUUUUUUUCACGCAUUAUUGUGUUAUUUAUUUAAAAUAUUGACUAAAUGGCGAACUAGAUAAGUGAUUCUCGUGGAAAGAAUACAAGUUAGGGAUGGGCAAACAGGUAUAGGAACCACGGGUCGAGACGGGUUCAAAAAUUAUAAAUACAAAACGAGACGGAACAGAACAGGACGGGACGGGUAUAGGUAAAUAAUGGGGCGAGAUGGUUCUAGAAAUUGGAAAAAAAGGCCCCGGCCUGGACCGUUGAUUUCCCACCGUUGACUCUCUCUCUCUCUUUUUCUUGUCCGAGACUCCCAAGACCCCAUUCCAUUCUCAGACCUCCCCUCUCUAGGUCUCUCCUCCUUGAAUCUCAUUUGCUCUCUCGCCGCCACCAUCAUCAUCAGACCUUGAUUUCUCCUCCUGAUUCACUCUUGUCUUCCUCACUCGGUCCGCUGCCAUCAUUAUCAGGCCUCGUUCGCUUGAUCUUUGGCGACUCUUUGUGGUGCGCCGACGACAAGGUCGUUGAUGAGUUCCUGAUGGAGUAGCCAAUCCCGCCGUACCUGUUCGCGUUCGCCGUCAACAAAGGGUUUGGGUGGUUCUUUCCGGUGGUGGCUCUGGGAAUGCUGAGGUACAUGAUCGCCACAUCAAACAUCAUACAUGACUGCGACGAGGUCUUCAACUUUUGGGAGCCUCUCCAUCUCGAUUCUCUUUCUUUUUCCUCUCUGAAAAAUUGAAACUUUGUUCUUUUUAGGUGUUUUGUUUCUGGGUUUUGAUUGUUUGUUAUUUUCUGGGUUGUUUUUAUUUUGCUUGUUAUGAAAUUAUUUGUCUUUGUGGUUAUUUGAAGUUUAUUUGAUAUUAAAGAUGUUAAUAUAAUGCUAUGUUUGGUUAUAAUUUGUAGAGAACUAUUAAGCUCUGGAUUUAAUUUAUUGGGGAAGUUGGUUGUGUAAUUUCUCAAAAAAAAAAAAAGGAACAUAGGGCCCGUGUUCUCGGCCCAAACCGGCCCGUCCUGUUUCCUUUUUAAGUGGAUCAGGUCCGGUCCCUCCAAAUUUGAGUCUGGCCCGGCCCGGCCGGUGCCCAUCUCUAAAUUACAAGUUUCUAACUUUUCUUGUGCGCGUGGAUUGUCAUUUUGUGCUGUUGGUGGAAUACUGACACAAUUGCAAACCUAAUUCUUUUAAAAAAGGAAAACUAAUGAAAAAUGCUUGAAAACUUUGAGUUUUAAUGAUAAGGACAAAAUAAAGGGUAAAGUGAAUAGUACCAUGAUUGACUUUUUAGUGUAAAAAUGUGGUUUUUCGUUAAAGUGAACAGUACCGGGUGCUUUUAGUUAAAGUUCCCUUUAAAAAAUUUGUUUGUUUUGUAGCUUCUUAUCUUCAAAGUUUUGUUUUAGAGGCGUUUGGUCAUAUGUCAUUUUGUUUUGUCUAUUUUCGUUACAUUAGGUGUAACUUUUUUCUUUUCUUUUCAUUUUAAUAAAUGGGGGUAAGGCUAGCCGACAUUCACCUCUCACAGACCCUGCGUAAAGCGGAAGCCUUGUACACUGGGUACGACCUUUAAUAAAAUUUCCUUCUACCAUUGAGGUUCUACCAGAAGAAAAUGACAAAUGAAAAAUAAUCUACCCACAAUUCAUCUAAAUUAUGAAAACAAAGAAGAAUUUAGACCCAAAACACAAUGGUUUGAAUAGAAAAACCUUAUCCCAAGAUAACCCACAAUUUGUGAUAUUUCACUCCAUGAAAAUCCUGCUCAAUUUUCAUUCCUUAAACAUCUAUUCAGGAUAUGGCAAGUAAAGCGUGGAGAUUGGUUACAGCCCUUGUGACUAAACGUAAACGAUGGUAAAAGGAAUUAGCAUAGCAAAUUGAAUUAUUGCAGAGCUCUAAAUGUUGUGAACUGUAAUGGAGGAUCGCUCAGUAGAAGAAAUAAAUAAGUAGUGGUGAUGUAGGACUGUUUUGUAAGGGAUUUUGGGUUAAAGUGUAAGGGUUUUUGUAAUCGGGUUCAAUUGUAAUCACCUAAGUCUUUAGUGGAGCCUAGUUAAUUUGUUAGUGGUGUCCAGCUGGCACACAUGUAGUGGGGAAAAUAACACUGGCGCGUGGUUAAAUGGUGGCCAGAGGAAAUUGUAAGGGCAUGAUGAAAUUAAUGAGCAGAAUAUCCUUCUCUCUUUUCUCUCUACUCUGUCCCUUCAUCACUGUCGCCACAGCUGCCAUUGCAGGUUGAGGCCAUAGCAGGUCUGGGUCUUAUCACUAAAGUCUUUUGUGGUCUGGAAUCUGGAUGCGUUGACUUUCAUAAGCGAUCAGAUGAGUUCGAUGGAAACAAGUCCCUUCAUCUUCAUGAUCAUCUGAAAACUUCAAUUGAUGCAGUAAGUUCUUCUUCCAACAAUAUCUAUAUGGGAAAGCCAUUAUUUAUUCGUUAUUUAUUUCAUUUUCUUCAUCUUAAUUGCAGCUAAAUAUAUAUAUGGUUUCAUGUUCAACACUUUGUUAAUUGCACUAAAGUUUUCAAAUUCAACUGAAAUCUGAUUGAGCCCCUGUGUAGCCGAUUGAACAUAAAGAUUUUAACAUGUAAAAAGCAUAUGGUUUUUAACAUAUAUACCCGAUUGAGCCCCUGUGUAGCCGGUUGGACGGUUAUGGAAUUGCAUAAAUUUGUAUACAAUAAUUAGUUUCAUCUGUUUUAAUUGUGCAGCUGUGACUACUUGUGAGUCUUGAUUGGUAUUGCUUAACGGAUCAAACUUCCAAUUCAAGAAACUAUGGCGGCAGAAAAUUUUCUUGUGGCAUUCCUCCAAGUGCUGGUUGACAAGUUGGCGCAACGCGAGGUCUUCAAGUACUUUGGACUCGUAAAGGGCAUCGAUCAGAUACUGAAGAAGUGGAGUGCCACCUUGUCUGCAAUUGGAGCGGUGCUGAAUGACGCGGAGGAAAGGCAACUGACUGCUGAGAGCAACGCACUGAAGCUCUGGCUCGAUGAUCUCAGGGACUUGGCUUUUGAUGCGGAAGACGUGUUGGAUAAAUAUCAUACUAAAAUGUUGAAACGUCAGAUACAACAUGCUCAUUCCAGCACAACAAGCAAAGCAUGGAAAUCAAUUCCUAAUCGUCUUUUCAACUUCAAAAUGAAUUUGGAAAUACAGAAGAUUACUGAGCGAUUACAAGAGAUAUCUGAAAGAAAAGACCAGCUUAGUUUGAAAAUUGAUACUGGGAUGUUGACUACAAGGGCACAUCAACACAUAUCGCCUAGUUCUAGUCUACCGGAUGGACCUGUGAUUGGAAGGGAGGAGGACAAAAGGAAGAUUGUUGAGCUGCUGUCAAAGCAAGAGCAUCGUGCUGUCAAUUUCGAUGUAGUUGCAAUUGUUGGUAUGGCUGGAGUUGGAAAGACAACACUUGCUGGACAAGUACUCAAAGAUAUUGUUGCAACCCAAAUGUUUCAACCAGCCAUUUGGGUGUGUGUAUCUGACGACUUCAACCUUCAAAGAGUGACAAAGCAAAUUCUUGAAUCAAUCACAUCUCGACAAUGUACCACAGAAGAUCACAAUAAGGUUCAAGAUGAUCUGCAUAAGGAGUUAGCAGGGAAGAAGUUUUUAAUUGUUUUAGAUGAUGUUUGGAAAACGUGUAGCUACAGAGAAUGGAUGAAGCUGCAGUCCCCUUUUCGUGAUGGAGCACAAGGAAGCAAGAUAGUUGUGACAACACGUGAUACAGAUGUUUCAAAAAUGAUGGGAGCUGCCACGCUGGUUCACAACUUGGUGCCUAUGGAAAAUCAUUUUUGUUUGCAAGUAUUUGAGCAGCAUGCAUUCUUAAAUUUUAACGACAAACCGCCAAAUUAUGAGUUACUUCAGGAGAAAAUUGUUGCAAAGUGUAGGGGAUUGCCUUUGGCUGCGAGUACCCUCGGUGGUGUUCUACUUCGUAAAGAAAUAGACAAAUGGGAAGAAAUAUUGAACAACAAGUUGUGGAGUGUCUCAAAUGAGCAUGACAUACUUCCUGUGUUGAGACUAAGUUACUUUUAUCUUCCUUCACAUUUGAAAAGAUGCUUUGCCUAUUGCUCAAUACUUCCAAAUGACUAUGAAUUCGGGGAUAUGCAAAUGAUCCUUCUGUGGAUGGCCGAGGGUUUGAUUCUUUCUCGACCAGAAGAUAAUAAGCAAAUUGAAGAUUUAGGCGCUGAUUAUUUCCGGGAGCUCGUAUCUAGGUCAUUGUUUCAAAAGUCAACCAAAAAUACUUCAAAAUAUGUGAUGCAUGACCUCAUUGGUGAUUUAGCAAGAUGGGCAGCUGGAGAUAUUUGUUUUAGAUUGGAGGAUAAGCAAAAUGAUGAUGGUGUACAACUUAGAUGUUUUCCAAAGGCACGCCAUUCGUCUUACUUUAUGGGUCACUAUGAUGGGGCUAAAAGAUUUAAGGCAUUUUCUAAAGUGAAAUGUCUGCGAACCUUCUUGCCACUAAGAAAGGGUUCUGGCUACAAUUACUUAAGCCAUCAGGUUACUUCUGAUUUAUUGCCAAAAUUGCAGUACUUGCGGGUGCUCUCUUUUAAUGGCUAUAGAAUAACUGAGCUGCCAAACUCAAUUGGUGAUUUGAGAUAUCUACGAUAUCUUGACCUUUCCUACACAGCUAUAACUAGUUUGCCUAAAUCAAUCAGUACUCUUUACAACUUGCAAACAUUGUUAUUGGAACGCUGUUCCUAUUUGAAGUCAUUGCCUGCAGACAUAAGUAAUCUAAUUAAUUUGCGCCAUCUCAACAACUCAGAUGUAUCUUGGGUGGAAGGAAUGCCUCCAAAACUAGGUAGAUUGGUGAACCUCCAAUCUUUGCCUAAUUUUGUGGUCAGUGGUAGAAGUGAUCAAUCAGGAAUAAGAGAGAUAGGGCCUCUAUCGCAUCUCCGAGGGACAUUGUGCAUAUCAGGAUUGGAGAAUGUGACUGAUGUCAAGGAUGCUCAGAGGGCCAAUUUAAAAUACAAGGCGAGGCUUGAUUCGUUGGUCCUAAAAUGGUCUUAUUCAAGCGACACAAGAGAAAUGGAAUCUGCUGUGCUUGACAUGUUAGAGCCUCAUAGAAAGAUCAAGGAGCUCACCAUCAAGAGUUAUGCCGGAAAGGAAUUUUCAUCAUGGGUUGGAGGUCAUUUGUUCUCUAAUAUGGUGCUUGUGCGCUUAGAGGAAUGUAACAAUUGUUUAUCUUUGCCACCUCUUGGACAAUUGCCUCAACUCAAAGAACUUUAUAUUAGAGGAAUGAAUGCAGUGGAAAGUGUUGGUGCUGAGUUUUAUGGAGAGCGUUACUUGCCUUUUCAGGUAUUAGAGACUCUUGAGUUUGUGGAAAUGCAGCAUUGGAAAGAAUGGCUUCCUUUCCAACUGGAUCACGAAAGUGGUGUUUUCCCUUACCUGAAAACACUCAUAGUAAAAAAAUGUUCUAAACUGGAGGGUAAGCUGCCAGAGAACCUCAAUUCUUUAGGUAAGCUUGAAAUUGUUGAAUGUGAAGAAUUAGUGGUUUCGACUGCCAACUACAAACAACUUCGUCAAUUAAACAUUGACGGUUGUGAAGUGUUGGUGCAUACAGCUGCUAAGGUUGAGUUUGAGUUAUUAGAGUCCUUGUGGCUUUCAAGCAUUUCAGAGGUGAUGUCUCUACAAACAGGAGAAUUGUUCAACAAGGGAUUAAGCAAGGUUAAAGAUUUGAAGAUUAAUGGAUGUGAGGAGGUGACGUCUUCAUUCAGGAAUGAGGCUAGAUUAUUGCAGCAGUUGACUUCUCUUGGCUGUUUGGAAAUUGAAGGCAACUCUCUUCUAGUUGAAGAAUUGGGAAAGGAAGCAGAGGAGUUGCAAACAUUGGAGUGCAGGAUUGAAUGUCUGGAGUUAAACAAGUGCGAAAAUCUUAUGAAGCUACCAAAAGGGUUAAAUCAAUUGUCGUUUCUUCAAAAGCUUGGCAUACACGAAUGUUCACGUCUAGUUUCUUUCCCAGAUGUUGGUCUGCCACCUUCUCUUAAAGACAUCGAGAUUACAUCGUGUGAUUCGUUGAUAUAUUUUGCAAAAUUCCAGAUUCCCCAAAAUCUCAGAAGAAUAGAGAUAAGAGAGUGCAAAAGUUUGAAAUCACUAGUAGAGGAUGAGGCUUUUGGUUCUUCCUGGUCGUCUUCUUCUCAUAGUUGUCUUGAGUACUUGUUUAUCGAUGGAUGUAAAACUCUGACGUCGUUAUCAUUGAGUGGCCAGCUUCUCAGGACACUUAAACACUUUCAGACAUACAGAUGUGAACAACUGGAGUUAAUUGCACAAGAUGGGUUCUUCUACGACAACACUAAUUACUGUCUUGAAUAUUUUAGGAUAUGGAAGUGUGAAAAUCUGAAAUCCUUACCGGAUGGUUUAUGCCACCUCAGCAAUCUUCAAAAGCUACAUAUUCAAGAAUGUGGAAGUCUUGUUUCCAUCCCGAGACUGAGUGGGGGGAAAAGACCCUCCAACCUGAGGGAGAUCGAGAUCAGAAAUUGCGAGAAAUUGGAGGCGUUGCCCGAAGACAUGCACAAUCUCAACUCUCUUGAGGAUUUGAGAAUCGACUACCGUGAAGGUUUGACUUUUCCUCCCAACCUCACAUCACUUACAAUUUGGAAAGUCAAGAGCUGUAAGUCAUUGUGGGUGUUGGAGCGGGGGUUGCACAGACUCACCUCUCUUAGCAAGUUGGGGAUCUAUGGUGAUAACCCGGAUACGGUGUCGUUUCCACCAGACAUGGUCCGCAUGGAGUUGCUCCUCCCUAGAUCUCUCACUCAACUCCAUAUUUGUGGCUUCCCGAAUCUGAAGAAACUGAGCAGCAAGGGCUUUCAAUUCCUCACCUCCCUUCAAUCGCUUACACUAUGGAAUUGUCCAAAGCUAGCAUCCAUUCCAGAGGAGGGUCUGCCUCCUUCACUUACGAAACUUUGGAUCUUUGGGUGUCCUGUGCUAAAAGAGAGAUGCCAACCAGGAAAAGGACGCUACUGGCACAAAAUAUCCCACAUUCCUUCCAUGCAGAUAUAGAUUUUAAGAUGAUUUGAAGCUGAUGGUCGAUUCGAUCCCAUUCUCUAGGUUCAGGUAUCAUCUUCUCAAGGAAUGUUUAAUGCCAUGGUCUUCCCCCCAGAAAGCUUUUGCUGCAUAUCUGAAGGUACUUUUAUGGUUUAAAGCCAUGGUCUUAGUAGCUAUUGCUUUGGCAUUUUUGGCUAGUCAAUUUUUAGAUACUGCUGGACUAAGUUCCAAUAUGCUCAUUUGCAGUCCUCUUGCCCAGAAACCAUCAAUUAAACAACAGCAGAAUGCGAUAAACUCUAUUCAGUAUACUCUUCAGUAAUAAGAGCUUUUGAUCAAGAAGAGGUAAUGUUUACCUUUAUUCUCAUUUUUCCUUUCCUUGCUCUAAACUACUUUUGUGCUGGCAGUUUGGUUGUUAAAGGAGCAAUUUUCCUUCUGCAAAAUGUAAAAUGCCUGUAGUUACUGCCUAUUGAAACCAAGAUACUUGUAAUAAUUGGUUUUUGUUUCUCGUUGCAGAUUUUCAAAGUCUAUUUGUGGACAGUUUCUUGAGCAGGCGACACCCUUUCAAGCCGAAAUGUAAUUGUUAUCUCAGAUAAUUGGCAGACUGAUUGUAGUUUAGAAGAGUAACAAGUUCCAUUGGCAGAAGGCCAAUUGCCUAAGCUAUUGAGUAAUUUGGUCAGCAUCUCCUGCUGCUUUCUUGUUUCUUUGGCACCGCCACUUCGACUGCCACUGGUUAGUAUAGGGCUUCAUAUCGGAUGGAAGAUGUCUAAGAGGACGCUUUCUCCAAAUAAAAAAAAAAAAGCAUAUCUGAAAACUUUCUGAUACAAAUCACCAACUGGGUAAGCUGAAAGUUUAGAAAUUUCCAAUUGAUUAAGCUCAAAGGUGACAAAUUUCCAAUUGGGUAAGCUCAAAGUUAAAAAAUUGUCAAUUGAGUAAGCUCAUAUUUCACCCCCUUUCCAAUUAAUGAAGGACACUAUAUAACUUCUUACGGAUACAAUUUAUCAAAACGUACCUAUUGUGAUUAAUUACCCUUGUAUUAUUCAAAUGUGAUAUCAAAAUGAUAGCGUACUUACCCUAAAAAAAUUAUUUAUGGCCGUUACACUUUUAGACUAUACACAUGAAUUAGUCAUUCAAAACAUAGGAACAAUUGCCAUGCGUUUUCCUAGUCUGCCAAAUGAUCAACUUUGUCUUCUUGUCCUUUGUGUUGUGUUAAGGUAGUUGUUGUAUUUUUGCCCCCUUUUAUAGAUAAAUGAAGGGCACUACGAACCUUCACAUAUAUAUUAUAAAAUUGAUUAAAAAAAGCAGUUUUAAAAAGCGAAAUUAUAAGUGCCACCAUUUGUCAAAAGAUGUUCACAAUAAGUUUGUGACUAAUUUUCUUUAUAUUAUUCUAAUUUUCUUUAUAUUAUUCAAGAAAUAUAAUAUCAUGAUAACUGUAUAUUGUUUUAGUACCGUUACACUUAAAACUAGGCACAUGAAUCAAUUCUUCAAAACAUAAAAGUUUUUCUAAUUAUUUUUCUUUGAUGCUAAGUUAUUCAUCGCGCAUUAUUGUGUUAUAUUUGAAAUAUUGACUCAAUGAUAAAGUAGAUAAGUGAUACUCGAAAGAAUAUAACUUAUUAACUUUUGUUGUACGUGGAUUGCCAUGAGGAUAGUGGAACUGCAACUUUUCUAGCAUGUGGAAUUCUGACACAAUCGCAAACCUAAUCCUUUUAAAAAUUGUUUGUUUUGUAGCUUUCUUAUCUUUUAUAUUUUGUUUUAGAGAGAUUUUGUCUUUUAUUUUUUUAUCUAUGUAUUUUUUUUUACAAAGAGUAAGGUUUAUGUUUUUUUUUAUAUCAAAAAAAUUCCUUGUACCAUUGAGAUAUUACCAAAAUAAAAUGACAAAAGAUAAAUAAUCUAUAUUAAAUUCAUCUAAAUUAUGGGAAGAACUAGGAUUUAAACCCAAAAUACUGGGGCAAUCCACUUGUAAUAACUUCACUCCAUCAUGAAUCUUACUCAAUUUUCAUUUCUUAAACAUCUAUUCAAGGGAUAGGCUUUUUAGCCAAAAUAGUUUCUGAGAUUUACAUAACUCAUCAUUUUGUUUCUGAGAUUUGAAAUCAAUAUAAGUGGUCUAUAAGAUUGUCUACCAUCAAUCAUUUUGAUUAUUCCGUGAAACAUUAUGUUAAAUAAGGAUCAAAAUGAUAAAAUACAUUUAAUUUAAUAAACAAUAGGCCAAAAUGAUCUGACAAAAAUUAAGAAUAUUUUUGUCAUUUUAUUCUUAUUUAAUGAAUAUUUUUCAUAGAAUAACCAUUAAUGUGGACAAUUUCAAGAAUCAAUUCUAUUAAUUUCAAAUCUUAAAAACCAAAAUAAUGAAUUAUACAAAUUUAAAGAACUAUUUUAACUAAAAAAUCUUCGGGACAUGGUAAGUAUAAGUGUGGAGUUACUGCUCUUGUGACUAAACGAUGGAAAAGCCGAAUCAGGACUCAUGGCGGCGACUUCGGUAAAAUCUAGUGUCGGUAGGGUUAAGAGCUCUUGGGGUGUUUGCCAAUUUCCAAUGCUUUUUCGUGAUCUGCCAAAUCAUCAACUUUGCUUUCUUGUCCUUCCAACUGUGUGGCUCACGAUAAAAGUUGCAUUUUUACUCCUCAUCUUAAAUUAGGAUGUACUUUCAUCAUAUAUUUUAAAAGAAAAACUAAUGAAAAGGUUUUGAAAACUUUGAGUUUUAAUGAUAAGGAUAAAAUAAAGGGUAAAGUAAAUAGUACCAGGAUUGACUUUUUAAUGUAAAAAUAUGAUUUUUCGUUAAAGUGAACAUUACAGAGUGCUUUUCGUUAAAGUUCCCUAUUUUAAAUUCUGUUAUGUAUUUUUAAUUUAACUCUGAUUAAUUUUUAUAUUAAACAUUUUUUUUAAUUUACAAAUUUAAUCAUCUUAACAUUAUUUUUUUUAUUUUUUUAUAACAAAAAUUUAUGACCCAAGGAUAGUAAAGAGGGGAUAACAAAAAUUUUUGCCACAAAGGAUAUAUCAUGGUAAAUUGAAUUAUUGAAGAGCUCUAAAGUCUUUUGCCAUAUGGAAUCUAGAAUUGUUGAUUUUCAUAAGCGAUCAGAUCGAUGGAAACGCGUCCCUUCAUCUUCUUGAUCAUCCGAGAACUUCAAUUAAUUUAGUAAGUUCUUCUUCCAGCUAUAUCUAUAUGGGAAAUCCAUUAUUUAUUCAUUAAAUAUUUCAUUUUCUUCAUCUUAAUUGCAGCUAUAUAUAUAUGGUUUAAUGUUCAACACUUUGUGCAGUCUUAAGCUCGAGAGAUCAAGCUUCCAGGGAACUACUUAAAUCUUAAUUGCACUAAAGUUUUCAACUGAUCCUCGGAAGCAAGUGUCCUCGUGAUCCGACGACUUCCAUGUAAGUUCUUGCUACACAUCCGGUUUUAUAUUCAUUCGAGUUUCGAGUUAUGUAACUUGUCGUGUCCUAAAUUAAUAGUGGUAGUUUAAAAUGUAAACAAUAUAUAAUUUUUGACAUAUCUGAUUGAGCUUCUGUGUACCCAUAUAAUUAGUUUCAUCUGCUUAAAUUGUGCAUUUGUGACUACCAUGUGCUGCUUCUUGUGCUUUGUGCUGUGCGCUCAGGACAAUAGUUUUUUAUUACACAGAGGAAACAGGAGAAGACAAAAUUAUGCCCUGCGACAAUGAAGAGAUAGAGAAAAGAAAGAGGAGGAUUUAUCAUAGCAAAUUGAACUAUUGAAAGCUCUGAAGUCUUUGUCGUCUGGAAUCUGGAUUCUUCGACUCCAAUACGAGAUCAGAUCAGAUCAGAUGCAAUCAAGUCUCUUCGUCUUCAUGAUCAUCUGAAAACUUCAAUUUAAUGCAGUAAGUUCUUCCAAUUAUAUUUAUAUGGGAAAUCCAUUAUUUUUAUUUAAUUAUUUCAUUUUCUUCAUCUUAAUUACAGCUAUAAAUAAUAUAUAUAUUUAUGUGGUUUAAUGGUCAACAGUUUGUGCAGUUUUAAGCUCGAGAGCUCAAGCUUUCAGGGAACUACUCAGUCUUAACUGCGCUAAAGUUUUCAACUUCAACAAAAACUUGAUCCCUGGAAACAAGUGUUCUCUUGAUCUGACGACCUGACGACUUUCACGUAAGUUAUUGCUACGCAUCUGGUCCUCUUACUAGUGUAACGUGUUUCAAGUUGUGUACCGUGUCGGAUUAUAAAUUAAUAAUGUUAUUUUAAAAUGUAACAAAGAUAUGAUUUUGUAGUCUCGAAUUUAUCUUUUGUGCUUUGUCUGUCAAAUUAAGCAAUUUUGAGUAAAACGUAAUUGAACUUAUCAUGUAAUUGAACUAUUUGACAGUAAAACGUAACGUGACUCACAUACCCGAUGGAGCCCGUGUACCCAAAUAAUUAGUUUCAUCUGUUUAAAUUGUGCAGAUGUGACUACUUGUGGGUCUUGAUUGGUAUUUUUUCAACGGAUCAAACUUCCAAUUCAAGAAACUAUGGCGGCAGAGGCUUUUCUUGUGUCAUUCCUCCACUUGCUGGUUGACAAGUUGGCGCGUCGCGACGUCUUGAAGUACUUUGGACUCGUAAAAGGCGUCGAUAAGAAACUGACGGAAUGGAUUGCCACCUUGUCUGCAAUUGGAGCUGUGCUGAUUGACGCGGAGAAAAGGCAACUGGCGGAUGAGAGCAACAUACUGAAGCUCUGGCUCGAUGAUCUCAGGGACUUGGCUUUUGAUGCGGAAGACGUGUUGGAUAAAUAUCAUACUGAAAUGUUGAAACGUCAGAUACAUCAUGCUCAUUCCAGCGCAACAAGCAAAGCAUGGAAAUCAAUUCCUAAUGGUGUUUUCAACUUCAAGAUGAACUCAGACAUACAGAAGAUUACUGAGCGUUUACAAAAGAUAUCUGUACGAAAAGACCAGCUCGGUUUGAAAAUUGAUACUGGGACGUUGACUACAAGGGCACGCCAACACAUACCGCCUAGUUCUAGCCUACCAGAUGGACCUGUGAUUGGAAGGGAGGAGGACAAAAGGAAGAUUGUUGAGCUGCUGUCAAAACAAGAGCAUCGUGCUGUCAAUUUCGAUGUAGUUGCAAUUGUCGGUAUGGCUGGAGUCGGAAAGACAACACUUGCUGGACAAGUACUCAAAGAUAUGGUUGCAACCCAAAUGUUUCAACCAGCCGUUUGGGUGUGCGUAUCUGACAACUUCAACCUUGAAAGAGUGACAAAGCAAAUUCUUCAAUCAAUCACAUCUCGGCAAUAUACCACAGAAGAUUACGAGAAGGUUCAAAAUGAUCUGCAUAAGGAGUUAGCGGGGAAGAAGUUUUUAAUUGUUUUAGACGAUGUUUGGAAAACGUGUAGCUAUGGUGAAUGGAUGAAGCUGCAGUCCCCUUUUCGUGAUGGAGCACAAGGAAGCAAGAUAGUUGUGACAACACGUGAUACAGAUGUUUCAAAAAUGAUGGGAGCUGCCACGCUGGUUCACAAUUUGGUGCCUAUGGAAAAUGAUGUUUGUUUGCAAGUAUUUGAGCAGCAUGCAUUUUUGAAUGCUAACAACAAUAGACCACCAAACUACGAGUUACUUAAGGAGAAAAUUGUUGCAAAGUGUAGGGGAUUGCCUUUGGCCGCGAGGACCCUCGGUGGUGUUCUACUUCGUAAAGAAAUAGACGAAUGGGAAGAAAUAUUGGACAACAAAUUGUGGAGUCUCUCGAAUGAGCAUGACAUACUUCCCGUGUUGAGACUAAGUUACUUUUAUCUUCCUUCACAUUUGAAAAGAUGCUUUGCCUAUUGCUCAAUACUUCCAAAUGACUAUGAAUUCGGGGAGAUGCAAAUGAUCCUUUUGUGGAUGGCCGAGGGUUUGAUUCAUCCUCGACCAGAAGAUAAUAAGCAAAUUGAAGAUUUAGGUGCUGAUUAUUUUCGGGAGCUUGUAUCUAGGUCAUUGUUUCAAAAAUCAACUGCAAAUAUUUCAAGAUAUAUGAUGCAUGACCUCAUUGGUGAUUUAGCACGAUGGGCAGCUGGAGAUAUUUGUUUUAGAUUGGAGGAUAAGCAAAAUGAUGAUGGUGUACAACUUAAUCCGAAGGCACGCCAUUCGUCUUACCUUUUGGGUCAUUGUGAUGGGGUUAAAAGAUUUGAGGCAUUUUCUGAAGUGAAAUGUUUGCGAACCUUCUUGCCACUAAGAAAGGGUUCUACCUACUUUUUUAAGUCGUCUGGUUACCUUUGAUUUAUUGCCAAAAUUGCAGUACUUGCGGGUGCUCUCUUUUAAUGGCUAUCGUAUAACUGAGCUGCCAAACUCAAUCGGUGAUUUGAGACAUCUACGGUAUCUUGACCUUUCCUACACAGCUAUAACUAGUUUGCCUAAAUCGAUAAGUACUCUUUACAACUUGCAGACAUUGAUAUUGGAAGGCUGUAAUGAUUUGAAGUCAUUGCCUGCAGACAUGAGUAAUCUAGUUAAUUUGCGCCAUCUCAACAACUCAAAUGUAUCUUCGUUGGAAGGAAUGCCUCCAAAACUAGGUAGAUUGGAGAAUCUCCAAUCUUUGCCCAAUUUUGUGGUGUGUGGUGGAAGUGAUGAAUCAGGGAUAAGAGAGAUAGGGCCCCUAUCGCAUCUCCGAGGGACAUUGUGCAUCUCAAGAUUGGAGAAUGUGACUGAUUUCGAGGAUGCUCAGAAGGCUGACUUAAAAUGCAAGGAGUGGCUUGAUUCUUUGGUUCUAGAAUGGUCUCAUUCAAGCGACACAAGAGAAACUGAAUCCGCUUUGCUUGACAUGUUACAGCCUCAUAGAAAGAUCAAGGAGCUCACCAUCAAGAGUUAUGCCGGAAAGGAAUUUUCAUCAUGGGUUGGAGGUCAUUUGUUCUCUAAUAUGGUGCUUGUGCGCUUAGAGGAAUGUAACAAUUGUUUAUCGUUGCCUCCUCUCGGACAAUUGCCUCAUCUCAGAGAACUUUAUAUUAUUGGAAUGAAUGCAGUGGAAAGUGUUGGUGCUGAGUUUUGUGGAGAGCGUAUGUUGCCUUUUCGGGUAUUAGAGACUCUUGAGUUUGUGGAAAUGCAGCAUUGGAAGGAAUGGCUUCCUUUCCAAGCCGAUCACGAAGGUGGUGCUUUCCCUUGCCUGAAAACACUCUUAGUAAAAAAAUGUUCUAAACUGGAGGGUAAACUGCCAGAGAACCUCAAUUCUUUAGCUAAGCUUGAAAUUGUUGAAUGUGAAGAAUUAGUGGUUUCAAUUGCCAACUGUAAACAACUUCGUCAGUUAAACAUUGACGGUUGUAAAGUGUUGGUGCACACAGCUGCUAAGGUUGAGUUUGAGUACUUAGAGUCCUUGUGCUUUUCAAACAUUUCGAAGGUGAUGUCUCUGCAAACAGGGGAAUUGUUGAAGAAGGGAUUAAGCAAGGUUAGAGAUUUGAAGAUCAGUGGAUGUGAGGAGGUGACGUCUUCACUGAAGAAUGAGGAGGGUAGAUUAUUGCAACAGUUGACUUCUCUUGGCAGUUUGAAAAUUGAAGACAACUCUCGUCUAGUUGAAGAAUUGGGAAAAGAAGCAGAGGAGUUGCAAAUAUCGGAAUGCAAGCUUGAAUUUCUGGAGUUAAAAAAGUGCGAAAAUCUUUUGAAGCUACCAAAAGGAUUAAAUCAGCUGUCGUCUCUUCAAGAGCUUCGCAUACACAAAUGUUCAAGUCUAGUUUCUUUCCCAGAUGUUGGUCCGCCACCUUCUCUUAAAGACAUCGAGAUUAGAGAGUGCGAUUCGUUGAUAUAUUUUGCAAAAUUCCAGAUUCCCCAAAAUCUCCGAAGAAUAAAGAUAACAUGGUGCAAAAGCUUGAAAUCACUAGUAGAUGAGGAGACUGUUGGUUCUUCUUGGUCGUCUUCUACUCAUACUUGUCUUGAGUACUUGAGUAUCAAAGGAUGUGAAUCUCUGACGUCGUUAUCAUUGAGUGGCCAGCUUCCCAGGACACUUAAACACCUUGAGAUAGAGAAUUGUGAACGACUGGGUUUAAUAGCACCGAACGGGUUCUUCAGCGACAACACCAAUCACUGCCUUGAAUAUAUUACCAUCUGGAAUUGCCAAAAUCUGAAAUCCUUACCGGAUGGCUUAUGCCACCUCAGCAAUCUUCAAACUCUAGGUAUUCGAAAAUGUGGAGGUCUUGUUUCCAUCCCGAGACUGAGUGAGGGGAGAAGACCCUCCAACCUGAGAAAUAUCGAGAUCACCGAUUGCGACAAAUUGGAGGCGUUGCCCGAAGACAUGCUCAAUCUCAACUCUCUUGAGUACUUGAGCAUCGACUACCGUGAAGGUUUGACUUUUCCUCCCAACCUAACAUCACUUAUAAUAUGGAAGGUCAAGAGUUGUAAGUCAUUGUGGGAGUUGGAGUGGGGGUUGCACAGACUCACCUCUCUUAGAGAAUUAUGGAUCAUCGGUGAAGACCCAGAUACGGUGUCGUUUCCACCCGACAUGGUCCGGAUAGAGACACCCCUCCCCAAAUCUCUCACUCUUCUCAAAAUAGAAGGCUUCCCGAAUCUGAAGAAACUGAGCAGCAAGGGCUUUCAAUUCCUCACCUCCCUUCAAUAUCUGGGACUUUGGAAUUGUCCAAAGCUAGCAUCCAUUCCAGAGGAGGGUCUGCCUCCUUCACUAGAGCAUCUUAACAUCCAUAAGUGUCCAGUGCUAAAAGAGAGAUGCCAACCAGGAAAAGGACGCUACUGGCACAAAAUAUCCCACAUCCCUGCCGUACAUCUGUUUUGAGAUGAUUUGAAGCUGAUGGUCCAAGUAUCAUCUCUCGAGGAAUGUUUUAAUAUUAUUAGUAUGGUUUUGGGGGUUGAGGAGUGGCUGCUUUGGGAGGCCUUCAAUUGGCGACAACCGGGAUAUUUCUCGGCCAACGUUUCUUCUUCCGGAUUCCUAUGUUUGCUUGCUCCCCUUUCACUUAUCUCUACUUAUUAAUGCAACCCCCUUUAUCAAUCAAAAGAGGGUAAAAAGAUAAUUUAAUCUUUUAUCACACACAAAAAAAAUGAUGGACAAUAAUGUAAUUUUAUAGGUCUAAAUUUUACUGUUUUUUAUUAAAGUUUCAUCCACAAGUGAUAUUAAAAUACCUUCAACAUUAAAAAACAAAAAUAAACAAAACAAAAAAAAACAAAAACAAAAAUCUCCCACUCCCCUCACGUUCUCUCUCUCUCUCCCUCUCUCCUUCUCAUUUUCUAAAAAAAUAUGUUCAUACACACAAAAGUGUGUAGGCAAAUGCUAGUUUGUAUUAUAAGUGUGCUACUCCUUCUCCUAACUUUAUGCCAACUAUGCCCCUUAAGUAUACUUAAUUCUUUAAUUUUCUUGGGUUAGAGUCAAGGUUAACAUGUUUUUGCACAAAACUAACUAAGAAAACACUCUAGUUACAUUAUAUUGUCAAAUUAUCGAAUUUGAUACUAAAGAAUUAUACAUAAUUAUAUUUAACCGUUCUUAAUUGAGAUUAACAGUGUAAUAAUAUAAAUUUAUCAUCCUUCAUGAUAAAAGAAAGCUUUCUUUAAUGAUAAACUGGUGUUAAAUAAUUGAUAACCGUUAAUGAAUAACGAGUCAUGACUUGCAAUAAACCUCACACACACCAUCAAAAAAGUUUGCAGUCGUGAAUAGACUUGGCAUACGGGUCUUAUUUGUCUCAUCCCGUUAUAUCUUCAUGGAUCUUAUCGUGUCAAACUAUUAUUUUAACAUGUUCUUAACAGGUGACCCUAUAACGACCUAAUUCGUUAACGAAUCAUGUCAUUUCUUGUCAAGAUAACGGAUCAUGCAAGAAAUUGAUAUAUCUAAUGUCUAGAUCAUGCAAGAAAUUGACAAAAUGCAUAAUUGAGAGUGAGACCCACUCCUCCAUGUUAUUAUAUUGACAAUAUGUUCCCUAACCUGGAAUUGGAUCCUCGCCGGAUCUAAUUGCUGGGGAUCCUAGGGAUCAACCCACGUGGGCCGUUGAUCAAAAAUCGUGCGGUCACAAUUAAAUGUUUUAAAAGUAAAACAGUCUCGUUUUGAUUGAAAAAUAUAAAAAAGAAAAAAAUUGUGGCCGCACAAUUUUUUAUCAACGGCCCACAUGGAUUGAUCCCUAGGAUCCCCAUGAAUUAGAUCCGGCGAGGAUCCAAUUCCCCCUAACCGCACAAUUUAUUAUAUCCAAUGUCCAGAUCUAGCAAAAGAUGUCUUAUCGAGUUUUUAAUGGGUGACACCUAAUGACCCGAUUCGUUAACGGGCUCUUAAUGGAUGACCUGAUUCGUUAACGAGUUGAUCAAAAACAUGUUAUUUUUUGUGUCAUUGCGUGUUAGAUUAAUAGUUGAUGCAAGAAAUUGACAAAAUGCAUAAUUGAGAGGGAGACCCACUCCUCCAUGUUAUUAUAUUGACUAUGUUCCCUAACCUGACCAAAAUCCACCAUGAAAUUCCAUAGCAUUGAAACAUGACGCCCCCAGCUCCCUAAUACGCUGUCGUUUUGAGAUUCCCCCACCCCGAAAAGUCCCUCAUAACCGUUGCUAACCCUCUCUCAGAACCCACGCGCCCAUUCUCCAACCGUUUAAACCCCACUCACUCCCACUCUCUCUCUCUCUCUCUCUCUCUCUCUCUCUCUCACUCACUCUAUACAUGUUCUCAGUCAAAAUCUCCAAGUCCUCUGCUUUGGCAACGAAAAUCGAAAACCCAUUUGUUUCCAUCCAUCAGAACUCGAAAUCUCCAUAUUCAUGUCUCCAAGAAAGCUUCUUGUUUUCUGGGUCGACGUCUUCUUCCUCAUAACUCUCUUCCUCCGCCGUGGCUCGGCCGAGAACGUCAACUUCUACUUCCCAUCUUUGAACUUCCGAAACCUCACCUUCCUCGGCGACUCCCACAUCCGAAACGGUGUCUUGGGGCUCACCGCGAGCUCACCGUCCCCUCCUCCAGCGCCGGUGCCGUCAUCUACAACAACCCAAUUCGGUUCUUCGACCCGGAGUCCAACAUCACUGCUUCUUUCUCCACAAAGUUCGCUUUCUCCAUCGCCAACGUCAAUCCGAGCUCCUACGGCGACGGCAUAUCGUUUUUCCUCUCGCAGGAGAACUGGACGCUGGGCAGCCCUGGUGGAUAUCUGGGUCUCGUCAAUUCCUCGCAAUUGACCAAGAACAAGUUCGUAGCCGUCGAAUUUGACACGAAGCUCGAUCUUCACUUCGACGAUCCGAACGACAAUCAGGUCGGAUUGGACAUUGAGAGCCUCAAUUCGAUCAAGACCGCUGAUCCGAUUUCACAGGGUGUCGAUUUCAAGGGCGGAAUUCGAUCACUGCUUGGAUUGAUUACAAGAACGACCAAUAAAAGCUUAAAGUGUAUCUGAGCUACUCGAAUUUCAAGCCUGAAAAGCCGGUUUUGAGCGUGGACAUCGAUCUCUCCGAGCAUCUGAAGGAGGUUAUGUUCGUGGGUUUUUCAGCCUCAACGGAGGGGAGCACGGAUAUUCAUCUGGUUGAGAAUUGGAGCUUUCAUACCUUCGGGUUUGUUGCGAAAAUGCCGAGGUUGUAGCCACACAAUGUGUCCGAUACUUAGGUGGCGGUGAGUCCGAGGAUUCCCGUGUCCGGUUCAGGGGAUAAGCAUCACCGGCGGCUCGGUUUGGGACCUGGGAUUGCUGGGCCAGCGUUCUUUUGCGUGGCGCUGGUGGUUUUCAGUUAUGUUUCCGUGAUGAAAUGGAUGGAGGUGAGAAAACAGAAGAGCUUCAAAGCAGAGCUGGUGGCAGGGCCAAGAGAGUUUAGUUACAAGGAGCUGAAAUCUGCCACAGGAGUGUUUCAUCCCAGUAGGUUGGGACUGUUUACAAGGCGUUUUUUGUGUCUUCAGGCACCAUUUCUGCGGUGAAAAGAUCCAAGCAUUCCCAUGAAGGUAAAACCGAAUUCCUCUCUGAGUUGUCGAUUAUUGCUUGCUUGCGUUACAAGAAUUUAGUUCACCUUCAAGGCUGGUGCGUUGAGAAGGGUGAAUUGCUUCUUGUUUACGAUUUCAUGCCUAAUGGGAACCUCGAAAAGGCGCUGUACCAAGAAUCUGUACAACGAACUUUGUUAGAUUGGUCUCGGAGACUGAAUAUUGCGGUCGGAUUGGCGUCUGUUUUGGCAUAUCUGCACCAGGAAUGUGAGCAGCAGGUCAUCCACAGAGACAUAAAGACUGGAAAUGUGUUGCUUUACGGGAAUUUAAACGCAAGGCUCAGUGAUUUCGGGCUUGCAAAGCUCAUGGAUCACGAUAAAAGCCCUGUUUCCACACUGACAGCGGCAACAAUGGGGUACCUUGCGCCUGAGUAUCUUCAAUAUGGAAAGCCACCGAAAAGACUGAUGGUUUUAGCUAUGGUGUGGUGAUCCUUGAAGUGGCGUGUGGAAGGAGGCCAAUAGAAAAAGAGCCGGGAAGUGAGAAGGCGGUGAAUUUGGUUGAUUGGGUUUGGGGGCUGCAUUCAGAAGGGAUGAUUAUCGAGGCGGCUGACAAGCUGCUGAAUGGGGAGUUUAAUGUGAAAGAAAUGAGAAAUCUGUUGCUUGUCGGAUUAAGUUGUGCUAACCCUGAUAGUGCGGAGAGGCCUACGAUGAGGAGGGUUCUGCAGAUUCUGAGCAAUGAGGCAGAAGUUCAAGCCGUCCCAAGGGUGAAGCCGAGUCUGAGUUUGUCUAGCAGAUUGCCUUUGUCCCUUGAUGACAUUGUUUCGGAUUGUGAGGAGGAUUCCAAUAGCCCUACAAGCUCGAUGUGUGAGAUCGUCAUUCACUGAAAAAUAUAUGCAGAUUUGAAGAGUUUAUAGAUAGUUGGAUUCUUCCAUUCUUUUAACUUUACCACUGCUUUUUUUUUUUUUUUAUCUAUCCUGUAGUUUGAAGAUUAGAGACUGUAUAGUCCACUGGCCUGAGUUCAAAGCUUUCUGUUGAACUGUGUGGUCUCUACUUUGUCCAGGACAAAAAAAGCUUCUUGCUUGAAUAUUUCAACUGUAAUGGAAGACUAAUUUCUGACUGGUUUACAAGUUGAAUGUUACACACGAACGAUUUCUAUACUAUUCGAUCUUACUGUUCUUAUACCGUUCUGUUUCUUGGGUAGUUUGAUUUGGUCUUUCCUAAUGGUACGAUACUGAGCAGUGGGUGAUCUGUAGAGUGAUUCUGUUUGCACCCGUAAAUCUGUUCGACACACACCCUCUCCCUCUCUCAGGCUAAAGUAGCCAUGGCAAAGGGAGGAGAACUAGGAAGGUUUUUGAGAGAUAGAGAGAGAGAGAGAGUGUGUGUGUGUGUGUGUGUGUGUGUGUGUGUGUGUGUGUGUGUGUGUGUGUUCUUUGGGUGUGAGAGUAAGAAGAUGCAGAAAGUAGAUAUAGCGAUGACAUUCAUAGAACUUACAGAUUCUGAACUUUUUUAAUCUCCCUCUAUGCCAGAAGAGAAUUUGAACUAUCUGCUUUGCAGAACUUGAGAAUUUUUCGGAUUGCAUCGCUAUCAGGAGAAAUUCUCAAGUUUUGGUAGUGAAGUAUUCAAGAAUAGUACACUGCAAUCCUUCUGUUUCAUAAUUGACCUCCUUUAUACACGCAGAUUUGAAGCUUUUCGCCAUCGGGAUAAAUUCUCAAGUUUGGUACUGAAGUGUAUUAAGCAGAUAAGUACGUGCAAUCAGUUAUGGAAGAAUUCGACCUGCUAUGCACAAACAGAACUAAGAAAGUGGACGAGUUCUUAUGAGCACAAGAUUUUGAAAUUUACCGGAUCCUUGCGUCUAAUUACCAUUGACAUUAUUCCAGUUCAACUCCUUUUUGAUGUACAGAUAAAAACUGUGUACCAGGCAAAGCCAAACCAGAACGUUCUGCAAGUAAGAACUCCGUGCUGGUCAAGUAAUCUGCCAGGCCCAGACUCAAGGCAGCAAGCUUGGAGAAAUGCUGAACCAGAAUAUGCAACAUCGUUCUUCUCCCCUGAAAUCGAAUUGUGCACAACAUCAGUGAAUUCUCGAUGGCCCUUUUUGUGGUCUCCCUCUCCGAUCCUGGUUUCGGAUCUUUGUUUUGCGAAAUAGGUCUUUACUGUUCCUUUCACGUCGACGAUGAGCCAGGAGUAUGGAACUUAAGAAGUAUCCCUCAUGACAAAGCAGAUAACCGUAUCAAUCACUAAGCGGUUUACAACAUCAAGUUUCCGAAGAACAUUUCAAUGCUGUACAAGACCUGCAAAUUAGCAGCAAACUGCCGUAGCUUAUCAAUUGUGACAGAAAUAAGUUAAACUAACCUUGUAUAUUUGAUCAAGAGCUUCAAAAUAAUUCAUAAGAUCUAAUAUUAAAAAAAAUGUAAAAGCAAAUACACUGAAAGAAAACACUUAUGGUGAAAAUAUUUUUGGAACCAAUUAUUUGUGAAAAUACAAGUAAAUCCUCGAAAGCACUUAAAAAAAUACAUUUCUAAAAGAAACAUUUCAAUCAUUUUGAAAAGCACUUCAACUUCUUCUCAUCAUUCUUACAAAAUAAGAAUUUGUACAAAACUGACAUAUACUUGCUUCAACUGAUUAUUCUGCUCCAAGAAUCAUCUGCAUAAUAUAAAUACAAAAUCCACGAGGAAAAUAGAGUUUCGCGGUUUACAUAGGAAUUAAACAAUAAUGUACACACAUACACAAUAUCCACAAAUUAAGUGAUUUCCCGAUUCACCAUAUAGAAUGUUGAGCUUGUUGCGAGUUAUACAUUAGUUAAAGUAUAAAUAGUAGUUUAUUGUCCCAUAUUAGUGAAGUACAUAUGUAAUAUCAAUUGUAACUUUUAUAUAUACUCCACUUUGGAGAUUAAUGAAUAUAUAAGAAAUUCACAAAUAUUAUCAUAUAUAUUUUUGGUAUUUACCAUGUUGAGUUUAAUAUUGCUAUUUACCAUGUUUAGUUUAAUAUGGUAUCAGAGCAAUUCGCUCUUGGUGACCAGUGUGCUUUAAUUUUGUGCCCACAUUUUUCGUGAUCUCCUAUGUGAAAAAAAAAAUUAGUGAAUAGUGUCGCGCUACAAUACAACGUUUGCUACAGUGCAUGAAUAGUGGUCCUCUACAUUGCCGUGCACAGUGAUUGCUACAGUGCCGUGAAUAUUCUCUGCUACAGUGCUGUGAACAAUGAUUGCUACAGGUUCUGGUAAAUUGUUUUCAUUCUGCUGCGUAUCUUUUGUGCCUUUAUUGUUCGUGAUUUUGUUCAAUGACUCAAUAUAAUCAUAGUAUUGUUAUGCAUCUUGGUGGAACAAUAAAUGGAUAAUUGAUACUGGGGCUACUGAUCAUGUGACUAGUGACCCUAGAGUGUUUGAUGAGUUAUGUGACUAUGUUUGUGAUCCGUAUAUUACUAGUGCAAAUGGAGCACUUUCCCCUGUGAAGGGUGAAUACACUAUCUCUCUAACUCCAACCUUAUCACUGGUCUGUGUUUUACUUGUUCCUGAUGUUAAGUGCAAUCUUUUGUCGGUAUGAAAACUUCUUGAUACCUUAUAUUGUUCUGCUUACUUCUAUCCUACGUAUUGUUAUUUUCAAAACAUUCAAACUCAGAAGAUAAUUGGUCAUGAUAAAAAAAUAGGGGGUUUGUACAUCUUGACUAUGGAGGAUACUGUUGUUUCCGGUUCAAAUAAUCAUCAAGUUUUAAGUGCUAAUGUCACAUCCCGACCCAUGGUCCACCACAUCCCGGGCUCGCUCCACCACCGUAACACGAUAUUGUCCGUUUUAGGCCCCGACCACGCCCUCACGAUUUUGUUUCUGGGAACUCACAUGAGAACUUCCUAGUGGGUCACCCAUAAUGGGAGUGCUCUCGUGCGCUACUCACUUAACUUCCGAGUUCCGAUGAACUCCGAACCCAGUGAGCUCCCAAAAUGCCUUGUGCUAGGUAGGGAUGGGAAUAUACAUUUAAGGAUCACUCACCUAGGCAAUGUGGGAUCUUACAAUCCACCCCCCUUAGGGGCCUGACGUCCUCGUUGGCAUACCACAGCCAGGGUUAGGCUCUGAUACCAAAUUGUUACAUCCCGACCCGGGGUCCACCAUAUCCCGGGCCCGCUCCACCGCCAUAGCACGAUAUUGUCCGCUUUAGGCCCUGACCACACCCUCAUAUUUUUGUUUUUAGGAACUCACACAAGAACUUCCCGAUGGGUCACCCAUCAUGAGAGUGCUCUCGUGCGCAACUCGCUUAACUUCCGAGUUCCGAUGAACUCCGAAGCCAGUGAACUCCUAAAAGGCCUCGUGCUAGGUAGGGAUGAGAAUAUACAUUUAAGGAUCACUCACAUGGGCGAUGUGGGAUCUUAUAGCUAAAGUGGAUGACAGACAUCAAAUUUGGUUGUGACAUCGACGAUUGGGACAUCCAUCAUUCAGUUAUAUGAAGCAUCUAUUUCCUUCUUUGUUUCGCACUUGUAGUGAUUCAGAGUUUAAGUGUGAAACAUGUGUCAUGGCUAAGAGUCAUCGUGCUUCCUUUCCUGUAAGUGAUUCUAAAGCUACUUUGUCAUUUGAUUUGAUACAUUCUGAUGUGGGGUCCGGCGAAAGUUACUUCUAAUGGAUUCCGUUGGUUUGUUACUUUUAUUAAUGAUUAUACUCGGUUAACUUAGGUGUUCUUGAUGAAGAAUAAGAGUGAUGUUCCGUUACUUCUUCAAGAAUUUUGUACAAUGGUGUCUACUCAGUUUCAGACCAAAGUUAACGUCUUCAGGUCUGAUAACGGAUGAGAAUGUGUAAAUCACACUUUGACAUGUUUUUUUCUCGUGAUUAUGGUAUUAUUCACCAGACUACUCCAUUUACACCCCAAAAAAAUGGUGUGUCCGAACAGAAGAAUCGUCAAAUAAUGGAGGUUGCUCACUUUUUGAUGUUGGAUAAAUGUGUUCCUAAUCAUUUGUGGGGUCAUGCUGUUUUGGCUGCUAUGUUUUUGAUCAAUCGUGUUCCAAGUAGGGUUCUUCAUUUUCAGACACCGUUUGAUGUGCUACAAAAACAUGUUUCUCUUGUUUCUGUAUUAAAGCUUCUUCCGAAAGUGUUUGGGUAUAUUGCGUAUGUGCAUGUCUACUCUCAUCAGCGGAGUAAACUUGAUGCAUGUGCUCUCCGGUGUGUCUUUAUUGGGUAUGCUAACAAUCAAAAAGGCUAUAAGUGUUAUCAUCAUCCGACUCAAAAAACUUAUAUUACCAUGGAUGUUACCUUGCAUAAGAAAAUUUUGUAUUUUAUGAAGCUCUCUUCCGACUCUCCACUUCAGGCGGAGAGGGGGAGUGAAAUGCAUAUUCAAAUAAAUGGUAUGGAUGAUGUGUUACAGGCAGAGUUGGGAACAUAACCUAUUAUGUUGCGUGAUACUAAUCAGUUGGCUACAGAUAAUGAUCGAUCACCUGUCAUUCCCGGAACUAUUUCUACUGAUGACAGAUCAGAUGUGCCCAAUGAAUUGCCUAUUAGUAUGUCUAACGAAUUACAUUCUGAUGAUCGGUUGUCUGUUGCUAAUAUGUCUAAAGAGUUGCCUGAUGAUGGUUCGUCCAGUGAUGAUUCUUCUAACAGUUUGGUACACAUGAAGUAAAUUCUGACGAUUCUUCUAUUUAUCAGUUGCCUCCAUGAGCUAAUCGUGGAAAACAUAAAGUACAAUAUGAUCCUGAUAUGCAUGCCAAAGCCAAAUAUCCUAUCAACAAUUAUCUGUCUACUCAUCGUUUGUCCAAACCAUAUGCAUCUUACAUAUGUCAGCUAUCUAGUGUAUCAAUUCCAAUAAAAUUGCAAGAUGCUUUGUCUAACCCUAAGUGGGUUAAUGCCAUGAAAGUUAAGAUGGAAGCUUUGGAAAAGAAUUCUACUUAGGAUUUGGUUCCGUUACCAAACGGGAAGAAAGUCGUUUGAUGUAGAUGGUUGUUUACUAUUAAGCACAAAGCAUAUGGUUCUAUUGACUGGUAUAAAGCCAUAUUAGUUGCUAAGGGUUAUACUCAAACCUAUGGGGUGGACUAUCAGGAGACCUUUACUCCUGUUGCCACACUUAAUACUGUGCGUGUUCUUUUGUCCUUAGCAGUAAACCAGGAUUGGCCUCUGUUGCAGUUUGAUGUUAAGAAUGCUUUCCUUCAUGGUGAUCUUAAGGAAUAAGUGUAUAUGGAUCUCCCACCUGGUAUUGGAACAUCUCCUGGAAAAGGUGUUGUAUACAGGUUACAAAAGGCCUUAUAUGGUUUGAAACAAUCUCCUAGAGCGUGGUUUUUGAGGUUUACAAGUUCAAUGAAGAAGUUUGGGUAUAUCCACAGUCAUUCAGAUCAUACUUUGUUUCUAAAGCGACAAAAUGGUAAGCUAACUACAUUGAUUAUAUAUGUUGAUGACAUGAUAGUGACUGGUGAUGAUCAGAAUGAGGAGAUACAACGCCUUCAAAAGUACCUAGCUACUGAGUUUGAGAUGAAAGAAUUAUGUGAAUUGAAGUAUUUUUUUGGAAUCGAGGUUGCACGAUCUAAGCAUGGUAUUUUUCUGUCUCAACGAAAGUAUGUUCUUGAUUUGUUAGCUGAAACAUGUAUGUUAGAUUGCAAACCUGUUGAUACUCUGAUUGAGCAGAAUCAUCGUCUGGGCUUAUUUCCAGAUCAAGUUUCUACUCAUAAGGAACAAUAUCAGAGGCUUGUGGGGAGAUUAAUUUAUUUGUCUCACACUCGCCCUGACAUUGCUUAUGCAGUUAAUGUGGUAAGUCAGUUUAUGCACUCACCUAGUGAAGCUCAUAUGGAUGAAGUAACCCGUAUUUUGAGGUACUUGAAGAUGGCUCUUGGCAGAGGCUUGGUUUUCUCCAAGAAUGGUCAUUUGAAUAUCGAAGGGUAUACAGAUGCAGAUUGGGCAGGUUCUAUCACUAAUCGGCGAUUUACAUCUGGAUACUUUACGUUUGUAGGUGGUAAUUUAGUUACUUGGAGAAGCAAGAAACAAAAAGUGGUGGCUAGGUCAAGCACAGAAGCUGAGUUUCGUGAUAUGUCUCAUGGUGUAUGUGAGUUGUUGUGGUUGAAAAAAUUGUUGAGAGAUCUUGGGUCUAAACCCAAAGGUGCUAUGAAACUUCAUUGUGAUAACAAGGCUGCUAUUGAGAUUGCUCAUAAUCCAGUGCAACAUGAUCGAACAAAACAUGUGGAGAUUGAUCGACAUUUCAUUAAGGAAAAAUUGGAUGCUAGAAUUAUUAUGUUUCCGUUUGUGAGAUAUGAAGAUCAACUUAUUGAUGCUCUUACUAAGGCUGUGUCUAAUAGUGUGUUUUCCAACUCGCUUGACAAGUUGGACAUGCGUGACAUCUUUGCACCAACUUGAGGGGGAGUAUUGCGAGUUAUACAUUAGUUAAAGUGUAAAUAGUAGUUUAUUGUCCCAUAUUGGUGAAGUACAUAUGUAAUAUCAACUGUAACUCCUAUAUAUACUCCACUUUGAAGAUUAAUGAAUAUAUAAGAAAUUCUCAAAUAUUGUCAUAUAUAUUUUUGGUAUUUACUAUGUUGAGUUUAAUAUUGGUAUUUACCAUGUUUAGUUUAAUAGAGCUAUAUAUAUAUAUAUAUAUAUAUAUAUAUAUAUAUAUAUAUAUUAUAUAUAUAUAUAUAUAUAUUUGUAGAUAACAAUGUUCCUUAAUUUUGUGAGAGAAUAUCUUACUUUGAGGUUAGAUCGAAGUAGAUCAGACGACGGUGCUGACAGAUGGGAAUGUAAGAGAUGAUGACAGAAGAAGAGAAAGCACACUCCCAGCAACGGUAAAGACUCUCCUUAGCCGAUGGCGGGUUGUGCUCUCUCUCUUCUGUCAACAUAUAUGAACUCUAACCUCAUUCCCCAUCUCAUCUAUACACCCUUAAUGCCACAAAACUCAUGCAUUCAUCCCUGCAGAGCAAACCAUCAAUUAAUAGGGUGAGGUAACGCAUUCAGGCUCAUAUAAAUCUGAUAUAUUGUAUACAAUGCAUAUUAGCAUGUCUACUACCCCUUACAUACAUACAUACAUACAUAUACAUAUAUAUACAUAUAUAUAUAUAUAUAUAUAUAUAAGCAUAUCAUAUGUAUAGAUACUGGCGCAGUUGUAGAAGAGGUAUUUAAUGGCACAAACCCGGUUUAGUGCAACUUUCGGUCUCGAAGUCAGAUUUUGGCCCAUGAGUUGCGGGGGACAAACAGUUUGUGCCGUGAAACUCCUCUUCUACUCACACACCAUACUCUGCAUAGAUAUAUGAUUUUAAAUAUCCGUUAAUUCAUUAUUAUAAGCAUAAUUUUUGCUAACAGAUAAAUAAUUAAACAUAAGAACUUGCCUCUAUAUAUAGCCAAAAAUUAACCAUGAUCUGGGAUUUUUUUUUUCAUCAAGCCAAUAAAUAUGUACUGAUCAUGAAACAAACUGAUCAAUAUCAACAUCCAUCACCAUGAAGGGGUAAUUUGUGAGUGAAAUCAAUACUGAAUUUAUAAAAUUUAUAUGUAUAUAUAAUGUGUUCAGAUAUGUAUUUAUAUAUACCUAAUGUAUGCAUAUGCAUCAAAAAUCAGAUUAAAACAAUAUAUCUACUUAUCACAGGAACUACUUCAUACAAAUAAAUAUAAUUUAUCAUGACAGUUUAAUCAAAACACUGGCUAAAAAUUGAGAGAGAGAGAGAGAGAGAGAGAGAGAGAGAGGAGAGUGAGAAUUUUACUCUUAGGGUUCUUCAACUUUUGCUUAGCUGGUCAUCAGAUACGAUUUUCACUGCAGAAACUACUAGUUUCUCUUCACUUUCCAUGAAAGAUAAAGAGGAAAGAAGAAAUAAAGAAGUAGAUAAAAGCAGAGAACAAGUGUGGGAGUGAGAGAUACGUAUAAGCUACAAAUUCUAUACCUCAAUGUAUCAGUUGUUGAUGAAUAGUGUUCAUCUUAUAGGGACCUGGCCGCUGACUAUAACCGGUGACUUGUAGUAUGAUUUAUGACCGUCUAGUGAGCGUAAACUGGUUUCGACACUAGUUUUUAUUUUAUGAUUUAGAUGUUGUAUUAAACAUUAUGGAUAGCCACCGUUUUAAAUAUCAAUAUGCGUGAAAAUAUCAAUAUGCAAAUUUAUAAAAAUGUAGGUGGACACGUCGAUAUCGGUUGCCUUCAUAAAUAUUAAAGAAAUUUGCAAUGUGUGAUAUAUCUCAUUCAGAUUUAGUUGAAAUUAAAAAAAAAUUCAUAAAAUUUCAAAAGUUUGAAAUUUGAAAUGAGUUCCCGCAAAAUAUAUGUAGUGUAUUAGUAAAUAUUGUAGAUAUUUAUUGAUUUUCUUUAUCUUGGUGAUAUAGGAUGAAGUUUGUAUUUUACCCCUUCUAUAUUGAUUCUUAAUUUUUUUUUAAUAUUUCAACGAAAAUAUUGACGAUUUGUAAAUAUUUUAAACACAAGGUAGUAUAUAGGAUUUCAAAUAUAUUCAAACCCAAACGUUACUAUUAUCCGGAAUUAAACUUACAUUUUAAUUAAAAACAGGCUACCUGAUUAACAUAACAAGAUAUAAAAUAACACUUCCUUUUUCUCGAGUCUGCAAGCUUAUCCGUUUGUACAAAUUUGGUGUUAGGACUUGGGAGAUUCUUUUCAAACGUGAUGAAACUUUUCACUGUCAAAGGACUCAAAGUCGUUAAUGGCACCAAUAAAAUUUAAAAUUUAAAAUUGUAUUUAAUAAAGAAGAAAAUGACGUUGAUAAAGAAUAAUAAGACCCGUGGUGUAAGCAACGUCAUAAAUGGGUAACCAAAAAUGGUGGGGGUGGAUGUUGACCGGCUAUUUCAGGUCGGCCGGAUCCAAGAAAGGGUCUUUGUUUCUCUCUCACCUCACCUGACAUCACCCGUGAUAACCGAUAAACUCGUCGCUUUCGCGACUGUGGAGAAUAUCGAGACCGUUGAGUGGUGCCACGUGGAGGACAUGCACGGGUGGUAGGCUGGUGAUUUGGGAUAUGAACAGUGACUACCUUCCUCUCAUGAAUUUUGCAUACUUUAGUUUAUUAUCUUAUUUUCCACGCCGAAACUUUAUAUUAAAAAAAUAAUACAUUUGUCAAAAGUGCACGAUAAAAAUUUUUAAAAUGCAAACAACAGUGUACUAAUUAUUAGAUCGGUGCCAUGCUAAUCUCUAUGAUUUAGUGAAACUCUUCGUAAUACAUUGUUAUUAAUAUACCAAAUCAAAUCAAAAUUUUCAUUUACAAUUCAAACAUAUUACUUUUACCACAUUUUCAUACUAUAUUUGUACCAUCUUUAUAAUAAAAAGGGGAUCUAUAUGUGUCGGUUGGUCCUACUUCUAUUAAAAAGUGGUACGAAUAAUAUGAUAUGAAAAUUAUAGUUAAGUGUAGCAUUAGACUACUUUUGCAGACGUUCGUGGUACUGAUUUUAAUCUUCUACUAUAAUACACCUAAACUUGUUAUUUCAUCAUGUUAUUUAUUUUUAUUUAAAUGAGAAAUAUUAUGUUCGAAUCUCAUGAUUGAUUAUAUUUCCCGACUAAUUACCCAGAUAGUUUAAAUAUCGAUCGUUGUAAUGUCAUUGUCCACCCUCUAAUUCAAAUUAGCAGCAUUAGGGAGGUCCAUUUAAUGGGGUCAUCAGCCAUGACAAGGAGCUUGAAAGAUUAAUAGACUCUGAGCAUCUUUGAUUGGUCAACACUCGUUAGGUCUUAUUCUUGUAGCUAUAAUUGGAGAGAUUUUUCAACAUAUUUGAAAUACGAGACUGUACAUUACAUGACACUGUACAAAUGAAAAGAUACUUGCAAAACUUAAAAUAAAACUUUUGUUUAUAUAUAUAAUGACAUAUUAUGUACCACCCAUGUUUCGAAUAUAUUGAAAAAUUACUCAAACUCAUGUGAAAAUGAAUGUUUUCCCUUUUCAGCCACACGUAAAAUAUAUGGUUCCCAUAAAAAUUCAAAAAUCAAGAGGAAGCCUGCAAUAUUGCUAUCAGAAAGCUCCCCUCAUCAUCUCAGAUGGUCCUGGGGAGAGGAAUCGAUGAAUGGAUCACAACCGUUGGAUCCAUUGAUUGAAAUGUGGGGCCUUCUGCCACGAGACACGUGUUCAUGCCCUAGAGAUGCAGGUGAAGUUCAUGCGCCGAUACAGAAGAAAAAUGAAAAGGCAUGCUGAAAAUAAUUCAGAUAUUUUGAUGCCUGAGAGCGACCGGAGACAUAUAUCCAUUGACGUCACUCGUCUAAUCGAUAUUUCUCAUACGUUAAAAAAGUGAACUAAUCGUUCAUCUUACGUUUAAACCGUGAAUCUGCUUGAUCGUUAUCACAAGUAAUGUAUAAUUUCCAAUUAACCUCAUUUGUGUUCAUAAAAAAGAGUGAAUAAUCGUAAGUGCCAAAGCCUUGAUACAAUGGAUUCAAGGCAAAUGAGAUUUGGAAACAACUGGCAAUAAAUCAAAUCAAUAAUUCAUAUAAGCAUCGGCUAAAAAAAUGCCAUUUUAGUACAGAUAAUUACAUUUCUUUUCUUCAUAAUCUCACGUUCCUAACAGCAUAACAAAAUCUCAGUAAAGUACAGAACCUGCAGAUUGCUUCAAGACAAUGUCACAAUAAGUAGAAACUGUAUGAAUUAGUUUGAAUCACUAAGUCAGCAAAACCUCCAAUCCGGGUACUAAUUAGUUCUGAUUCGAUCGCCUUCAGAAGUAAUUAAAGUGUCUAUGAUCUUGUAAUGUGAGAGACGCCCACGCAACGGAUCAUCUUGCGCAUUAUCUGUGUUACUUCUCAGUUUUUCAGACUUCGAAGCAGGAUUCAUAUCACUUUUCUCAUCGAAGAUCUCUCGUUUUAGGGUCUCUGAUGCUUCCUUGGAUUCAACCAAUUUAGUUUUCCAUUUAAUACCAACUGCCUCAGCCUGAUCUGCAAACAAGACUUUUGCGCUAGCUGAACUGCAGAUUUCUUUGUAAGUUUCAUAAUUAGCAGCUCGGGUGCUUCCACCUUCCAAAAGUCCCGUGAGGGGAUGCAAAACCGAGACUGGACCAUCACUUCUCUCUAAUGUUUCCUUCAACGCCAGAAAUUCAGAGACAAAUUUUUCCUUGCUAAACUGAAUGAAUACUGCAGUUUCAUCCAAGUGGUAGACAGACGUGACAGAGGUCGGGCCAAAGACUUUUGUGAUGCACUCCCUUAUAUCUCGUGCCUUGAGUUUUGAUGGGAAUCCCCAGAUUAAAGCAAUGUUCUCAAACAUAAUCUGCGCGUACCUCUUUUUGUGAUUAUUAUACCCCGAAGACAUUGCUUUCUUCUUGCCGGUGGUUAAAUCAAUAAUGUCUCCAUUACUCCAACUGAGGUAUAAAAGGUUGAUUUGCUUCUGGAGCUUCUCAUUGUGGGGCAACUUUUCAGAUGACAAACAAGCCUGAAAAUCAAUUCCGAGAUGACUGCAUGUCUGAGCAAAGACACAGCCUGUCAUAAAAGCAUCGUAUCCUGCUUCAUGUUUGGCUCCAGAAUUCCAGUUGGAGGACCUGCAAAUAGAUAAUCGUGAUAUGAAAGACUUAUUCCUUUGCUUUUCCUUUCAUUUGUAUAUAAACUGCCAAUUUUAGUUACAUUACUAAAACUAUCUUUCUCCAUAUGUAAUGGUUAUUCUUUUAACCAAUAUGUAAUGGUUAUUCUAUGAGAGAGAGCCACGUGGCAUGCACAAGUAUAUACAUCUCGUAAAGCAAGUAGAAAUAGAAACAAAUUGACAAACUUAUACGAACUUGUUAUCCGACAGAUUUCUAAAGUUGGUUGCAUCUAAAGAAUGUAAUGUGUAAUUAACCCCGGUCAAAAAUGUCAUGCCAACCUAGUCGUUUUCAGACAGAUCUCUAAGUGCCCUACGCCAUUAAUGAAAGUUAAUGAAAAUGCUCUCCUUCAUCUGUCGGGUUUCAACUCUAUAUCUUUUUCCAUUCAAACUGUGACAAUGGAAACCACUGAGACCAACUAAAUGAAUUGAGCACGGCCGAGAUAUCAUUAUGGACAGAGAAUGGAAAAAGCAAACCUCAAAUCAUCCACCUGAACUUCAACUUUGACACACAAUUGGACUUCUGAAUCAGUGCUUUUCUUCCCAAGAGCAAUUUGCGGGCAUAACAAAGCAAAUGCUGACGAAAGUGAUGUUCUGGACUUCUUCAUCCGUUGUUGGAGCACAUUAUCUGUAUUCAACAGUACUUUGGUGUCAAUGAUGUGUGGAAAAUACUUGUUAACAGCAGAGACAAAUUCCUCAGCAGUCGAAGGUAGAGGUCCCAAGAAUUUGUUGUAUAUAUGGGCAAUAUCUGUAUGACAACAAGAAGACAUCUUAGUAAUAUAUAAAAUCAAAUUGACCUUUUAUGAAAGUAACAUCAAUACUCAUACCAAGAAAGCAAUUGUGACCAACAAUCAACUUUUGUUCUGAGGAAAGAAGGUCAAUAACAUGACGAAACCCAACUGCAGCUUGAACUUUCACCUCUGCUUCCCUACGAUGUUCAUCCUUAACCUCUUUCUGCAAAAGAUUGCAUACAGAAAACUAUAAUUCCUCCUGAGGUGUAGAUGAUCAUCACAUAAUAACAAAUACACUGACUUCCUUUGGUGAUAAUUUCUGUUCUCCCUAAUGCACCAACAGCAUUAUGCAAAAUUUAUGCCCAGAUAGUAAUUAUCAUACACACUGCCGUUUGUUUAUUAACGAGAAAUUAACAGUGUUGAGACAUUUUAGUUAAGACUUAGAAGAAGAAGAGAAAGAAGAGUUUCAAUAUCUCUAAUGGUUGUUUCGAUGGCUACGAUAGAAAUCCAGAGAAAACUUGUUGAUUGACUUAUUGGAAUACUAAAAAGUAAAAACAACUCCAGGCCCAAACUCGGACCAUCAAGACCUUUAGAAAGUAAAUCAUUUUCAAUAAGAAAACAACCAAAUUCUAAUAACCGAAAGUCUGAAAACUAUUUCACAAAGUAAACAUCCUAAGUAGUCUUUCACAGUUGAAGAGCAUUUGAAAAUUUCACAUCAUAUAAACUGGAGGACACAAAUUACUUACCAGAAGCAAAUCCCUGUCAUCCUUGGAAUCUGUCCGCACAACUAGUUGCUGUUGACACGACUUUUCACCAUUUACCUGAACAUAAGAAAGAUCUUGGAAAUGCUUUCUCAUGACCUGCAAACGUUAAUUUUAAUAUUCAGCUUAACAAAACCAUGACUAAGAAGAAGAAAAAAUGUUUUUUACGCAUAUAGAGUACAUCUCUGCAUUAUUAUAAAAAGUAAAACAAUACUUUUUUUUUUUUUUCGUACCCAGUGCACAAGGCUCCCGCUUUACGCAGGGUCUGGGAGAGGUGAAUGUUGGCUAGCCUUACCCCCAUUUAUGGAGAGGCUGCUCCCAAGUAUCAAUCAAAUCAUUUGCUUGGCUAAAAAGGUUAAAAUACAAUAAAUAUAUUCACAUCCAAUUUAUGAGAUAUCAUGCAAAAGCAAAUGUGAAUGAUUACAGAAUCAUGAAUGCGAAUAAGAAACACAAACUUGCCAAAAAGAAGACCUAUUAUAGUGUGUCAAGAUACUCGCAGCAUAAAGUGUCAAGAUAACUGCAACAAAAUAUCCAUCCAAUGACUUAAGACUCAGAUCAAAGUCAAAUAAAAGUUGUUGCUUCAUAAUUUCCAAUUUCAGUUCCUUACCAGCCUCAGUGAGCAUUUCACCAAUUUCAAUCUCUUCCUAGAACUUUUAUACUUAUCUAUAACAAAAAUUUCAAAACCCGGUUUCGAGUUACUUUUCCUUGAACAACCAGGGAAAAGGCGAAUAGACAUAGAGUAAGUUUUUGAAUUAUUUGAGGCAAUUACUAAAGAAUACCUAGGAUCAUGUCAUGGAUCACAUGUCCAAGAUUAACUUGUUACAAGUGAGAAUCUUAUGAUAGAUGAUCAAAAUGUAAAAACCAAACCCACCAUUUGAAUCAACCUAAGCUGAUGAGAAGUGAAUCCCUUCAAACUAAGAGCUGGACGCAUCUUGAAGAAAAUGGUUUGUAACUGUUGGGAAUCAUUUGAGUUUUGCUGAAAUUGGAAUCCUCCAUUACUACUUCUCAAGUUCAACAAACCAUCACGCCAUUCAGUGAAUGUGUUCUUCAUCCGUUCAGCAAAGAGAGUGUCAGCAAUCUUGACCACUGGCAUGUGCACAGGUUCUUUCAAGUUUGAACAUCUAGUCAAUAACUCAUCAUCAUAUGUCAAGCUCAAACGUCUCAGUGCCUCACUUUCCUGCCCUCUGGAUAAAUAAGAUAUUCCUGAGAUUGUACAACCAUUUAACUUUACAAACUGAAACCAUCAUAAAAGAAAAGCCAGGGAAGUAACUUUCACACCAGUUACAAAACCUUAACCAUUACUUCAAAAAGAAAUCAAACAAUUUCACUACCUUCAUGUAUGCAGACAUUAAAAUCGAACUGGUAUUUAGCUAAGAAAUCAAUCGAUGUUGUCUGGCAAAGAAACUCAUAAGUGGGGCCUGCAACCGGAAGCUCUUGACGCGGAAAAAUGUAAAAAUUGUGCCUGUCAGCACACCCAUAGUAUUACACAAUAAAAACCACAUAAAAAGUUCAAAACGAAACACCAUCAUUGCACAAACUUAUUCAUCUCGGAAAUUGUGUGCCUUCGCAUUUGCUUCAAACAAUCCUAGACAGCAAACACAUGUAUAAUAUAAUUUACAAACCCGGCAAAGCAACCGAUUUUACGUAAAAAAUUUCAAAAUUUAAAUUUUUUUUCUCCUUUUAAAGUUCAACUUACUACAUUUACCAGAAAAUCCAGUCACAUUUAGCUUUUCAAUCCAAAUAUCAUGAUCAAAGCAAAAGACUCGAACUUUAAAUUUUAUCAGCUAACUAACACGUAAUUGCAAGAGAGAGAAGCAAUUGCCAAUGUUUCAAUAACAAUAAAAUCAAGCAAAAUCCCUAAUUUUUGUUCCUUACUUUCUUCCUCACUUUCUGGGCAGCCAAACAGAGCACAAACAAAAAUCAAGAAUGGAAAAGAAAAAGUCACAUACGGAUGAGCAAUGAAGGAGCGCUUGGAGGAGUCCCAGCGGAAGGGGCAAACUCCGAACUGAAGCACGGCGAACUUCUCGGCCGAGUCCUUGACCUUAAGGUAGCAGACGUCGGCGCGGUCGAAUUCCAGGGAGUCACGCCACGGAGCGCUGGUGAUUCCGGUCAUCUCGAGAUCGAUGGCCACGAAAUCGGCGGCGGCGACAUGGCGGCGCAGGUCGGCGAGGGCCGGCUCGAAGUUGGAUUUGGUCACGUUUUUUAGAGGGAAGGUGGAGGAUUGUUGUUGUACGGACGACGAAGAGGAAGAGGAGUGGGAUAGGGCACGUGAUAUCGCACGUGACAGUGCCCUCACCGGGCGGUGAGUGUUCAUUUUCUGAGCAUUUGCCUGAGCUUUCGGCCCUCGGGGGUUUAUGCAGAGAGUUUUCGACCCAAGGUAGAAGAUGAAAUGAUACCGCCUACGACGUCGUUUCUGCAAUUUUCAAUAAAUCUUUUCCUGGGGGAAUCGGGUCGGGUUAGCCCAACUUGAAAGCUAUAUAGAAAGGCCCAGCCAACCAAGGGAGUUCUGUUUUCUGCCCGGAGAAAUGAUUUUUACGCGUCAUUUUCUCUUUCUUCAAACGUUCACCUGGAAUGUGUAUAUUUUCCUUCUUGUAUGAUUAAGUCAUUUCUUAUUUUGAUUCUGAUUACGAAUUAACAAACGCAUACUUUUUGUGCUUAGAAUUUCUUGUUACGAUGAAACUCAAUGAAACUACACGUUUGAUUUACUUACAUUCAUAAAGCUCGAGUUAAACGAGCGGCUAAUGCGAGGGAACGCUUUGCUAAAGGGUUGGAGAAAUAGAGACGAAUAAUAAAGAGGACUCCCCUGAAAAAUUAACACACUUGAUGAUGACACACAAUCUAAUACAGACGGCUCUAUUAUUGUAUAUAAGACUCACUCGUUGUCUUAUUAAAAAUUGUGUCAGCAGGUGAAUCAAUUUUGUAUGUCUAAUAACAUUAUCUUUAUUCAGUUAGGGACAAAAGUAAGGACCAAGAACAAGCCAUUGCUAGAGCACGUCCAUAUUGAAGGUUCUGAGGUUAAUUUACAAGAAAGGAAUAACUUAUUUUAAUGGCAUACACUUUUUGUGCUCACUUUUUUCAUUGUGAUGAAGGGGAAAAGAUGUUUUGGGAAUAUGUAAAGUAACAAGAAACUUGUGGUUUGGUUGUAGAGAGCUAUACAUAUUUAUUGUCAAAUCUUUUUGUGUUAGGCACAUCUUAUUGACGAACAAUUUUUCGGUGUGUCGGAAAACGGCUCGAUACACUAAGCGUAAUAAUAUAAUUGAAUAUAAAUUUGAAAAAAAAAAGUUGCAACCAAUUGUAUUGAUACUUGACACGCCAAUCGUGCUUCGGACAUUGAAAAAAUUCUCUUAAUUGACGACUAGGACCAGAUAAUGUAUGGCAUGAUUCAUGGAUAUGUAAGUGCAACGUAGACAACACAAAAGUCUAUGUAGGGUUGGAGUAUUUAUAAUUUAAAAAUUCUCUUAGUCCAACUGUUUUGCCAACUUUUAUGUAACUUUCUUCCAUGAAAUGAAUUAUAAAGAAAGAUUUUCAAAGUAUAAAUUUUAUAUAAAACACUUAGAGGGAGUUGGAGAAAAAAAAACUUAAUUAGUUGGUAACUUAGAUGUUUUUUUUCAACUGGUUUUUAGUUGUGAAAUCUUCAGUGUCUUUAUUUAUGUCAUUCUCUAAUUUAUUAUGAAAUAGACUUAAAACUCAAGUGGUAAGACACCUAUUAUUGUGUUUAGUUCCCUCACCUCUUAAUAAAUAAGUCGUAAUUCACUAUUUUUUAAUACAAGUGGUCGGGGCAAAUUUCAAACCUAUAUUUCACACAACACAUCAUGUAUUCUCUCUUUGAAGUUGAUGAAUUACACGAUGGUGCCCUGGGGGAGGUUAAAAUGUCUAUGUGAGUCUUCUAGACUCUCAAAUAGUAGAUUGUCACAGCGAAGCGACCAACUGAUCCCCUUUAAUAAAAGAAACACAAUAAAGUUGAAGAUGAAAGGCUUGACCACAAAACAAUCCACUACUUACAAUGGUAAAUAAUUACUAAUAGUAAUAUUUUUUUUUAACAAGCAAUAGUAUUUACACUAAGGGGUGGGAGUUUGUCAUAAUAAUAUGGUUCAAUUUUACCUUUGAUGAGAAUCGAAUUUAAAACAUCUCAUAUACAAGCGAAAAUAAAUAUUACUAAUUUGAAAUACUAAGUGACACUAAUAGCAAUAUUAUUUACAAUCUUAUAUUUUCAUACUCUAUAUGCACUCAACUUCAUCCUUUUAUUCCUACAAUUGGUCAUCAUUCAACAAAGCCCCACAUGAUGACCCUCCAAAUGUCACCAUUUAGGACGUCCAAAUUGUGUCCAUGUUUCCAAUUUUGCUUGUUUUAUUUCAUCAAAAAAAAAAAAAAAAGCAUAUUUGGGUUCAAUGUUUUGGUUGGUCUUGGAAUAAAGUUGUUAACCCCCGGAAGCUCUUUUCCUUCGCAAUUAAGAAAGUCCCAAAAGUAGAGGGCCGAAACAUGCACGUACAUGCACUACUAGUCACUACUAGCCAUUUUCGAUUUUACCAAGGAAACACACAUCAUUGCUUCUGUUUUCCUUUUUCUUUUUUCUUCCCUCACGUAUCGGAAAGAGAUUUUUCAGUGUAUCAAAAACACAAUUCGGUACAUUAACUGUCAUAAUACAAUAAUUUGAAACUUGAAAAAAAAAUUUCAAUCAAUUGAGCCGUAUUCCUGGCACAUUGAAAAAUUUCUCUAUAGGAUAUAUACCAUUUUCACAAAUGCAAACUUGAUUGACAAUCUCGUUUGAAACUGUUUUUUAUUUUUAUUUUUUUUAACACUUCUAUUCACAAACACUUCUAGUAAAAUUGUUUUUAUUAAAAGCGCAUAAAUAAAAAUACUAAGGGUUAGCUUUUGUUGCCAAACAUAUCGUUAUGUUCUAUCAUCGAAGUUAGGAAUCCAAAAUAUAUAUAAAUUCUUACAAUAAAUCAAUUUUUAUGAAUUUAUUUGGUGGCCAUUUUAUGUGAUAAAUACGAUACAACCAAGUAUAAAUUCGGCCCAAAGAGAUUUAUUGGAGAAACUUAAAUUAGAUACGGGUGAUGUUAGUAAGAAAAUAAGAAACCAACAAAAGUAAAAGAUCAAAACAGAGAACAAAAGAUCAAACACCAUUUUUGGUCUGGAUUUAGCAAAUAUUUACUUAGAAGGAUAUUGUAGCAAAUUUGGAUUCAAACAUUGCUUGGUAAGAAAAAGAAUUAAUAUUGUAAUAUAAUUUAUUUAUUUUCCUGGAUAAUAAUAAAACAUAAUUUAGGAAAAUUAAGCUACUUAACAAGCUGGACAUAAUUACAAUUAUACUUUUUGAACAUCAAACAAGUUAAAUAAUAGAGACAUUAACACAAUAAUCUAGAGUCACAUUCAAUUCAAAUUAUCUUAUUCGUUGUAUCAGGAUUUUCAUGAUAGAUAUGUGUGUUAAGUCAAUGUGUUUGUUUGUCGCAUCCAAUUCAUAAUAGAUGAAUUUUAUAUGUGUUAGACUAAUUAUCUAAAGUACUGUGUCGUUUUGUCUCAUAUAAUUACAUUCUCACCAUGAUAAUAAAAUAGGCCCAAAUGGAGAGCACAAUGUAUAUUUAAUUAUUAUAUUUUAUUUUUUAUGAAAAACAAUUAUUUUAUUUUUAUCUCCUCCCUUUAUCUAUGUCUAUUUUUUUUUUGUUUUUCCGAAUUUUACUAUAAUUUCCUGCCCCCUCUAUAUAUACCACACUCUAGCUUCUUUCUCAGUUAUUCAUUUCUUCUCCAAUUCUCUGCUUCCCUUUCUGUCUCUGUGCGAUCCUCAUCAAAACCCUAAUCUUGAUCGCGAAGAAGCUCAAAUUUCCUCUUAUCACUCUCGAAAAAUCGAAGCUUGACGAUCCGAUCGUCGUCAAACAGCCGCUACAAAACGUUCCUCACUUCAAUUUUAGUUGCCGCAUAAUUUUAAUUUCCCCAAUUCAGUCUCUGCUCUUCGAUCAAUUCUUGGUUUUUUAGCGAUUGAUCGGGUACCAAUUCAAGGCGGUUCUCAAUCGUGCAAUGCUUUCAGUUCCAAUAUGAAGUUAAAGAGAAGGAGGGCGGUUGAAGUGGUCAGUAUAUUUCACCUGUGGAAUCGAUUAGAUUCUUGUAUGCAUACUGCGCAUAAUAUAUAUAUGUAUGUGUUUGUACAUGAUUAAAGUACUGGGUUUUCCCUAUGUUUUGAUUUCGAGAAGAAGUUGAUGGUUCUGGGUUAUGUUCUUUUUCUCUUUUUUUUUUUCUCAUUUCCCAGUGAGUGGCACUUUUGUAUGCAAUUGCUUAUAUAAUUCGUUUUGGGCAUCUAUCAAUUUGAUGUUUUCUUUGGUUGUUUAACUAGGGACUGAUACAAGAUAAGAAAGUUUAAUUUUUUUUACCUUAUUAUUGAAUUGUUUAUAUAAUUCGGAGUACGAAAAUGCAAACAUAUUCAGCUUAUGAAGUGAGGUUUUCAUUCUUGCAUGAGGAUUACAACCAGUACUAGGAAGAUCCUAGAGACAUGAUUAUACAUGAUUAUUCAUGACCAACCCAGUUGACUGUAUUAGUUUCGUUAUUGUUUCUUAGUUCAAAGAGUUAUUUUCUCCAUCGAAUGUCUAUAUGACUUUAUAUGUUUUUGUUGAAAUUGCUAGCAUUGAGAGAGAGAGAGAGAGAGAGAGAGAGAGAGAGAGAGAGAGAAGAAGAGGAGGGGGUGGAGGUUUGGUCGGUUCGUCAGUCUGUUUAUCAGUGUGUUAACGUUCAUGGAGCAAAUGUCAUGCAUGACAGAUUAUUUUGUCGAAAAAGAAGUUUUAAUCUUUUUAUAAGGAGGCAAUAUCUAGAUGGAACAAGAUUAAUUGGUUUUGACAUUUAUGCUUUAAUGUUUUGUAGAAAAUGUGUGGAAACUGGAUAAUUGUUACAGCAAGGUGAAGUUAGGAGUUCGUCGUUUUCUUUAAGACUUUCGCUAUGCAUUAAACAUGUGUGAAGUUAGGAGUUCGUUCGCUAUGCAUUAAACAUGUGUGAAGUUAGGAGUUCGUUGUUUUCUUUAAGACUUUUCUAUGCAUUAAAAUAUGUGGGACUUAGAUGUAUGAAUUGUUUUCAAGUUAUAAAUUUAGUACAUUCACAUCACACAGAAUAAAAUUUUGCUCAAACGGAUACUGCGCUUAGCUAAAAGUGUGAGAUGAAAUGGUGAGUGCGUGAAUGAUCUUAGUUCCUUAUAUGCAUCUCUUUGAAUAUGUCACUCUUAAGAUUUUCAGUAAUUAAAUUUUAUUAAGUGAACUUAACCAUAUUAUGUUAAGGUUCAUUAAGGUCAAUCCAAGCCACCUCAAUCCUUUCUUUAAAGGUACCAGACAAGUGUGGCACUAUUAACAACAUCUAUUAACAACAUUUUAACUUGUGUGCUUCUUGAAACUUUUUGACAUUAGUUUCAAUGUUGUUUAUUUCCUGUUAGUAGUAUGGAGACUUCUAACAAAGUGAUAGGGGGUAAUGUGUGUUAAAACAAAUUAUCUCUAGGAUAUGGUCUUGUUUGCACUAUGUUGUGUGUACCCUUCUCAUUGUUUGCACACCUUGAACAUCCCUUAUUGCACUUGAAGAACUUAUGUUUACAAAUAAGUCAUCUAUUUAUUGUUUAUUUGUUGUCUCUGUGGUACUGGGUACUAAUUUUAUAUAAAAGCAAUUUGGCGAGUCUGCAAAGUACUAACAACUAUUUGUUUGGUCUUGUUUUGUUUCAGCCCCCAAAAAUUAGAUCCUUCAUCAAUAGUGUCACUGCCGUUCCCUUUGAGAAUAUAGAGGAACCUCUGAAAGGUUUCAUCUGGGAGUUCGAUAAGGUGAUUUUAUUACCUUUAACUGUUACAUUAAUACAGUUAUUUACAUGCAAUAUGAUUUAUAUGCUUUUAUUUCUGGUGCAGGGAGAUUUCCAUCAUUGGGUUGAUCUUUUCAACCAUUUUGAUUCAUUUUUUGAGAAGCACAUAAAAUCCAGGAAGGAUUUGCAGGUUGAUGAUAAUUUUCUAGACACUGAUCCUCCUUUUCCGAGAGAAGCUGUUCUUCAAGUUCUCCGUGUAAUAAGGAUAAUUUUGGAGAAUUGCACAAAUAAGCACUUCUACAGUUCUUAUGAGGUAAAAUUUCCAUCAUUCACCUCUCCGUCGUUGGUGUGUAAUUUUCAGUUGUUUAUUAUUAGUUAGUUUUUAUUCCUUCUAGAUAUACAAUUAUACCAUUAUUGCUUUUUGGGUAUUGUAUAUGGGAUGAAGGCUUAUUUUUAGCUGGGUUGUGAUAAUUAACAACUCUGAUUAUUGUGCAUUUGAUUGUGUUAAUUUUUAUUCUUUACAUCAGUCAAUUUCAUUUAUUUUCAAUUCCUCCUUUUCCCAUUCAUUAGUUUUAUGUCUUUGUUUCAUAUGUUAUUGCAGCAGCAUCUUUCAUCUCUUCUUGCUUGCACUCAUGCGGAUGUGGUUGAGGGUUGCCUGCAGACAUUGGCUGCAUUUUUAAAGAAAACAGUUGGAAAGUAUUCCAUUAGGGAUGCUGCACUAAAUUCAAAGUUAUUCGCUCUUGCACAAGGUUGGGGGGGAAAAGAAGAGGGUCUUGGAUUAAUUGCUAGUGCAAUACAGAAUGGUUGUGACCCUGUUGCUUACGAGUUAGGCUGCACCCUUCAUUUUGAGUUCUAUGCAUCAAAUGAUUCAACAGGUGACAUCCCUGCCAACCAAGGUUUACAAAUCAUUCACUUACCCAACAUCAAUACUCAUCCAGAGACGGAUCUUGAGCUUUUGUGUAAGUUAAUUGCCGAGUACAAAGUACCCUCUAGCUUAAGAUUUUCUUUAUUGACAAGAUUGCGGUUUGCAAGGGCUUUUGGCUCUGUAGCUACUCGGCAGCAGUAUGCAUGCAUCCGCUUGUAUGCCUUCAUAGUUCUUGUUCAAGCAAAUAGUGAUGCUGACGACCUUGUUUCUUUCUUCAAUGCUGAACCUGAGUUUAUCAAUGAAUUAGUGUCAUUGUUGAGCUUUGAGGAUGUGGUUCCUGAGAAAAUUCGAAUUCUCUGUCUUCUUUCACUGGUUGCUCUUUGUCAAGAUCGAUCCCGGCAGCCUACUGUUUUAACUGCUGUCACAUCUGGUGGGCAUCGUGGAAUCCUGUCCAGUCUCAUGCAGAAGGCCAUUGAUUUUGUCACCAAAGAUACAUCAAAGUGGUCUGUUGUUUUUGCUGAGGCUCUAUUGUCUCUUGUCACAGUUUUGGUGUCAUCAUCAUCAGGUUGUUCAGCCAUGCGUGAAGCUGGUUUUAUUCCCACCCUUCUGCCUUUGCUUAAAGAUACAGACCCGCAACACCUUCAUUUGGUCAGCACAUCUGUGCACAUUUUAGAAGCUUUUAUGGAUUACAGUAAUCCUGCUGCUGCAUUGUUUCGGGAUUUGGGUGGUUUAGACGAUACAAUCUCUCGCCUACAGGUGGAAGUGUCUCAUGUAGAAAAUGGCUCAAAGCAUGAAGAUGAUGAUUCUGACAUCAUUGGGAGUAGUGCACAAGUAGCUGUAGGAACUUCCACAGAGCUAGACAGCAUGCAGCCUUUGUAUUCAGAACCACUGGUUUCAUAUCACAGACGAUUGCUUAUGAAAGCUCUAUUGCGUGCUAUAUCCCUGGGGACUUAUGCCCCUGGAAAUACUGCUCGUGUUUAUGGCUCAGAGGAGAGUCUAUUGCCACAAUGCUUAUGCAUAAUAUUUAAAAGGGCAAAGGAUUUUGGUGGUGGGGUAUUCUCACUUGCGGCAACUGUCAUGAGUGAUCUAAUACACAAAGAUCCUACCUGUUUUCCAGUUUUAGAUGCAGCAGGCCUUCCUUCUGCCUUCUUGGAUGCUAUAAUGGAUGGUGUUCUUUGCUCUGCAGAAGCCAUUACAUGCAUACCACAGUGUCUGGAUGCCCUAUGUUUAAAUACUACUAAUGGUCUUCAGGCUGUGAAAGAUCGCAAUGCUUUGAGGUGCUUUGUGAAGAUAUUUACUUCAAGAACUUAUCUGAAGGCCCUGACCAGUGACACACCAGGUUCGUUAUCUAGUGGAUUGGAUGAGUUAAUGCGCCACGCUUCCUCAUUGCGUGGGCCUGGAGUGGAUAUGCUGAUUGAGAUCUUAAAUGCCAUUUCAAAAAUUGGACAUGGGGUUGAUGCUUCGUACAUGUCAAUUGAUCCUUUGGGCUCUUCUACUCCUGUUCCCAUGGAAACAGAUGGAGAAGAGAGGAAUUUGGUCAUGUCUGAUAAUGGGGAAUCAUCCAAAACGGAGAGUUCAGAGCAGACUGUGGAACCACCUUCUGAUUCUUCAGUGGGGAAUGUUGAAUUAUUUCUUCCUGAUUGUGUGAGCAAUGUUGCACGUCUUCUUGAAACAAUACUUCAGAAUGGUGACACAUGUCGUAUAUUUGUGGAGAAGAAGGGGGUUGAAGCUGUCCUGCAGUUAUUUACCUUGCCUUUGAUGCCUCUUUCUGUUUCAGUUGGCCAGAGUAUUUCUGUCGCAUUUAAGAACUUCUCACCACAACAUUCUGCUUCUUUGGCUCGGGCAGUAUGUUCAUUCUUGAGAGAGCAUCUGAAAUCAACAAAUGAACUUUUAGUUUCAGUUGGAGGGACUCAACUUGCUUUGGUGGAAUCUGUGAAGCAAACUCAAGUUUUGAGACAUCUUUCCAGUCUUGAAGCUAUUCUGUCUCUGUCUAAUGUUCUGUUGAAAGGGACGACUACUGUGGUGUCUGAACUGGGUGCAGCUGAUGCUGAUGUAUUGAAAGAUCUCGGGAGCACCUACCGGGAAAUAAUUUGGCAAAUCUCUCUGUGCAAUGAUGUCAAGUCAGAUGAGAAGAUCAAUGCUGAACAAGAACCAGAGAGUGCUGAGGCAGCUCCGACUAAUGCUUCUGGAAGGGAGAGUGAUGAUGAUGCAAAUAUUCCAAUGGUGAGAUAUAUGAACCCAGUUUCUAUCAGGAAUCAGCCCUUGUGGGGUGGAGAACGUGAGUUUCUAUCAGUUGUUCGCUCUGGUGAAGGUUUGCACCGUCGUAGUCGUCAUGGUUUUACACGCAUAAGGGGUGGAAGGACAGGCCGGCAUUUGGAGGCUUUAAAUGUUGAUUCUGAAUCUUCCUCAACGGUAUCAGAGACAUCUACUUCCCAAGAUUUGAAAAAGAAAAGUCCUGAUGUUCUUGUGAUAGAAAUCCUCAACAAGCUGGCUUCCACACUGCGUUCCUUCUUCACAGCUCUUGUCAAGGGAUUCACAUCACCAAAUCGGCGUAGAGUCGACUCUGGGUCGUUGAGUUUGGUUUCCAAGACUCUUGGAACUGCCCUAGCUAAAAUAUUUCUCGAGUCUCUUAGCUUCUCUAGGCAUUCUACAUCAACUGGGCUCGAUACAUCACUGUCAGUCAAGUGUCGAUAUCUUGGCAAAGUUGUCGAUGAUAUGGUAUCACUUACAUUUGACAGCAGGCGACGUACUUGUUAUACUGCAACAGUAAAUAAUUUCUAUGUCCAUGGUACUUUUAAGGAGCUGCUUACAACAUUUGAAGCUACUAGUCAGUUGUUGUGGACACUACCAUACUCCGUGUCAACGUCAGGUAUUGAUCCCGAAAGGACAGGUGAAGGAAGUAAACUGUCCCACAGUUCGUGGCUGCUUGAUACUUUACAGAGCUAUUGCCGUGUGCUCGAGUAUUUUGUUAAUUCUUCUUUACUCUUAUCCACAACCUCUGCUUCUCAAGCACAGUUGCUUGUUCAGCAGCCAGUUGCAGUUGGUUUGUCAAUUGGGCUUUUCCCUGUGCCAAGGGACCCAGAAGUUUUUAUUCGUAUGCUGCAAUCUCAAGUUCUUGAUGUGAUACUUCCUGUCUGGAACCACCCUUUGUUUCCAAAUUGUAGUCCAGGUUUCAUUGCUUCUAUUGUCUCGCUUGUCAUGCAUGUAUAUUCUGGUGUUGGAGAUGUGAAGCAGAAUCGCAGUGGCAUUGCUGGAAGUACAAACCAGCGAUUCAUGCCCCCACCACUUGAUGAAAAUACUAUUACCACCAUUGUUGAGAUGGGUUUUCCAAGGGCUAGGGCAGAGGAAGCUCUUAGGCGGGUGGGAACAAAUAGCGUUGAAAUGGCCAUGGAGUGGCUCUUUAGUCAUCCUGAGGAUCCUGUGCAGGAUGAUGAUGAACUGGCUCGAGCACUUGCUCUUUCACUGGGAAAUUCAUCAGAUGCAUCUAAAGCUGAGAGUGUUGAAAAGCCUGUUGAUGUGCCGGCAGAAGAGGGUUGUGUGAAAGCUCCUCCUGUUGAUGAUGUCCUUGCAGCGUCGGUUAAAUUACUUCAAAGUAAUGAUACCAUGGCAUUCCCUUUGACAGAUUGCUUGUGACACUUAGCAACCAGAACAAAGGGGAAGACCGUCCAAGAGUUGUAUCUUAUCUUACUCAGCAGCUAAAGAAUUGUCCAUUGGAUUUUUCUAAUGAUACCAGUGCGUUGAGUAUGGUGUCACAUGUUAUUGCAUUACUUCUUUCUGAGGAUGGAAGCACAAGGGAAGUCGCUGCACAGUAUGGUAUUGUGACUACUGCAACAGAUAUCUUGAUGAACUUUAAGGGCAAAGAUGAGUCAGGCAAUGAGCUUCUUGUCCCAAAAUGUAUCAGUGCUCUACUGCUUAUUUUGGAUAACAUGUUGCAAUCAAGGUCCAGAAUUUCUGAAAAGGUUGAAGAUACUCAGACAGGGCCUUUACCUGAAUUAUCUGGAGAGCGUAUGUCAAUCCCUGCAUCAGAUACAGAGAAAAAACAGCUUAUGGAUGCCUAUGAAAAGGAUUCUGCCACAGCAUUUGAGAAAAUAUUGGGGAAAUCUACUGGUUAUUUGACUAUGGAAGAGAGUCAUAAAGUGCUAGCAGUUGCUUGUGACUUGAUAAAGCAGCAUGUCCCAGCAAUGAUCAUGCAGGCUGUUUUACAAUUAUGUGCUCGCUUGACAAAAACUCAUGCUCUAGCUUUACAAUUCCUUGAAAAUGGAGGCUUGGCAGCUCUAUUUGGCCUUCCAAGAAGUUGUUUUUUCCCGGGAUAUGAUACUGUUGCAUCUGCUAUUGUUCGCCAUCUCCUUGAAGAUCCACAAACACUGCAAACAGCAAUGGAAUUGGAGAUUCGCCAAGCCCUGAGUGGAAACAGGCAUGGUGGGCGCACUUCUGCACGAACGUUCUUGACAUCAAUGGCACCUGUAAUCUCUAGAGAUCCAGUAGUUUUUAUGAAAGCUGCUUCUGCAGUUUGUCAGUUGGAGACAUCAGGAGGUAGAACCUUUGUUCUGUUAUUGAAGGAAAAGAGAAGGAAAAGGAAAAAUCUAAAGCAGUAGGUGAUGAGGCUGGAUUAUCUUCCAAUGAGUGUGUACGGAUUUCUGAAAAUAAGAUACAUGAUGGAUCUGGUAAAUGCGCAAAAAGUCACAAGAAGAUCCCUGCCAAUCUCACUCAAGUGAUAGAUCAGCUUCUUGAAAUAGUCUUCAAAUACCAUUUCCCAAAUAGCCAGGAAGACUAUUCGAAUAACCCAUCUGCUAUGGAAGUAGAUGAACCCUCUAUGAAGGUGAAGGGUAAAUCAAAGGUUGACGAGACAAGGAAAGUGGAGUCAGAAUCUGAAAGAUCUGCAGGGUUGGCUAAAGUUACCUUUGUUCUCAAAUUACUGAGUGAUAUCCUUCUUAUGUAUGUACAUGCAGUUGGGGUUAUACUUAAACGGGAUUUAGAAAUGACUCAGUUGCGGGGAUCUAAUCAAACAGAUGGUCUUGGACAUGGUGGUAUACUUCACCAUGUAAUUCAUCGAUUGCUUCCACGCACCAUUGAUAAAUCUGCUGGACCUGAUGAAUGGAGAGACAAACUGUCUGAAAAAGCUUCUUGGUUCCUGGUAGUUCUGUGUGGUCGUUCCAGUGAAGGGCGCAGACGAGUAAUUAGUGAACUUGUAAAGGCUUUAUCCUCGUUUUCGAAUUUGGGAUGUACUUCCACCAAGAGCAUCUUAUUACCGGAUAAAAGCGUUUAUGCUUUUGUUGAUUUGGUGUAUUCAAUUUUGUCAAAAAAUUCAUCAUCCAGCAACUUACCUGGUUCUGGGUUUUCACCAGACAUAGCAAAAAGCAUGAUAGAUGGGGGAAUGAUUCAGUGUCUGACUGGUAUCCUCCGGGUGAUUGACUUAGACCAUCCUGAUGCUCCCAAAACUGUGAAUUUGAUACUCAAGACGUUAGAAAGCCUAACAAGGGCUGCUAAUGCUAGUGAGCAAUACUUUAAAUCUGAUGAGACGAGCAAGAAAAAAUCCACAGGGUUGAAUGGAAGUUCUGACGAUCAGGUAACUGCCCCAUCAGCUGAUACUACUGUGGGGGAUAAUCAGAAUGCAAGCAGUGAACAGGGUGUGAGAGACGUCGUACAGGUUGUUCAAGGGGAUCAAGGAAUUUCUGAAAGUGAAGGUAAUCCUGAAGUAAAUCUGAUCCAGUUGGUGGAACAAGAUAUGAGGAUAGAAGUUGAAGGACCAAUAGCUUCUAAUCCACCCAUGGAGCUUGGGAUGGAUUUCAUGCGUGAGGAGAUGGAUGAAGGUAAUGUACUACACAACACUGAUCAAAUUGAGAUGUCUUUUCGUGUUGAGAAUAGGACAGAUGAUGACAUGGCUGAUUUAGAAAACGACAUGGGUGAUGAUGGUGAGGAUGACGACGAGGGAGAGGACAUGGCUGAUUUAGAAAAUGACAUGGGUGAUGAUGGUGAGGAUGAUGAGGAUGAUGAUGAGGGAGAGGAUGAGGAUGAGGAUAUAGCAGAGGGCGGUGGUGGCAUGAUGUCACUUGCUGAUACUGAUGUGGAAGACCAUGAUGAUACCGGCUUGGGAGAUGAUUACAAUGAUGGGAUGAUUGAUGAAGAUGAUGAUGAUUUUCAUGAGAAUCGUGUCAUAGAAGUGAGAUGGAGAGAAGCCCUUGAUGGGCUUGAUCAUUUGCAGGUACUUGAACAACCUGGAGCUGGAAGUGGUCUCAUUGAUGUUGCUGCUGAACCUUUUGAAGGUGUUAAUGUGGAUGACUUGUUUGGUCUGAGAAGGCCGAUAGGUUUUGAUCGCCGCCGUCAGACAAGUAGGUCUUCCUUUGAGCGAUCUGUUGCAGAAGCAAAUGGAUUUCAACAUCCUCUCCUUUUAAGACCAUCCCAGUCUGGGGAUUUGGUCUCAAUGUGGUCAGCAGGUGGAAAUUCAUCCAGGGAUUUAGAAGCUCUGUCAUCAGGGAGCUUUGAUGUUGCUCAUUUCUACAUGUUUGAUGCUCCUGUUCUACCUUAUGAUCACGUACCAAGCAAUCUUUUUGGUGACCGGUUGAGUGGUGCUGCACCCCCACCAUUGACUGAUUAUUCAGUAGGUAUGGACUCAUUGCAGUUAUCGGGGAGAAGAGGGCCAGGUGAUGGUCGAUGGACUGAUGAUGGCCAGCCUCAAGCAGGUCCUCAAGCUGCUGCUAUUGCACAAGCAGUGGAGGAACACUUUAUAUCGCAAUUACGCAGUCUUGCUCCAGCUGAUAUCCCUGCUGAACGACAGUCCCAGAACUCAGGAGUGCAGGAGAAACAGCCAGAUCUCCCUCCUUUAAGUGAUAGUCAAGUAGCAGGGGAGUGCAAUGACAGCCAUGAAAGAAAUGAAGAUCAGCGUCAAGAUGGGGUUGAUGAAACAACACAUCAAGUUAACUCAAGUUCUGACACUGCUCCCUGUCAAGAACAAGUCAAUCCAGAAUCUAUAGUCGAAGGUGCAGGGGAGUUCUUACAAGCACCUGAACCAAUGUCAAUUAUGCCACCUUCAACGAACAGUACACCAAGCGAUAGCAUGGACAUUGGUGAUGGAAAUGGUGCUGCUGGUGAGCAAGUAGGGUCAGUGCCAGGUUCUGUCAACUCGUCUGCAGAAAUAAGUGCUGGUUUACAAUGUGAAGGGGGUUCUGUGCCUUCUAAUCCCCAUGAUGUUACUGUGGAGGCUGUGGGUUGUGAUAGAUCCUCAAGAGCAGAGGGUCAGGUUGGUAAUGUGUCGGCAAGUUUGGGUUUCAAUGUGCCUAAUCCAGGUGAUUCUCAUACUUCUUUGGUGCCAACAAAUAUUGACGUUGAUAUGAAUUACAUUGGUGAAAUAAAUGAAUUGGCCAUCCCAUGCCUACUUUUGAAAAUCGUACAGUUGAACCAUCAAGGGAAAACACAACUGUUGCUCCAGAAGCUAAUCAGGCUGAACAAGAUUUGAAUAAUGAGGCUGCUGGUGCUAAUACAAUUGAUCCGACCUUCUUGGAUGCUUUACCUGAAUAUUUGAGGGCCGAAGUUCUUGCUUCACAACAAGCUCAGCCGGUUCAACCUCCAUCUUAUGCACCACCUUCUGCAGACGACAUUGAUCCUGAGUUUUUAGCAGCCCUUCCUCCAGAUAUCCAAGAAGAAGUUUUGGCUCAACAAAGAGCACAAAGGGUUGCACAUCAGGCUGAGGGACCAGUUGACAUGGACAACGCUUCAAUAAUUGCUACUUUUCCUGCUGAUUUACGUGAAGAGGUUUUCAUCUGGAACUGCAUCUUUCAUGACCUUGAUUGUAAUGAUUAUUUGUCUUAUAUAUGUAAUUUUUCUCUUGGUCCAGGUACUUUUAACUUCUUCAGAAGCAGUUCUGUCUGGAUUGCCUUCUCCAUUGCUCGCUGAAGCCCAAAUGCUAAGAGACCGAGCAAUGAGUCAUUAUCAGGCUCGCAGCCUUUUUGGAACCAGCCAGAGGCUAAACAACCGGAGAAAUGGAUUGGGUUUUGAUCGGCAGACGGUGAUGGACAGAGGUGUUGGAGUCACAAUUGGCCGGAGGGCAGUUUCUGCUCUUGCAGACAGCUUAAAGGUUAAGGAAAUCGAAGGAGAGCCACUUCUGGAUGCCGAUGAAUUGAAAGCCUUAAUUAGGCUAUUACGAUUAGCGCAGGUAAAUUCAUAUUCCAAUUAAUGGUAAUUGGAGUGUUUAUAACUGGUUAUGAAAGUUUUAUGUUUCGUUGAAAUAUGAAUAUUAGGUUUUCUUUUUAAAAAAUCCAUAUAUGGUUAGAAAGUUUGGAGGUUUGAACAAAUUUAUGUGUACUAUAUAAGUGUUAAAGCUCCUGUUGAUGGGAAUAAUAAUGUGUAAAAAACGUCAUAUGAAGAAUUUUCGGUUGGCUGAAGAGUAGAAAACCAAGUGGGUUAUAUUUUCUCAAUUUGUGCUUUAAAAGACCUCAAAAUAACGCAUUAUUUGAAAAUCGCAUGUACACAUACAUGUACUACUUUUUUUUUUUUUUUUUCUACAUACUGUCACAUAAAAUCAUUCAUUAAAUGACUAUCUUCUGCUAACAUGAUCCAUUUAUUUUUUUGUGUGUGGUUAGCCCCUGGGCAAAGGACUCUUGCAGAGGCUCUUGUUGAACUUAUGUACCCAUAGCGUUACACGAGCAAUCUUAGUUCGUCAUUUGCUUGAUAUGAUCAAACCUGAGGCUGAGGGCUCAGUCGGUGGAUUAGCAGCUAUUAAUGCUCAAAGGCUUUACGGUUGCAAUUCAAAUGUUGUUUAUGGUCGAUCACAGUUGUUAGAUGGUAAGUCAUCUGACGCUCCAACAGUUAUCUGCAAUACAUUUGUUUCUUCUAUUUAUGGACUAACAAUUUGUUUGCUUUAUAUUCAUUUUCAAUAGGUCUUCCUCCCUUGGUGCUACGUCGAAUUCUUGAGAUCUUGACUUAUUUGGCCACAAAUCAUUCUGCUGUGGCAAAUAUGUUAUUCUUCUUUGAUUUCUCUGGUGUUCCUGAGUCAUUAAGCCCUAUCCAUAUGGAAACCAAGAAGGACAAAGGCAAGGAGAAAAUUGGAGAAGGAGGAUCUUCAUCAAAACCAUCUGGAAACACCCAGGAUGUGGACAUUCCCCUGAUAUUGUUCCUGAAGCUCCUGAACCGACCUCAUUAUGGCACUGCUCAUCUUGAGCAGGUACUACCUACUCUAUGGUUAACCAGUUUAAAAUGACCUCGUGGAGAGAUUAGCUGCUGUUUGUCUAUUCAUUUAAAAGUGUAGUGUGUAAAUCCCUUGGUAGUUGUUAGGUAUCCACAUAUUUAGUACUUCAACUUGAGAGCUUAUAUGAAUUUAAGAUUGGAGUAAUUCAAUUGUUUGUAAUGUUUGACUCGUUAACUAUUCUGGACAAAGGCUAGUACCUGCUCCAUAACUUUAUUUCUCUCCUUAAAAAUUAAGAAAAAAACUAAGUAUAUGGUAGAGAACGUGUGUAUUGCUUGCCGUAUCUCUAGUUGUACAUGUGGAGUCAUAAUCUUGAUUAUUUUAUUGCUGAAGCAUGUCCUACAGCAUGAUCCUUUCAAAAAAAAUUAUAAUUCAGCACCAUCUCAUGUUUUUAAUUUUUUUUUUUUGUGUGCUACAGGUGAUGGGCCUGCUUCAGGUUGUUGUGUAUACUUCAGCUUCAAAAUUAGAGGGCCAGUCUCAAUCUGAGAGGGCAGAUAAGCCUGUUGGUGAAGCUUCAGGAGAUGGUCAAAAGGUUCCUCCUUUGGAAUCAGAAUCUAAUCAGGGAGAGAAGCCUGUUAGUGGUGAAUCAUCAACUUCAGAUGGAAAGAGGAGUACGGAUACAUAUAAUGUUUUCUUGAAGCUGCCAGAAUCUGAUCUACACAAUCUUUGCAGCCUUCUUGGUCGUGAGGGGUAUUAUUAGCUCACUAAUUCUUAUAUGUUCAUUCUUUGAACGUAGAUGCAGUAUUUGUCAGAUUAACUACUCUCUUCUUUGUGCUACUAUAUGAACUGUGUUUUUAUGAGUGUCUAAUCUGAGUCCAUUUACUUGAUUAGGCUUUCAGAUAAACUUUAUAUGCUUGCUGGUGAGGUCUUGAAGAAGUUGGCCUCAGUUGCAGCACCCCAUCGAAAACUAUUUGUCUCAGCGCUGUCAGAACUGGCUCAUCGCUUGAGUGCCUCAGCUGUUGGUGAGCUUGUUACUCUCCGGAACACACAUAUGCUGGGUUUGAGUGCCGGAUCAAUGGCUGGGUUAGCAAUCCUACGUGUAUUACAAGCACUUUGCUCUCUCACUUCACCUAGGGCUAGUGAGAAUUCAGGAUUGGAGAAUGAUGCGGAUCAGGAGGAGCAUGCCAUCAUGUGGAAACUAAAUGUUGCACUUGAGCCACUGUGGCUAGAAUUAAGCAACUGUAUAAGUGCGACUGAAACAGCACUGGGUCAGAGUACUUUUUGUCGAACCAUGUCUAUAGUAAAUACUGGGGACCAUGCACAGGGUUCUUCUUCGUCUCCUCUCCCUCCUGGAACCCAGAGACUCCUGCCUUUUAUGGAGGCUUUUUUUGUUCUGUGUGAAAAGCUACAAGAGAACCUCUCUACUAUGCUGCAAGACCAGGCGAAUGUGACUGCAAGAGAAGUCAAAGAGUCCUCUGGAAACUCAGAUCCUUCAACUACCAAGUGCCACAGUUGUGGGGAUUCUCAGAGAAAGCUUGAUGGUGCUAUUACAUUUACAAAGUUCGCUGAGAAGCAUCGCCGGCUUUUAAAUGCUUUUAUCAGGCAGAAUCCAGGUUUGUUGGAGAAAUCCCUUACUAUGAUGCUGAAGGCACCAAGGCUAAUUGAUUUUGAUAACAAAAGAGCAUAUUUCCGGUCAAGAAUUAGGCAGCAGCAUGAGCAACAUCUCUCUGGUCCUCUGAGAAUAAGUGUUCGGCGGGCAUACGUUUUGGAGGAUUCUUAUAAUCAGUUGCGCAUGCGGCCUACUCUGGACAUGAAGGGACGAUUAAAUGUCCAAUUCCAAGGGGAAGAGGGUAUUGAUGCUGGAGGUCUGACACGAGAGUGGUAUCAAUUACUGUCAAGGGUCAUAUUUGACAAGGGGGCAUUGCUUUUCACCACCGUAGGAAACAAUGCAACUUUCCAGCCAAACCCUAAUUCUGUCUACCAGACAGAACAUCUGUCUUAUUUUAAAUUUGUGGGCCGUGUGGUAAUUCUUCUGGACUAUUAUUGACUUUUUGAAACUGACUUUAUAAGCUUCUUCCGUCUGUGUUAGAUUUUUCUUUAACUUUUGCUGCUGUGAUAAUUUAUUCAGGUUGCAAAGGCACUUUUUGAUGGGCAACUUUUGGAUGUUUAUUUCACUCGAUCCUUCUAUAAGCAUAUACUUGGUGUAAAGGUGACUUACCAUGAUAUAGAGGCUGUGGAUCCUGAUUACUACAAGAAUUUAAAGUGGAUGUUAGAGGUUAGCGUGCUUUUGAUCACACUCUGAUUUUUAAGAGUUCAAGGUUGGAUUGGAAUGGGUUUCGUUGUAGGUUUUUAUAUCUUUUUAACUGAUCUAAAAUGUGUCAUAUUCGUUAUUCUGAAAUUCUCUGCAGGAUUAAGACUCAGUUCCUCUAUUGCGUAAGUUUCUUUAAUUUGAUUUUUUUUCUCGUGUCCAGAAUGACGUGAGUGAUAUUCCUGACCUGACGUUUAGCAUGGAUGCGGAUGAAGAAAAGCAUAUCCUUUAUGAGAAAAACCAGGUAUUUGAAUUUAUAUGUUACUUUUAAGUUCUGUUCUUUAUUUUUGAAAGCUUUUGGGUUUUCACGUAGUGUUAUUGUAAAGUCUUUACUUAAAUGCCAAUCUGAUUUUCAUUCAAUGUUAUAACAUUAAAUUGAGCUCGCGGGUUUGACUAAUGUUGUACUUGUUUGUUGUGUUUUCCUUUCUUUAUACCUUCUUGAAAAGGUUACUGAUUAUGAGCUGAAACCUGGAGGAAGAAAUAUUCGGGUUACAGAAGAGACGAAGCACGAGUAUGUUGACCUUGUAGCUGAACAUAUCUUGACAAAUGCUAUCCGACCUCAAAUUACUUCCUUCAUGGAGGGGUUUAAGGAAUUGGUCCCGCGAGAGCUUAUCUCAAUUUUCAAUGACAAGGAGCUUGAGCUACUUAUCAGUGGUCUUCCAGAGAUAGAUUGUGAGUUGCAUUUAAAAUGAGCUUAUUACAUAAUUGAUAUGGUCUUUUGUUUCUCUUGUGAUAUCUGAAUGGUGGCAUUGUCCUUACAGUGGCUGAUUUGAAGGCCAAUACCGAGUACACUGGCUACACAUCAUCAUCUGAUGUUGUUAAAUGGUUCUGGGACGUGGUUGAAAGUUUCGACAAGGAGGACAUGGCAAGACUGCUGCAAUUUGUGACUGGAACAUCAAAGGUAACUGUUUGUACUACAAAAGAAAUAUGAAAAUAGUAUAUAUACUUCUCCAUAUCCGCUGGUUCACGACUAAAAGGGAUUUUGUAUGUGCUUUUGUACUUUCUGAGUGUAUGCGACCCCUCUUUUCCCUUGUCCCAUCCCUUUUUCCCAACAACCCAACCCCUCCCUUUAUAAUGUUCAUAACUUUUUUAAAGGGUCCGUUGAAGUGUGACUUGCGUUGAUUUUACCUUGAUAUCAUUUGUCAAUUUCAUUUCCUUUUUUUCACAGGGUCCGUUGGAAGUGUGACUUGCGUUGAUUUUACCUUGAUAUCAUUUGUCAAUUUCAUUUCCUGUGAACAUGGUUUUUCACAAUGCGCAUGUUGUCUCAUUGAACUUUGCCAUUGUAUAAUGAUUGGAGAUGGCAUGCGUAGCUAAUGAUUUAAAUGUAUGCUUGCAACAUGAUGCAUAUGUGGGGGCAAAUUUUUGUACUCGGUAAAACUAACAUAUUUGUGACUUUCAGGUUCCAUUGGAAGGUUUCAGGGCUUUGCAAGGUAUCUCUGGUCCUCAGAAAUUUCAGAUCCACAAGGCUUAUGGAGCUCCUGACAGGCUACCUUCUGCUCAUACAUGGUUAGUGUAAACAUAAUUUGAAAAAGUUAGUUUCUUUGAAAAAGUCAGUUUCUUUGUCCCCUUCACAUUCUCGUCAAGCUCGAUGUUUCUAAUGUAGUCCUAUGUCUUUUCCAGCUUUAACCAGCUAGACCUUCCUGAGUACACCACCAAAGAACAGCUUCACGAACGAUUGAUACUUGCUAUUCAUGAAGCUAGUGAAGGAUUUGGCUUUGGUUGACAGAAGGAAUCUCAGCAGAUAUUUCCCCAGCAUUCCAGUCAUCGGUCGUAUAGUUAGCAUGUACAUGUCAGUUCGACAUCUUUUUUCUUUCCUUAUUUCGAAAACCUUGGUUAAUCUUUUCUGAAAUCAACUUAAUUGUAAUUCGUUUGUUUCUUUCUUAUUCUCCACCAUUCUUUGCGCAGAUGAAAGAACCCGGUUCCUGAAUUUUGUCUUCCAGUAUUACAGCAACUUCUGAGGAAACCGAUGAUGGAUUUUGUAAAGAAUUCCGAAAGCAUUAUCUAUUGACGGGAGGCCGGCAAGCUUCUCAGGUGACAAUGGAUUGGAAUCUUAGAAAUUCUUUAGCGAAUUCUUUACAUGUCGGAAAAUUGGGGAUUCGGUACAGAUGGACGUGGAUAGAAAAUCUGUUUUGGUGUUCAUAGUAGAUAUCUGUUUUAGAUUAGUCAGUUUUCACUUUCUCCGACCUGAAUGUUUGGUAAUAAGCCUAGGAACAUAUUUAUGUAUAUGUAAUUCCAGAUGGUUUCUUUUGGGUUUCAAUUUAUUUAAAGGCGAGAAGGUGAUUCCAAUUUUGCUCCUUCAAUUUUAUUUGUGCACUCGGACAUGCUGACAUGCCCUCUUGUUCGUGGUUCUUGCGAGAGAAACUCGUCUGGCUUUGGCGGUAUCCUAAGCCAAACCGUGUUUUGUCAUUUGCUAAUGGCAAUGCAUGAUUAGCUUAGGAUACUGUAACAAUUACAUCCUCUUUCCUGAAAGUCCUCGUGAUUUGCCGGAUUCGUAACCAUUUUUCGACAAUGCAGUACGCAAAGGGGAGUAUUCUGGCCAAUUUGCCUGACUCGCGUAUGCACGACACCAUCCGUGUAGCCUUUUUGCCAUGAUUUUCUGUAAUUUUUCUUUGAACGUUCUAGAAAAUUAUGCUUAAAAAAGCUCCACACUUGAAAAUUUAUUAGUUUUCACGAAUGGAGCAAAAAUGCUUGAUUUUCCGUUGACAUUUGCUUUGAAAUACAGAGAAAAGAAGGGAUAAGAAAGGAAGGGUUUGUUCGACAUUGCCUUUGGAUGCUUUAGGCAACGUACAAUGUGGUUAGGAUUAUAAAAACAUUUUUUUAGUACUUUUGGGACAAGGUUCUUCGAUAAGUACUUCUAAAUGCUGUUCCACAAGAAAUUGGAUUCUUCAUGAAGAAAAUGGAAGUGUUGUUGCAUUCUCGUUUUCACCUCUACACUUCCACGUCCACCCCACCUCAGCCGUACAAUUGAUCCUAAUGACCAGUUUGGCACUCACCCCCUCCUACUCCACUGUGUUCCUAGAGCUAUUCUUUCCAGAAACGUCCCCAGUGAUCGCAAAGACGAGCGAAGGGAUGAGCAUUACUAUCUGCAUUAUGACAACCAUGCUUUUGAUUUGUACUGCAAGCUAGAAUUUCCAAUUGUUCCCAAGAUGAACGAAUCAAUUCGCGUGGUUGGCAUCUGUAAUGGGCUGGUGUUCCUUGCAGUUGCAGAUGAUACACUCACUUUGGCUAACACCUUCAUAAUAUUCAACCCAUCUAUGAGAAAGUCGGUGACCCUUCCUAAGCCGACAAUUGGUCGGUACCGUACUUGUAUUGGUUUUGGGUUUGACGCUGUGACUAAUGACUACAAAGUUGUGAGAUUUGUCACUGAUCGUCCGAAUACUUUUCAUGAGGAUUAUUCACUUGCUGGAGGCUCAUGGAGUAAUCCUCGUUCUUUGGAUCAUGUGUGCGAAGUUAUGGAUCCUCUCAAAUCCCAAGCUUUUGUAAAUGGGGCGAUUCACUGGGGGGCAUGGCGCCGCUUAACAAACAGUUAUGAAUAUAUCAUUUUGGCAUUUGACGUGGGCAGCAAUUCAUUUCACAGGAUCAUGGUGCCAAUGAGUUUCAGUAACUCAUGGACCGCGCAAUUGUCUGUUUCAGGUGACGGGAAAUCCAUUGCUCUGUUCCAGCCUUAUUUCAUCUGUAUUGGAGAGCCUCGUCUUAUUGUGAGUUCUUAUCCUCCGUUAUUGACUGUUUCGUUUUUGUUGUAUUUCCUCACUCACUCUGUGUCUACGAAAUUGGCAGCCGGGGAAGUGAAGUUUGAAGCAAUGGUUAGCAGUUUGCCCAAGGAAAUCGUACAUGAUAUCGACUACCUCCUAAAGCUUUGAUCAGGUGCACCUCGGUGUGCAAGCCUUGGAACUCCACGAUAAAAAAAACCCCCAGCUUUAUUCGCACCCAUCUCAGUCGUAACAUCACUCUUAAUAACCAGCUUGGCACCCACCUCCUCCUUCUGCACUGUGUUCGCGGAGACAAUCCAGUGCAGCAGAAUUAAUAUUUGCAUUAUGAUAACCCUGGUUUUGAUGAGUACUGCAAGCUACAAUUUCCAAUUGUUCCCAAGCGCAAUAGAUUCCUUCGCGUGGUCGGCAUUUGUAAUGGGUUGGUCUUCCUUGCAGAUGACAGACUCCAUUUAGGUUACACCUUCAUAAUAUUCAACCCGUCGAUAAGAAAGUCAGUGACCCUUCCAGAGCCUCACCUUGCCUUCGACACAAUUGGCCCGUAUUCCGCUCUUGUUGGGUUUGGUUUUGAUGCUGUGAUCAAUGACUACAAGGUUGUGAGACUCCUGACCGAUCAAUGCGAGGAUCCAAAUACUUUUUAUGAGGUUUAUUCACUUGCUAGAGGCUUGUGGAGUAGUCCUCGUUCUUUUGACCCCGUUUGUAAAGUUUUUGAUUCUCUCAAAUUUCAGACUUUUGUGAACGGGGCUGUUCAUUGGCAGGCACGGCGCUGCUUGGACGAUGGCCGUUAUCAAAAUUUCAUUUUAGCAUUUGAUGUGGACAGUGAGUUAUUUCACGAGAUAAAGGUGCCAAAGAGUUUUAGACAGGAUAAACCAUUAGAUUAUCACCUGUCUGUUUCAGGUGAUGGAAACUCCAUUGCUGUGUUCACGAUGCCGCGGGGUCGUAAUUGUACUGAGGAUUUUCUUGACAUAUGGGUGAUGACAGAGUAUGGCAUCGAGGAUUCAUGGGCCAAACUGAUAACUCUAAGUCCACCGGAUCCAGAAAGCAGGGUGCCCUACAAGCCCUUAUGUUUUAGGAAGAGGGGUGAAGUAGUGUUGGUAUCGACUGAUGACUAUGGCAAUAUGCAUGAAUUAGUUUCUUUAGACCUUGUGAGCAAACAAUUUAAAAAUCUUGGGAUUCGCGGAUAUGGAUAUUACUAUGCUGAACCUUAUGAGGAGAGCCUCGCCUUACUUGACAAUGUCGAUGCAGUUUCUUACAGAGGAGCAGAUCAGGUAAUGUUAUAUCUAGCAUUGGUCUUCCUUUUUGUUUGGAUUUUCUUCUUGUUAUAUAUUUACGUCCAAGGUUCCAACUGUGUGUGACAUGAUAUGAGCUUUAACCCCAGAACAAAGUUAUAUGUGUGUUAAUUUGUUACUUGAUUUAAUUACGCAUAGCUUGCUGAAGUGUAAUCGUUGACAUCAUUCAUUCGCCCUUCGUGCAGGUAGAAAAAGAUGAGGCAGAUAGAUUUCAAGUCCUUGACGAUGCCGUUGUAAUGAAUGUGCUCAAUCUGCUGCUCAGUCAUCGUUUAUCUUGACUAUAUCACUUGUAUUUUGACGUCGACUAGUAAAAAGACGUCGCAUGUGUUGUGCUAGGAUAGCACCAAACCCGUUGGAACCAACUCAAGCUAACCCACAGGAAAUUUAUCAAAUGAAAAUGCAAGAACAAAAUAUUAAAGAACACCAAGAUUUUAACGAGGUUCCUCAACAGUCAGUGUAACUGGAGUACGUCCUCGGAGCAGUAGGAGCUCACCCAAUAAUCCACUAUCAACCAAAUGGGAGUUUACAAAGUGUUGGCAAUCUCACAACCCAAAUAACCCAAUACACCCAAUAUCUCUCACACACCAAAGAAACAAAUAGAAGAAGAAAUAUAAUGAAUAAGUUAUUCUCUAUACAUAUAGCUCAAAGCUAUUACAACAACACCUAUUUUGGUGGAUGAUUACUAACCAAAUGAAGCAGCAGCUUCUUCUUCCUUUUGGGCUCUCUGCAGAAAAAAACUCUAACUUCUCUCUGCAGCUCUCUCUUCUCUCUUCAGCUCUCUCAACUGAAAAAUGAGAGUUGCAUCUCUUUUCUUCUAUCCGAAACAAACCUCAAUAAUUAUGGUUAAUAAAAAAACCACAAAAGAAAAAAAAACAUCAUCAUGAUGUCUCCUCAUCAUGAUGUUUCCUCAUCAUUUUGUCUUUCUUUUUCUUUUGCUUUUUUUAAUAGCCGAAAGUAUUGGCCAUAAUUCAACAAUCUCCACCUUGGCCAAAUUUCGAAAACACCAUGAUAAGCCACCAACACAAUCAACACAAAAAAAAUCACUCCCAAACACUAGCAAGAGAACAACUCAUGCCGAGCCAAAUGCUCCAAAACUCCUACUACUCAACGCCUUCUUUAUAUAGGCAAAAUGUGAGCCAAGUUCAAACAAUGAACAAACUUGGCUACACCAACAACCUUAGUCAACAUAUCAGCGGGGUUGUCUUUAGUUGGAAUCUUCUGGAGAAUGAUUUCCCCUUCACCAACAAUUUCACGAACAAAGUGAUAACGCACAUCUAUGUGCUUGGUCCUCGCAUGAUGAACCUGAUACUUAGCCAAAUAAAUGGCACUCUGACUAUCACAAUGUACCUCCACCUGCUUCUGAUCAACCCCCAAAUCUCUAAUCAGCCCAUGUAUCCAAAUGGCCUCCUUUAUAGCUUCAGCAACUGCCAUAUAUUCAGCCUCUGUAGUAGACAAGGCAACAGACGACUGCAAAAUAGACCUCCAACAAACUGGUCCUUUAGCCAUAGUAAACACAUAGCCUGUAGUAGACUUCCUACCAUCCAGAUCACCUGCAUAAUCUGAAUCAACAUAACCAACUGCAAAAUGACCAAUACCAGAGUCAUCUCUCUCAAAGCAUAAACCAACAUCUUGAGUACCAUGGAGAUACCUCAAUAUCCACUUAACUGUUUGCCAAUGCUCUUUACCUGGAUUAUGCAUAUAUCGACUCACCAUGCCAACUGCAUGAGCAAUAUCCGGUCUAGAGCAUACCAUUGCAUACAUCAAACUACCAACCAAAUUUGCAUAUGGUAUAUUUUUCAUUUGCAGCUUCUCUUUAUCAGUUUUAGGACACUGUAAAGAACUCAAUUUAAAAUGAGGAGCCAAAGGGGUACUAACCGGUUUGGUUGAAUCAUGAACUCCAAAUUUCCGAAUCAACUUUUCAAGAUAUUGUCUUUGAUUCAAACUGACCAAACCCUUCUCUCUAUCUCUAGUGAUCUCCAUGCCAAGGAUCUUCUUCGCUUCACCAAGAUCCUUCAUCUCAAACUCAUUCUUCAUUUGCUUCUUCAAUUUCUCAAUCUCUUCAACAUUCUUUGAGGCAAUCAACAUAUCAUCAACAUAUAUCAACAAAUAAAUGAAAGACCCAUCUUGCAACUUCUUGAAGUACACAAAAUGAUCAUAUUGACUUCUAGAAUAAUUUUGGCCUCUCAUAAAUUUAUCAAACCUCAAAUACCAUUGCCUUGGAGAUUGCUUCAAGCCAUAUAGUGAUUUCUUCAAUUUGCAAAACAAGUUCUCCUUCCCUUUCAUUAUAUACCCAUCCGGUUGACACAUAUAGAUCUCUUCAUUCAAAUCACCAUGUAGGAAAGCCGUCUUCACAUCGAGUUGCACAAGCUCAAGAUCAUAUUGUGCAACAAGGGCUAACAUAAUACGAAUUGAGGAGUGCUUCACAACUGGAGAAAAUAUUUCAUUGUAGUCAAUGCCCUCCUUUUGUGCAUACCCUUUAGCAACUAAUCUUGCUUUAAAUCUCACAUUGCUUUUCUCAUCAUCAUCUUCCUUCUUGGCAUACACCCAUUUGCAACCAAUAGCUUUCUUGCCCUUAGGCAAUUUAGCUAACUCCCAAGUCUUGUUCUUCAAGAGAGAAUUCAUCUCAUCACCCAUGGCAUUGCACCACCUCUUCUUCUCCUCACUCUCAAUAGCUUCCUCAAAAUUGGAUGGAAUCUCUUCAGUGAUAAUAGGAAGAGCAAAAGCAACAUAGUCACUAUACCGAGCUGGCUUGGUAAUUUGUCUCUUUCCUCUGUUCUUGGCAAUAGACUCUUGAGGUGAAACUUGCUCUUCAACUUGAAUAGAAUCUUCAAGUUCAACUUCUUCAACAUCCUCAUGGUCUCCAACUUCCUCACUUGUAGUGGCUUCGACAUCAGCGGAAAUAGGAUUUGAAGUACCAGAGGCAACUUUCUCAAGCUCCACCUGUUGGACAUUUUUCACAUUCUUCUCAGAGCCUUUGUACAUACUUUCUUCAUCAAAUGUCACAUCUCUGCUGAUUACAAGUUUCUUCAAUUCUGGGCACCACAACCUGUAACCUUUGACACCACUACUAAAACCAAGAAAGAUAGCCUUUUUGGCUCUAGGAUCAAGUUUAUUUUCAGUUACAUGAAAAUAAGCAGGUGAACCAAAAAUAUGAAUAUGAUCAUAAUCAGAAGAAGGUUUUCCAGUCCAUACCUCCAUUGGUGUCUUACCCUGAACAGCAGCUGAGGGUAACCGGUUGAUGAUGUGACAUGCAUAAUUAACUGCCUCUGCCCAAAAUGACUUGCUUAAACCCGAUUGAGACAACAUACAUCUAACCUUCUCAAGCAAGGUUCGAUUCAAUCUUUCUGCAACUCCAUUUUGUUGUGGAGUUCCUCGAACACUGAAAUGUCUCACAAUUCCUUCCUCUUUGCAAACUUUAAAGAAAGGAUCGGAUGUGUAUUCACCACCAUUAUCCGAUCUCAAAAUCUUAAUCUUUCUCCCAGUCUGAUUCUCAACCAUUUUCUUCCAACCCAAGAAAAUGCACAACACCUCACUCUUGUGCUUCAUAGUGUAGACCCAAGACCUUCUUGAAUAAUCAUCAACAAAUGUCACGAACCAAUGUCUACCACUCAAAGAGGGAGUCUUUGUAGGACCCCAAACAUCCGAAUGCACAUAAUCAAGAAUGCCCUUUGUCUGAUGUACAGCAGUACCAAACUUCACUCUAGUUUGUUUCCCCAAGACACAAUGCUCGCAGAAAUCAAGCUUACAAGUCGUGGCACCUUUUAGAAGACCUUGUUUCACAAGCCCUUGUAGAGCUUUCUCACCGGCAUGGCCUAAUCUCAUAUGCCACAGUCUAGUAGUAUCUGAAUCAGAUGUGCCCAUAUUUUCAGAGACUACAGAUGCUUCACCUGUCACAGUGCUUCCCUGCAAUAAAUACAAAUGACCACAUCUAGGAGCUUUCAUCACAACAAGUGCACCAUAAGUAACUUUCAAUGUCUGUCCAUCUGAAUGAAACCUGAAACCCUUGGAUUCCAAAGUACCCAAAGAAAUAAGAUUUUUCUUCAAAUUCGGUACAUACCGAACACCUGUCAACUCUUUAACCAUGCCAUCAUGCAACUUCAAACGAACUGUACCAAUCCCUUUUGUUGUGCAAGGAUUGUCAUCUCCCAUGAACACAACGCCACCAUCAAACUCUUUCAAGCUUGAAAACCAAUCUUUGUGAGGAGUCAUAUGAUGAGUACAACCCGUAUCUAACACCCACUUAGUAGCACAAUCAAAUGAUGAGGAAGUGGUUAAAGCAAAAUCAGAAAAAUCUGUUUCAACCUCAGCAACAUUAGCUUCAGAACUUUCUUUUCCUUUGGUCUUCAACUUAGGACAAUCUUUCUUCCAAUGGCCCUUAUUAUGACAAAAGGCACAUUCAUCCCUUUCUAAAUGUUUUCUACCUUUAGAGUUUCCUCUAGGUCGAGACUGUGAUUUUUUCCUACUAGUAGAGGACCUCCUCUCCGAUGAUCUACCUCUAACAAAUAAAGCUUCAGAGGUACUAUCAUGAUUUUUAUCUCUAUGCCUCAUUUCAUAAUUCAUCAAGGCAUUUGACACAUCUUCAAAUUUCACAGUUUCUUUACCAUGCAUAAUAGUGGUAACAAAAUGCUCAUAAGAGUCCGGCAAUGAAUUCAACAAUAUUAAGGCCUUAUCUUCAUCCUUAAUAUCCUCAUCUAAAUUUAACAAGUCGGCAAUCAACUUAUUAAAAGCAUCAAGGUGUCUAAUCAUUUUUGUACCUUCUUUGUAUUGGAAGCGGUAGAGCUUUUUCUUCAAGUGUAGCCGGUUCUCUGCAUUCUUCGUCAUAUACUUGUCUUCCAAUUUUUGCCACAACACACUUGCUACCGUCUCCCACAUCACAAAAUACUUCUGAGUUUUUGCAAGGCACAACCGAAUUGAAGAGCAAGCCCACAAAUUUAAUUUCUCCCAUUCCGACUUCGACAUAGCUUCCGGUUUUUCUCCCAAAACGGCAAGUAGAUCUUGUUGAGCCAACACAUCUUUAACCUCACAUUGCCACAUCCCGAAGUUGUUUGUGCCAUCAAACUUUUCCACUUCGAACUUUGCAUUUUGCACCGUAGUUCUUGCAAACCCGGAGGUGCUUCCAAAAGGAUUUUCAUCUUGCCCAUCUGACAUCUUUGGCAACUAGACAGUACCCAAGAGCAACCAGUGCUCUGAUACCAAUUGUUGUGCUAGGAUAGCACCAAACCCGUUGGAACCAACUCAAGCUAACCCACAGGAAAUUUAUCAAAUGAAAAUGCAAGAACAAAAUAUUAAAGAACACCAAGAUUUUAACGAGGUUCCUCAACAGUCAGUGUAACUGGAGUACGUCCUCGGAGCAGUAGGAGCUCACCCAAUAAUCCACUAUCAACCAAAUGGGAGUUUACAAAGUGUUGGCAAUCUCACAACCCAAAUAACCCAAUACACCCAAUAUCUCUCACACACCAAAGAAACAAAUAGAAGAAGAAAUAUAAUGAAUAAGUUCUUCUCUAUACAUAUAGCUCAAAGCUAUUACAACAACACCUAUUUUGGUGGAUGAUUACUAACCAAAUGAAGCAGCAGCUUCUUCUUCCUUUUGGGCUCUCUGCAGAAAAAAACUCUAACUUCUCUCUGCAGCUCUCUCUUCUCUCUUCAGCUCUCUCAACUGAAAAAUGAGAGUUGCAUCUCUUUUCUUCUAUCCGAAACAAACCUCAAUAAUUAUGGUUAAUAAAAAAACCACAAAAGAAAAAAAAACAUCAUCAUGAUGUCUCCUCAUCAUGAUGUUUCCUCAUCAUUUUGUCUUUCUUUUUCUUUUGCUUUUUUUAAUAGCCGAAAGUAUUGGCCAUAAUUCAACAGCAUGUACUCCGGAUUUUCUCCGGAUGCCUUGUGAUAUAUGCCGGAUGCUGGCUAGAGGAGAACAUUUUUCCUUCAGUUUGUCUGCUAAUUUACAGUCCUAGAAGAAGUUACUUAUCAUAACAUGUUGCCAAUGUUCAUGGAUAUAUACCGUUAUAUUAAUGAGUUUCUUUGAAAUUGUUUGUGAUAUUUUCGUGCCAAAUAGGACGAGAAGAAAAUUGCAUAUCUCAGUUUUUUAGCUCUCAUAAAGAUUUAUGUCUCUCUCGUUGCGAAACUUAUACUAUAAUUUUUGCUCCUAUGGUCUAUCAAAAUAAUAAUAUUUCAGUAGAUACUUAGUAGUUUAUUACCGUAAAUUUUGUGUUCAACUGAAAGCAGGGAGAACAAUGUGUACCUUUUUCUUUUCUUUUUUCCCAAUGAAUUUUUUAACUUCUUCCUCUACAACUAGGGGUGGGCAAUUGGAACCGAAAACCGAAACCGAAACACGAAUCGAAUCGAACCGCACCAAACGGUUUGGUUUUGCGGUUUUGAAACGGUUUCGGUUUCAAAACCAAACCGUGGCACACAAAACGGUUUGGUUUCGGUUUUGGGUUUUCAAAACCGCACCGAAACCAAAACCGCACCGUAUAAUAAAUAAUAAAACAAAUGUUAUAUAACUUAUAAUUUAAACUUUUCAACUAGGUUAUAACUUAUAGGUUUGGUUUUGCCGUGGGUUUGCACUUUGACUUAACUGCUUCUGCUUGCAUCUCUACUUCUGCCUUUGCAAUUGCAUUUUUGUUGCAUUAUUUUUUAGUGCAAUUUUGUGCAGUUUUGGUGCAGUUUUUGGUGCAGUUUUGCUGCUGUUUUUUAUGCAGUUUUGCUGCAUUUUUUUGGUGCAGUUUUGUGCAGUUUUGGUGCAGUUUUUGGUGGUGUUUGGGUGCAGUUUUUGGUGGUGUUUUGCUGCAGUUUUUUUUCUUCAGUUUUGACUCUUUUUUGCUGCAAUUUUACUGCAUAUUCAUUAAUUAAUAUACGAGGAAAAUAAGACCGUUUUAUGCAUAAAUAGGUGUAUAUUUUAAAUUGUACAUUUUUUUUCUCAAAAACCAAACCGAAACCGUUUGAAACCGCACCGCACCGAACCAAACGGUUUGGUUUUAUUUCGGUUUUGGCUUCAAAACCGCACCGCAAAAUGUUUCGGUUUCGGUUGUGGUUUCACUCGAAACCGCACCGCGCCCACCCCUAUCUACAACCCUUGCAUGUAGGUUUGGCAGUAAAAGAAGAGUUUCAGCGCAAUUAAAAUAAGGUUUUUUUAGCCAAAAUGGUCCCUGAAAUUUCAAAUCAAUAGAAGUGAUCCAUGAGAUUGUCUACUAUCCAUCAUUUUGGUCAUUCCGUUAAAAACUCCUUUAAGUGUCCCGGAGCUGUUGGCCGGAAGUUUUGGCAAUUUUCAAAGCUUCGUAACUCAAUCGUUUCUUAACCAAAUUUGACCCAUAAUAUAUCAAAAUGAAGAUAGGAAAGUGUAGAAUAAGAUUAUAACUAUUUAGAAGCCCAAUGGUUGCCGGAGAUGGUCGGAAAAUAGCCUCAAAGUUGACUGGUCCGAGGGAAAACUGGAAAACUGGCCGGAAACUGGGUAAACUUUAAAAGUUCAUAACUUCUUCAAUACUCAACGAAAUCAAGUGAUUCAAAAACAAAAAUCAUACUUCUCAAUGAGACAAAGAGAAUGGAACCUUUUUCAAUGGCUAACUCGCAGUGGUUUGGCCGAAAAACGGCUCAAAAUUGGCUAACUCGAGCCUAAGGCAGCCACUUUCGAGCCGUUUUCCGGCCAAACCACGGCGAGUUAGCCAUUUCAAAAGAUACCAUUCUCUUUUUCUCAUCGAGAAGUAUGAUUUUCAUUUUUGAAUCACUUGAUUUCGGUGAGUAUUGAAAAAGUUACGAACGUUUAAAAUCUACCCAGUUUUCCAGUUUUUCCUCGGACCAGUCAACUUUGAGGCUAUUUUCUAAUCAUCUUCGGCAACCAUUGGGCUUCCAAAUAGGUAUAAUCUUAUUCUACACUUUCCUAUCUUCAUUUUGAUAUAUUAUGGUCGAAUUUGGUUAAGAAAGAUUGAAUUACGAAGCUUUGAAAAUUGCCCAAACUUUCGGCCAAGAGCUCUGGGACAUUUAACGGAAUUUUUAACGAAAUGACCAAAAUAAUGGAUGGUGGCCAAUCUCAGGGACCAAAGUGAGGAGUUAUACAAAUCUCAGGGAUCAUUUUGGCUAAAAAGCCUUAAAAUAAUGGCGAACUAGUCUUUCGUUUUUUUAUGAACAAUAGGAUAAUCUACACUAAAUUAUUUUUUCGUCUUUUGUUAAAGGAUACAUUAAUUGAAAAAAAAAAACUUGAAGUGUUUGGGAUCAUUUAAAUUCCAAUUUCAAUAUAGCUAUUGGUUUAAGUAACAUAAUUUUUAGUUUAGGUACCAAUGAAAAAAAUCAACUAAAAUAAUUCUAUAAAUACUAUUAUAAUUCAAAAUAAUUAUAUAAUUGCUACGUUUUCCGACCAGCCAACUGUAUUCGCAACCACCUCACCCUUACUGUCAAUCUUAAUAACCAGGUUUCGACUAACCUCCUUGUACGGCAUUGUGUUUGCAUACAUGAGCCAAGGGAGGAGCAUUACUAUUUGCAUAUGAUAAAUAACCAUGUUUUUUAUGAGUACCGUUGGCUAGAAUUUCCAAUCAUUCCGAAGGGAUAAUCAAUCAAUUGCUUAUUAAAUAUUAUUUUCUCUAUUCUUAAUGUAAAUUUUAUAAUGACCGAUUUUAUUAUGUUAAUUACUUUAAUUAGUUUAUUAGAGGUUUCUUCUAGUAUAAUAUAAGAAUAUUUAUUUAUUUCCAAUAUUUAACUUUCCUUUUAUCAAUUUAUGCAUAUAAAUACAUUUAAAACGUGUAAGUCGCGCGUAGCACGUCGUGAUUCAAAAAAUGUCCUCUGCAUAAAGGCUAGUAAAGAGAAAGUAAAAAGAGGAAUCUGUCUUUUUGGGCAGAAAGAGGAAGACUUGUUAUAGUCUUUCAACACCUAAUCAUCAUCGCAAUUUGAAGAGCCUCGACUAGAUAAGAAGACGUCGCAUGUACUCGGGAUUUUCUCCGGGAUGCCUUGUGAUAUUCUGAUAUUGCUGCUGGAAAUAAAUGUUGGAACUUGUGAGUGGGACUUAGUCCCACAUCGCCCAAACACAUGGUGGAAGUCCACUUUAUAAGUCUUUUCCUUCCUUUAUGGUUUGAAAAGAAUUGGUCCAAAGCUAUGGACAUUGGCCUUACAAAUGGAGGUUUGAGUGUAUAUAUUAAGGGUAAAAGACUGUUUACUACCCUAAUGUUUCGUGGUUUUCAACAUUUAGUACAUCAUGUUUUUUUCGUCUCAGAGUCAUACCUAAAGUGUAAAUUUUGGGACAGUCUCAUACAUCCGUUAGUCAAACUGUUAAGUUUUUCGUUAACUGUGACGUGGCGCACUGAGUGGGCGUCAUCCACGUGUCAUGUUUUUUUUUUUUUUUUUUUUUUUUUUUUUUUUUUCUUCUUCUUCCUUCUUCUUGCUCCGACUGCAACUUUCUGUUUUUUUUUUUUUUUUUUUUUUUUUUCUUUCCUUUUCCUUCUUCCUUCCUUUUUCCUUUUUUUUCUUCCCCUUCUUCCUUCUUCUUCUUCUUCUUUCUUCCUCCGAAUUCUUUUUUUUUUUUUUUUUUUUUUUUCUUCUUCUUUCCUUCUUCCUUCCUUCUUCCUUCUUUCUUCUUCUUCUUCUUCUUCUUCUUCUUCUCCGAAAUCAGAUUCAUUUUUCUUUCUUUCUUCUUCCUUCUUCUUCUCCUUCUUCCUUCUUCUUCCCUUCUUCGUUCUUCUUCUUCUUUUCUUUUGGGGGAAGAUGAAAGUGUUUUUUUUUUUUUUUUGAGGAAGAAGAUGAAGAAGAGAAAGAAGAAAGAAAAAAAAGAAAAAAAAGAAAAAAAAAAAAGGAAAAAAAAAAAAAAAAAAGAAUGAAGGAAGAAAAGAAGAAGAAAAAAAAAAAAAAAAAAAAAAAAAAAAAAAAAAAAAAAAAAAAAACGAAAAAAGUGGAUGACAAAGAAAGAAACGAAGAUGGGUGAGAGCAAAACUAAAAAAAAACAAAAAACCACGGAGGAAGAAAAACAACUGUAAAAAAAUAAAAUUACACUUUUGAUCUCUGAGACGAAAAAAAACUUGAUGUACUAAAUGUUGAAAACAAAACACGAAAAAUUAGGGUAGUGAAAACAAACUCAGUUCUUUUACCCAUAUAUAAUAAAUAAGAAGGCCUUGGAAAGGAUAAAACUGAAAUAUCAAAGAUGGGCCUUGGAAAGGAUAAAACUGAUGACGAACAGUUCCAACCGUUCUAAAAACGGUACACUUGACAUUUGAUUUGUUUUAACAAUAAACAUUUUUCCUUCAGUUUGUCCGUUCUACCUAGAAAAAAGUUUGCAGUUAUCACAACAUGCCAAUAUUCAGUUAAUAUACUUAAUGAGUUUCUAUGAAAAUGUUCUUGAUAUUUUCGUGCCAAAUGGUGAGUGCAUUAUCUAUUUGUUCUAGCCUUGAUUUCUAGUUGCCCUCCAACCAUCAACGUUGCUUUUGCUUAAUUGCCAACCUUUCAUCUCUUAUUGUGCUUUCUUCUCAAUAUUCUCACACCUUCGUAGGACGAGAAGAAAAUUGUAUAUCUCAGUUUUAUAGCUCUAAUAAGAUUUAUAUCUCUCUCGUUACAAAACUUUUACAUUAAGUUUUCCUCCCAUGGUGUAUCAAAUAAUAAUAUUUCAGUAGAGACAUCUAUUACCAUAAAUUUUGUGCAAUUGAAAGCAGCGAGAACAAUACCUAUUAUUUUAUUUUAUUUUAUUUUUUCUCAAAGAAUUUUUUUGGUCAUUUUCCUCUGCAACCCUUGAGUUUCAAUCAACCCACACCCACUUUAUUUAUAAGAGUAAGGAGAACAAAUUUUUAAACCAAAUUUUGUAAAUAAAAUGAUACAUUACCAAUAGAAAAUAAGUACGUUAAUUAAUACUUGAAUAAUUUAGUCUCUCUAGCAUUAUCUUUAAAAUAAUGGCAAACUAAUUCUUUUGUUUUUUUUUUACGAAUGAUAGAAUAAUCUAUAUUAAACUAUUGUUUCGUCUUUUUUUCUUUUCUUUUUGUGAACGAUAAGACAAUAAACAAUUGAGAAAUUUUAUUUGAACUCAUACUUUGUAUCUCAACACUCAACUUACUUUUUAUAUUCACAUUGUAUUUGAUUUAUCUAUCAUUAUUUAUUUACACCCAACAUUAUUUUCGAAAUCGCCCUUACUUAUCAAAACCCAACUCAAUCAAACUUCUUUUUACACCCAACUCAAUCUACUUAAAAAUAAAAAAAAUUAAAACUCUAACCAGUCUAUCAUCUUCAUGGAGCAAAUCCCCUUCUCCCUCUUUAAAAAUCCUUCCAUCUCCCAUGGUUGUCAUUCUGCACCCCCAUCUACUUCUCCGUAGUCACUAUUUGGACCCGAUUUUAUACCAUCGGCCCAAGCGAUCGAGGCUGUUGAGUGAGCAUGGUUCUUAACCGUCAAUUAAGAUAAUUUGAUAUUGUUAAGAGAUAAUAUUAUGGUUUUUAAUCAUAAUAAUUAUCUUUUAAUAAAUUAUCUCAAUUUUCUUGUACAAAAUAAAUGGAAUGCAAAUCAUAACCUCAACGUAGAGGCAAGCAGAACAGUCCGAGUUAAUUUGGAUUUGUUAGCAGUGUACUAUGUGAAAUUAGAGCAGCUUGGCUUGGACUCUUCACGUGGCAUAACAUGGAUCUGCAAGUUUUGGAUAAUGGUGAAUAGAAAACCUAAGUAGGUUAGGUUGUUUGAUGAAUGUUGUCAGACGGAUAGGCUUUUGGAUGGGUGAUGGGUUAGGUUUUUAUUAGCUUUGAAAAGUCAACCAUUUGAAGAUAGGCUUUAAGCCUAUGUCACGGAUCAGUUUGAGUUUCAGUCGGUUUCUUCUUAUUAUCCAGGCCGUGCCAAACAGAAAAUAUGUUCAUAUAAAUACAGAGGUAAUUGCAACGCAUAGAGGACCUCCAACUCAACACACAAACUGCCAUGCGUAAACCCUUGCUCUACGCGAAACCUUUCAAACAUCUUGAGAUUUUUUAUUUUCUUUUUCGCCAACACAUCUUUAGUUUGGAUAAAUAGCACUAUGAAGGCAACCGAUGAAUAUCUUCAGUUUGGAUAAACAACAUUGUUACCGUAGAAUUAGCCGACCACAGAGCACCUUCAGUUUGGAUAAACAGCACUGCGUCAAGGCCGACUGGUUAUCUAUCCAAGUCUCAGUCGAGAAGGAUUUUGGAAUCCUUAUUGGCAGAUGUCAUCUCAUUAGCCUUUUCGGCCAAGUGAUGUGUUACAAGUUAUUACAUUCAGCACAUUGAAAGCCGAAUUUGAUAUUGAACUUUGCAGAACUAGCAGCCUUGUCUUCAGGCUCUAGAACCCGAAGGCUAAGAGUGUUCCUUCCUCGGCCGCAGUCCCGAGAUUCAAAAGUCAGCAGCGCACCCAACGUAACAUCAACAUAUUUUACUCCUCAGCCGAGCUCGGCCGACGAGUUGGCACGCCUCGCACACAACUGAAUGACGUAGUUAGCUUAUUAAUUACUCGGCUUGCGUGCCACAUAGGCUUAGUAGUUUUUAGGGUCAACAUCACCUAAACCUCUUCCUCUUCCUUUUCUUCAUCAUUUGACAUCUCUAAAUUUCUAGAGCACUAAUUAGCUUAAUAAUCAGUAUGAGCUUCUGGUUAGAGUGUUUAAUGAGUUUGAUAUGUUUCAAUUAAAUGACAAUCUUCUAGCCUCUAUAUUCCUAUAUGUGGUAGAAAAAUGGGUACGUCCAUAAUAACUUUUGGUAGAUCAAUGAAUAUUUUAAAACGUGGAUAUUUAUUAGAUACAAAAGUUGCUGACAACAAUUCACAUUACAUUGAACUGUGGCUAAAAAGUAUAUCGUCUUAGCAUGUUUUAUAGGUGAACUCAUAGCUAAACAGUUUUUAUUGUAAAGCAAAACUUUGGGAAUUGAUCUAACAUGGAUGUGUAAUUGAGUUUAUGCAUUUUAACGAUUAAAAUGAUAAAUAUUUCGACUGUAAAUGGAUUUAAUAUCGUAGUAUCUUUUAGCCUCUAUAUGCCACAAAAGUUGUGGACAAAAAUUCACAAUACAUAGAACUGUGGUUAAAAAGUAUACUGCCUUUGCACGUUUAUAGGUGAACUCAUAGGUAAGCAGUUUUAUUGUUGACCAAAACUUCGGGAAUUGAUCUCACUUGAAUGUAUAAUUGAGCUUAUGCAUUUUAAUGAUUAAAUUCAUAAAUAUCUCAACCACAUAUAAAUUUAAUAUCGUAUUGUCCUUUAACCUCUAUAUUGGUAUCUGUGACAAAAAAAUGGGUACCUCCAUGAGAAAAUUUUGUAGAUCGAUUAAUAUUUUCAAUUUGGAUAUUUAUUAGAUACUAGAAAUUAUAAGUCUAUUUGCGAAAGUCUAAGUCAAUGCCACGUACAAUAUUUGUUAAGAUAUAUUUAGGGAACUGUUAUUAGCACUCCAAAAAUCUCAUUCUACACUCCACACAAGUGUAUUUUUCUUUCUAAUUACAAAAAGUUUGGAAUGCCAAAUGAGAUUUUUGGAGUGCUAAUAACAAUUUUCUAUAUUUAUAUACAUUUUAUUUUUUGGUCGACUUCCCUUUUUUUUUCUUUCUUUAUCAAGUUAGGAGUAUCACUGAUUUUGAACUUGUGCAACUAGUUGUUGAUUCGUUUUGAAUAAUCAACAUUAUUUUUGACAAUGUCUUGGGCGUAUGAAUAAUAGAAAGAAAAUGGUCAUGAUACAAGUUGAAUAGUAGUAAUACUAAUUAGUAAACAAUUUGUGCAUGAUGUUUACUUAUAACCAAGUGGCAUGAAGGGACAAAUGUGUAGGUUUCAUGCAUGACUUGAAAUCGUAUUAGUAAAUGCAUGAUGUUUGCUUAUAACCAAGUGGCAUGAAGGGACAAAUGUGUAGGUUUCAUGCAUGACUUGAAAUAAUAUUAGUAAAUGCAUGAUGUUUGCUUAUAACCAAGUGGCAUGAGGGGACAAAUGUGUAUGUUUCAUGCAUGACUUGGAAUAGUAUUAGUCGUCGGGAGAUUUUGCAUCAAUUUGUUUUUGUUUUUUUUAACCAAGUGGCAUGAAAGGACAAAUGUGUAGGUUUCAUGCAUGACUUGGAAUAAUAUUAGUAAAUGCAUGAUGUUUGCUUAUAACCAGGUGGCAUGAGGGGACAAAUGUGUAUGUUUCAUGCAUGACUUGGAAUAGUAUUAGUCGUCGGGAGAUUUUGCAUCAAUUUGUUUUUGUUUUUGUUUUUAAUAUGUAUAUAUUAAUAUCUAUUUUAAUGGGAUUGCUCUCCACCCCUAAGUUGUGAUAAUGCCUUUAUUUAUCGUUAUUAUGUGAGUUUAAUUAAAUUUUGAGAUUGUGUUUAUCCACUACAUACAUUUAGAAUAUUUUUUUUUUAGUCGAGCGACAACAUUAAUAAGUUAGAUGUUAGAUUAGUCACCGAUAGAAUUCGAACUCACGCCAUCAUGUAAGAGCACAACACUUUUUCACCAUUGUGGUAAAUGGCCACUUGCCAACAAGUUGAUUGGCCUGUGUGACUUUACUAAUACUACUCCAAGUCAUGCAUGAAACAUACACAUUUGUCCCUUCAUGCCACUUGGUUAUAAGCAAACAUCAUUCACAAGUUAUUUGCUAAUUAGUACUACUCUUAUUCAGCUUGUAUCAUGACCGUUUUCUUUCUGUUAUCCAUACGUCCAAGACAUUGUAAGAAAUAAUGUUAAUUAUUCAAAACGAAUCAACAACUAGUUGCACAGGGUCACAGUCAGUGAUAUUCCAAACUUGAUAAAGAAAGGAAAAAAAAAGAAGUCGACUUUCAAACUUGAUUAUUCUACAAAUAUUACUAUAUAGAAUUCAAAUAAUUAUACGAUUGCCAUUUUUUUCGACCUGUCAACUGUAUUCCCAACGACGUUACCCGCACAAUCAAUCUCAAUAACCAGGUUUCCACUAACCUCCUUGUACUCCAUUGUGUUCGCAUACAUGAGCCAAGGGAAGAGCAUUACUAUUUGCAUUCUGAUAAAUGACCAUGAUUUUUUUUAUGAAUAUUGCAGACUAGAAUUUCCAAUCAUUCCCAAUGGAGAAUGGUUCAAUCAUGACAUCAUGAGCUAAGAAUACAAUUUUGAGUUUAAAUUUCUCUCCACAUACAUCACGUUAAUUUAGUUUUUUUUCUACUUUCCUAGCAUGUUCUCUUUCGUGCAUUUUAAAUAGUGACUUAAUAGUGAAAAAACAGAUUCAUAUAGAGAUAUAAGUCUAAAAUUACUUGUCACUAAUUCAGUCACCAAGCUUAAGUCGUCUAUCUUUAAUCUUCAAAAUUAACACAAUAAGCUAGUAAUUUCACUUCAUCAAAAUAUUGCUCAAUGUUGUUUGACUUGUUUCCUUUCUUAAACUUUUAGAUGCUCAUUAAUUAUAUACUAAAAAACCUUGCUCUUCAUCUUCAAACGGAUCAUAAUCCAAUAUAGCUCUGUUACUAAAGGCUGGUUUGGUAUUGCUGCGCUUUGAAAAAAAGCUGUUGUGAGAAUAAGUGGCUGUGCUGUGAGAAUAAGCGGCUGUGAAAUAAAUCAGCAGAGUGUUUGGUAAACUUUUUUGUAAAAGUGCUUUUGGAAAAAAAAAACAGUCUGAUAGUGGGUCUUUUCAUUAAAGGAGCACUGUAGCUCUGUGUGCUUUGAAAAAAAGUCAGUUUUCCAAAGCUGCAAAUAGCAGCUUCAGUUUUUUCCUUUGAUUUCAGCUUAUUCUCACAACAGCUUCCAAAAUAAGCCUUUUUUUUUUUUCAGUUUACCAAACACCUAAAAGCCUCAUAACUUUUUUUGAUAGGUGCCUUUUUUUUUAAGCACCUCACUCCCAAACCCAACCUAAGUAGCAUAACUACAAGUCUGCAAGAUGGCAAAAGCAUAAUCCAUUGUAACUUUGGUAGAUCAGGUGUCGGCAGGAUCAUUUUCUUCUAAAUUCAAGUAGCAUAACUACAAGUCUGCAAGAUGGCAAAAGCAUAAUCCAUUGUAACUUUGGUAGAUCAGGUGUCGGCAGGAUCAUUUUCUUCUAAAUUCGGUGACGGAUGGAUCAUUUUCUUCUUGUUUCAAGUGUUGUGUGACUCAGGUUUUUUUAGAGUCUUUUACAGUUUUAAAUUGAUUGUCUCUACAUCAUCUACUAUGGCCUACAAACAAUUGAAACAAUCACCCUCCCAAAAUAAUAUGAUCGGUGUUGCAAGGGAUUGUAGCUUAGUUGUGUACAAGCAGAUGUUUUUUUUAGUAUAUCGAUAUUUUUUAUAUUAAGGAAGAGAAGAAGUUUGGAUGAGCCACACAAUAGAUAGUCUAAUUUGAUAUUAAAUUUUUCAUUCACGAGAUUCGAACAUAAGACCUCUACUUCUAAGUGAAGAGGAAUAUCACUAGAUCGUAGUACUAAGUAGCGCAAUCAGUCAUUUAUUUGUUGAGAAUAAAUCUUAUAUUAAUGAAAUGAGAGACUUUGUAUGUGCUUAUAAUAAGUAGUUGAGGUACUCUUCCUAUAGUCAAUUGUUUUUAUGGUGGAACUUCAAUCUCUUUUUCUUGCUAUCAAAACAAGUUGUCUCAUGUAUGAAGCAUAACGGCCUCACGUGAUCCACAUCUUUCGAAUUGUAUUAUCCACAUGUUAAACUUGAAAUUUGUCAUACGUAAUGGAAUGAAUCUCAUAUUAAAAAAAGAAAAAAAAAAGAGACUUUGAAAUCUCAAUUUUAUUGUAUUUCCAUCCAAAGUUCUAUAUUUUGAUUUCCCAUCUCCAAAAUCGCUCUUAUAAAGAAAAAGAAAAAGUAUAACGAACGUGUAGGACUUUGGAGAUAAGAAAUCAAAUAAAAAGACAACAAUAUGACCCCACGAUAUGACCCCACGAAAAGUACAGAGAGAAACGAGGAGUCCUUUGUGGUCCGAAAGGUUACAAGUCUUUCAACACCUAAUUAUCAAAAGCAAAUUGCAGCGUUCGAGAGUAGUCUGGAUUAGGGCUGGCAUUUUGAACCCGAUUCGUUAAUCCGAUCCGAUCUGAUCCGUUAAAACUAGUAUUUGGGUGAAUGCUUAACGGGUUAGGUUAUUAACGGGUCAACCCGUUAGUCACCCGUUAAGUAACGAGUUAUUUUGAGUCAACCCGCGAAACCCAUUAGCACCCGUUAACACCCGUUAAGAAGGACUUAUGUGUAAUUUCAUAGUUGGAAUAGAAAACCUAGCUCUCUCUGUUCUCUCACAUUCGAACCCGACUGAGUGGCUGCUGUUCUCUGAGAACUUCUCUCCCUCAUCUUCUUCCUCAAAUUUGGCUGCCGUUCACUAAGUUUGUCAUCCUCUCUCUGGUAAGUUCCGAUUCCCUUUCACCUCUUCUUCCAUGGCGAUUACUUUUCGUUUUUGCAAAUUAUAUUUUUUGUCUAAUUCUCAGUUUUCGCUUGAGCUUGGUUUGAGGUGGUAUUCUUCAGAUGAGCUUCAAAUUAAUUUGGAAUUAGUUGAUUUGUGUUUGAUGAUUUCAAUUGCGAUUGUGCUUUUGUUGUGCAAAUGGUGUUUUCUGUGUGUGAUUGUACUUUUGUUCUCUUCCUUCUCAAGUUAGAUAGAGAGAGAUCUUCCCACUUCUCCAUCCCAUCACACACUUGAUUCAUACACACACACAUACAUACGUUAUUCUUCUAUUAUGGGUUUGAUGGUGAUUGAGGAGGAGAAGCAGGCGGCGGCCAAGCCCUUCGACGAAUUGAGUUUUGAUUAGAAUUGGGUUUUGAUUAAAAUAUGUGUUCUUUUGCCUGAAACAGACUCUGGAUCUGUUGAUUUUCAUAAUCCAUGAAAACAAGUCCCUUCAUCUUCAUCUGAAAACUUCUACGUAGUAAGUUCCUCUUGCAACUAUAUAUGCGAAACUCAUUAUUUAUUAAAGUAAACUGUCGAUUUACCCCCUGAACUUUCACCUCACUUUCGAUUCCCUCUUGAACUUUUCAAUUGGAAAAUUAAGGACUCAAACUAAUUUUUUUAGCCAAUUUGCCCCCUACUGUUAGUUUUUCAUAUAUUCUAUCUAUAUUUCUGUUAAGUGAGACCAUAUGCACAACAUGUGAGGGUAGUUAAGUCAUUUCACUCUUAAAAAUGAUUAAAAAUUUGAAAAUAAAAAAAAAACAAAAUUUUCCCUCUAUUUUUUUCCGCUAAUUCCUAUCAUCGAUUUUAUUUUUCCCUCUCAUUCUUAUGCAUGAGAAAUGACAUAUGGUGUUAUUGUCUACCAUUUUUAUUUUCUCUAACAAAUUAAUAAUUUGACAAAUGCUAAUGGUGCUAUUGUCUCCAAAGCAGUUCAUUAAUAUAAGAAACUCUAGUCUUUUUUAUGGACAUGUUUCUUAUAUUAAUGUACUGCUUUGGAGACAAUAACACUAUGAGCAUUUGUCAAAUUAUUAAUUUGUUAGAGAAAAUAAAAAUGGUAGUACAUGCUUCAAGAAAAAGAUUAACUUAGCUACUUAUGAAGACAAUAACACUAUAUGUCAUUUCUCAUGCAUAGAAAUGAGAGGGAAAAAUAAAAUUGAGGUUAGGAAUUAGCGGGAAAAAAUAGAGGGAAAUUUUUUAUUAUUAUUUAUUUUCAGUUUUUAAUCAUUUUUAAGAGUGAAAUGACUUAACUAUCCUCACAUGUUGUGCAUAUGGUCUCACUUAACAGAAAUAUGGAUUGAAUAUAUGAAAAACUAACGGUAGGGGGCAAAUUGGCUAAAAAAAUUAGUUUGAGUCCUUAAUUUUCCAAUAGAAAAGUUCAGGGGAAAAUCGAAAGUGAGGUGAAAGUUCAGGGGUAAACCGACAGUUUAUCCUUAUUUAUUAAUUAAUUAUUUCAUUUUUCUUGAAGUUUGUAUAUUUAAUUAGAGAUUUCAUCAAUAACCAGCUAUAUAAUUUGUGCGGUUUUCAGCCUUGAUUAUUCCGUCAUUCGGUCUGGAUUUGUUGACUAUAAGUGCAAACAAGUGCCCUCAUGACCUGACAGACUUCCACCGCGUAACUGCUGCUUGCUUCAGAUCAUGUCCAAUAUUCGUGCAACGGUGCAAGUUUCGAGUCUUGAAGCGUAGGAUUGCAAGAAUCCCCCUGCAGUUACGGGUAAUCCCAAAACUGCCCCAUUUUUUGUCCAACAGGUUCAAAUUUAAGAAAAAUAAUGUUUACUGGUAUAUGAUUUUUGCAAGCUUCUGUUUUUCUUUUUGCUCGUCUUUUAAAUUGAUAUGGUGUGUUUCAUUAAUUAUUGUGUUUUAUGUCAUCUUAAAUGGCAAGUGAAUCAAGUGAUGUACACAAUUAUUCAAUGAGAUAAAUUUAUUAAUUGAUGUGACAUAUCACAUCAAAUUGUACGUAAAUAUGGUAUAAACAUAUGUGAUUUCCUAACAUUUUCGGAUUUUCCUAGUAAUAUUAUAUGGCGUGUUAUUGUGCUUUAUACAUACAAUAUCAAGUUUUUCUUUUUCUUUUUUAUUGGAACAUACAAUAUCAAGUUAUUAGAUUAUUUUAUGGUACUAUAUUAGGGACUGUAUACCUGGCGGUGGGACGGUUAUGAUGUAGGCAACCUUGAUCUGAAUCCGGCCCGUUGCCAUCCCUUGCUAUUCCCAAAUUGUUAUCUCUAGAUAUGCUUACUAGGAGUCCAUUAAUUGAAUAUUAUUUCAAUUUUACUAUAAAUUUGUAUAGGUAAAUGCUAGGGACAUUAAAUUAUUACUUUAAUCUAAAGUACGGUUUGAAAUUGGCACUAUUCAAAUGAACAGUGUUUCAAUUCGAAUUUCAGAUUAAUUACCACCAUGCCAUUGGUUUUUGUGUUGGUUUUGGGUCAGCAGCCCGUCCCUCAGCCAGGCCCAAAUGUGUUGGCUUUAGCAGGGAAGACCGGCCCUCAGUGAGGCCCAAAUUAUUUAAUUACAUUUUUGCCCAUCAAAGAUUACAAUCCGACGGUGGGGAUGGUGUAUUACGAAGGGCAAUUUUGUCCUCUCCGUUUUGGGCGAGUAGGGGGUCACCGGUUGGUAUCAUUUGAUGUCGUUCAAUUAGGGUUUCGGGGAGGUCUGUGAGAGAGAGAGAGAGAGAGAGAGAGACAGAGACAGAGACAGACAGAGACAGACAGAGAGAGAUGGCGAUGGAAGGAGAGCGAGGGGGAGGGGUAGGGGUCUCGGCACUGUUGUUGCAGAUGGGAGGGUCGGUAUGGUCAGAGAAGACCAUAUGGGUCGUCGGGAUUUUGGGGAGACGGGGUAGGGGUCAUCUGCAAACCCUACUGAGAGUGGGGUGUGCCGGAUCUUGUGCUGCAUGCCUCGAAUCCAAAGAUAUGUUUUGGGGGAUUUGUGAUCUUACAGAGAGAGAUGGAUAGGGAGAUAGAGAUAGACAGAGAGAGGAGAAAGCAUGGCUGUGUGCAUUUUUUGGGGUUAAUUAAUGGGUUAAUGCGCAGGGUCAGUGAGGAGAGAGUGACAGAGGGGUGUAUGGCAGGGUAUGGGUUUUCAGUUUUUCCCUCUGAUUCAAUAAGUUAUGCACUGUUUGAAAAUAAUUGUUUAUUGUUUUGUUUUCCGUUGGCUUUGUUAAAACCAUCAUUUGAAUUGUUUGGUUUCACUGUGCUCAUUUCUGGGCUUCUUCAAAAUUUUCUGGUGUUUGCUUCUCAUUCCCCUGUUGGUUGAUUUUUUUUUUCCCAUUUCUUGGUUCUUUAUGUAUUCCUUGGUUCUGUCUAAAUUUUUGCUGUGGGAUGAUGCUUGCAGGUGAACUAUAUGCACGGUUUUUUGAGACGAGUUAAGAAGAUCCACCUGAAAACAACAUACAAGAUAGAGAACUAGUAUGCUGCUUUGUCUUUCUGUUGGAUUUUGAUGUUUAUGUUCUGCUACUAAGAGGAUUUUAUAGUGUUCUAAAUCUGUUUUGUAAAUGUGCUUAAAUAUUGGACAUGUUCUUGAAUAUUAGCCAUGUUGUUUGAAUUGGAUAUGUGAUUGAAUAUUAGGUAUUUAUUUUGAAUUGAUUUGGAUAUGUGGUUUAUUGAAUUAGAAUUUGGAUAUGUGCUGAUUUGAAUUGGAUAUGUUGAAUUAGAGAUGUGCUACUUUGAAUUGGAUAGGUUGAAAAAUGACAAGCGAUGGUAAAAUAUGUUUGGAAUACACUAGAAAAAUUAGAUAGAGGCUUGAAAGGACUAGAUCGAGUACAUUUGAAAGAACUAUCAGUACAAGACAACUUUGUUUAGUGUUUUUGUAGUGGUGUUCUAAUUGCAGCUUCAUAGUUUUAGUCUAAUGUUUUUGUUGUACAGUUUUUAACAACCGAAUCUAAAAUCCCUCUGUACUUUAAAGUCUCUCCUCCAGACAUCACAUUAGAGAAUUAUAACUAUUCAACAUUCUUGGUGCAUCGGCAUAUUAAUGAUUGUAUCACAGAAUUUUGGCAAAGUUCCUUGAAUUAUUGAACAGUUAAUGCUUUCCAAAUGUUUUACUUUGAUUCAUUGUCUCACAUUUUCCAUGGUACAAGUUUACAUGAUUGCAAGCCGAUAGAAAGAGAUAUAUGUAGGGAGAAGCGGGAAUUGGGGAGAGAGAGAGAGUGAGCGAGGGGUGCGGUUGCUUUUUAAAGAUAUCUUUGAAAUUGUUUCUGCAGUUUUUUUUUUUUCUUUUGGGUGAAUUUUCUUGAGUUCUUUCUGUUUGUUUGGAAUUAUUCCAUUUUUACUGAGAUUCUUUUGGUCCCUGCCACUAAACUCUGAUUUCUGCUAUUAAUUGCUGUUGACAUGUGACUUUUGCUAUUAAUUUUGUAAAUUAAUUUAAUUAAGAUGCUCAAUGUUCCCUUAAUUGUGAUUAAGAUGGUCACAAUCCUACCAUCCUCUGUAUGCUCUGCCAUGUCCGCCGCCAAUGUUUUAUUUUUACUUUUUAACCCUUUCGUACAACAUUUAAAUAAUCAGGUGGAAAUAGUAAUUCUAUUUUUCGACAAACGAUAGUGUUAGUAGGUUAAAUUGUUAGUUGUUAUGAGAGAAGGAGAUCGUUCUAGAGAUCAAACUCUCAUAAAAAUAUAUGAUGAUUUCUGCAAAUGCGAUCAGCAGUUGCAUAUUACAAUAUACAGCUUCAGUUGGCAUCAGUUUCUUAAUGAGUGGCAUGUGAAUUCUUAAUUUAAUUUCGGAAAGAAAUGCGUUUAAAUUUGGUGGUAUGUGAUGAAGUUAGCAUUCUGUUUUUUAUUAUAUACUGGUGAUGGACAUUUUUAGCAUAUUGGAUUUAUCAUUUUCUAUAAAAUGAAGCUUCAUUCUCACUAUGUUGUUGAUGUUUUUUGUGAUUUCAGUUUAUAGUGCUUCUAAAUGCUGUUUUAAUUUAGGAAUUUGAAUAAUUGUUUAAAUGGGAUUGGAGGGUGAUAAAUAUUUCUAGCUAGGGAAAGGUCACAUCCAUGUGUUGGUCGAAUUGAUGGAUGUAAAAAAUGAAUAUGGAUGAACGUCUAGCUACUGCAUGUAGAUUCAGCUUUCCUUUGCAUUUGAGUGAGUUGGAAACCGAGUGGAACAGUUUGAGAGAGAGAGGGAGGGAGGGAGGGAGAGAGAGAGAGAGGACGAUGUUGGGAUUUUGGUAAAGAUUUGAGCUUUAGUUGUAAGCAUGCUGAUAUGAGCUCACAGUAAAACCCAACAGUAUGUAGAUUGAAUUGAGUUGGGAACUGAGUGGAAAAAUAUUAGAGAGGAUUGUGUUUUCUGAUGCGUCUUUGAGCCACUGACCAUAGGUGGAGUCUUAUACUGCAAUAUUAUGUGCUAAUCUAAUAAACCCUGCAACUUAUUCAUCUUUGUCAUGAGUAAUUUUUGGUUUUUUUCAUUGGAAUAGGGAUUUAGUGGAUGGUUGUUUUUAACGCAUAUUAGUUAAAAUGAGUUGAGUAUUGGGUGCUAAUCCCAUGUCUGCAAAUCACAGUACCCUAAGGAAGAAACACUGUCUGCACGAUCUAUAAUACCUGUUCAAGCAAGAAUCUUUUCCCAAACUAAAAAGCUUACAUAUCAAAACGUGUAAAGGAUGUGCCACUAUCAUCUUACUUUUUCAAUACCUAAACCAUGCAGUGAUGCAUGGGCUGGAUAUUGCUCCUUUCAAGUUUCAAAUCAUCAAAUGCUAAAGGUUUCUAGAUAAAUCAUCAUAGAAGUCGAUUCUGCAGAUUCCUUCUUAGUUACACUCAGAUGAUAAUGUAUUUAUAGUCCUUGACAUGUUUUUAAAGUUUGCAUUUUCAAUGUAUAUAUCAUUAACUAAGCUUUAUCAGCAGAAUAUCAUCGCAAAUUUGUUACGGAAAAUGCUAUUGCUAGAUUCUGAUUUAUCUACUUUAGUUUUAAGGAUUACACAUUGUUUUACGAUAUAAAAUAGAUGUUCUGCCUUGAUUUGAUGCGGGGGUAUGCAUUAGCUAACAUUAAUUCUGUUUAGUAUUUCUCAAAUUCAUUUUGGGUUAAAAAGUUGGAGCUUUGGAUUGGGUUUUUUCUUUAUUCAGCUAUCAUUUUCUGCUUAGGAGACUCUCUUAAACUGUCUGAAACUGUGCUCAUUAGGCUGGGCAGAGCACUGACAAGCUAAAAACAAAACAAAAACAAGCAGAAUUAUCACAUGUAGUGCAGGAUGUUGAAUGUCUUUUCCUCAUUGCAAAUCCUAAACGACCCAAAUCUGGAUGGUAAAAUACUUCGAGUUGGAAUUAAUAGGAUCGAUUGAAACAUGGAUUUUUUUUAUUAGAUUGGUAUAUCUGACUUAAUUAAGAAGUAGUUUAAGACAGUCAUUAGGGAAUUUCUGUAAUUGAACGUAGUUGUUUUCAUGAGGUUGAUAAAUACAAUAAGGUGCUUCUAUACCAAUAAGUGAUUUUAUACGGACACAUUGUAUGAUGUAAAAUGGUAAAAGGAGUACCCAUUCCUGUCCAGUCUUAUGUUUUCCGAGUCUUGCUUAUUUUUCAUUAGUCAUAUGAAAGAUGCUGCAAUACCGUGGGAUCAUAAUAGCUAAGAAACUGGACUUGGACAUCUUUAUUCUAUAGAGCGUUUGUAAAAGUAAUUUAGACUUUAUUAAGUUUAUAUUAAUCCUUCACUUCUGUUCAUUCAUUGUAAUUUCUAUUUGGUUUGUCUGCAUUUGUCUUAGGAGACUCUGUGGGGCUGCUUAAAUUUUAUAUAUUCAAUUGCAUAGAGUCGGCAUGACAUGCACAGAGAUUGUCAGAUUGCCACCCUUAGUUGGUGAUAUUAUCUUUACAACACAUUCAAAUUGAGGAUUUAGAAAAUCUAAUAAUAAAAUUGAAAUAUAUGUUCGAUGCUUUUUGUUUUCAUUUUCGGUUAAAAGGUUUCAGCUUUGGAUUGGUAUUUACCUUUAUUAAUCUAUAAUUUUGUGCUCAGGACACCAUCUUGGGGGUCUUAAUAUGAUUGUUCUUCUAUUUCAUAGACUCAAAACGUGUUUAGUGUCUCAUUUAAUUGGUGUACCUUUGCUCAUUUAACUCAAAUUUAAUACGAUUUGGUCCUCCAAUUUCUCUAAAUUGCUAACGGAUUUAUUUUCUUUGGAAAUUUCAGGAACUCUGGUUGUGGUAGGAACAAGCCGGCUCCUUGCUAUUUUUAGGUAUAUGAUUAUGUGCCUUGAUUGCAUGUUCAAAGUCUAAUUAGUUAUAUAAACUUUUAAUUUAUCUUUGCAAAGCUUUUGUACUUGGAUUUUAGAUAUGUGAUUGGUUUUUGAAAAAUUAAUGAGAAGGCUAAUCAUGGGGACAUUCUUAUUUCUGAAAUUUUCUCUUCAGCAUUGUUUCUUGAAUAAAUUUGGAUUGGUAGAUGUAGGGGUAGAGCAACACCCGUGGUGUAAAUAAAAGGUAUAGGCGUAAUGAUUUCUAGGUUUAGAAUUCAUUCAAAAAUAUGAUAUAAUGCUGCGUUCUCUAAUUUUUUUUUUUUGCUGUUUGCUGUUCUAAACUUUUGAACUCCUUUUUGGAUUGAUCUUUGUUAUUUUGUUUUUGGGGGUAUCUGAUAGGUCAAGGUUGCCUAAUCUUGGUUGUACUUUUUCCCAAGACAUGGCACAUUUGAAACUUUGAAUUCUUGAGUUUAUAUUUUAAUUCUCAUUAGUUAAUGCGUAAUAUUUGGCCUUUUAUUUUGAGAUUAGAAUGAAUACGUUUGGCCUGAAAGACAGUAAACUGAAUUAAAAGCUGGCUUAUUUUCCAUUGGCCAUCAAUUAGGGUGAGAAAACAUUGAAUUGAGAUCCUUAAACAGCGCUCAUAUAGGGUACUAUACCAAAUGAGCUCGAAGAGGACUCAGCAAUUGAAGAACAAUUGAUGGGCAUACACCUUGGACAUGAUUAAGUUAGUUGAACAUUAUACUAUAACAAGUACAUAUUUCUGCUAAAGGACCAUACCAAAUAAGGAGUCAGGUUCACACACAGACACGCACACACACAUCUGAUGUAAAGUUAUUCUAUUAGAUGGUUUCCAGAUUGACCCCCCCUUGCUAAAUCUAUUUCAAGGCUGGAAGGAGAGUUAAAACAUAUGUUAUUGUCUUAUAUGUUUGUAUUUGAAUGGUAACGAUGUUGUUCUUCUGGUGGAAAAAUUUUCCUUUGAAUCCAUUUCAGCUUAGGCUCUACUUUUUUAUUUCAUUUCAACGUCAUUUUCAUGUUCAUCAUGCCCUGUUGGUAUGUGUUUUGUGUUGGCAUUGGAGGGUGGUGGGUUGUCGUUUUGUUUUUCUUUUCUUUGAUUGUAAGACCUUCUAACGAUUGAAUUUAUUUUAUGCGACUCAUUUUGAUCCCCUAGUUUGAGUUUUUCAGUUACGUAUCAAUACUUAACUGCUGGAUUUUUCUUAAGGAAAUUGGAUAUAGGCUAUAUACUAUGUGCAAAAUUCAUGGAGAUCAAGUUUUUGUUGGGUUUUUGACUCAAAAUUAGGAUGAUGCAAUAAAUUAGGUUUGUGUUACCUAUUUGGUUUUGGUGUCCUAUUUGGGUUUGGUUUUGACUUCUUAGUUAGUUUCCUUGGUGGAGAGAUUUUGUUAAUUACCUAUUUGAUUAGGAUUUGGAUUUAUUUCCUAUUAGGAUUCAUAUUGUAACCUAAGUCCUAUGCACUAUAAAUAGGACCUUAGGGUUAGUGUAUUUAGUGUGGCUCAUUCGUGUGGCAAUUUGGUGAGAGUCAAGUUUCAGGCCCUAGGAAGUGGGAGGAAAGCUAAAGCUUUGUGGGGUUGUCUGGUCUCGGCAGUUUUUUGGAACAUUUGGCUGGAGCGUAACAAAAGAAUUUUUGAGGAUUAUACAGGUGUGGGGGUAGAAGUACUUUGGGGAAGAGUAAAAUAUUGGGCAGCCCUUUGGGCUUCAGUCUCAAAUGUUUUUAAUAAUUACUCUAUUUCUCAAUUACUGUGGGAUUUGUUAGCAGCAGUAAAGUGAGUUAGGUCUAGCUAAUGUUGCUGUAGCCAAAUCCUAGUGAGAGUUUUUUCUUGUUUCUUGUUAAUGGUGGAUUUCUUAUCCACUCCAGUGUAUUUCUCUUUUCUUCUAUAAAAUGUUUUGUUUCUUCUCAAAAAAAAAAUUUGUGAGUUUGUGAGUUAGAGAGCAAUUUGGGAGAAUCUUCUCCGUUAGUUUUGGGUUCUCUACUCGUUUGGUUUAGGGUUUGUAAUUUGUGGGAUUUGGGUUGUGAGAGUUUAAACACUCUUUUGUAAGCUCCAUUUGUUUAGUGAAAUUCCUCGCCGUGCUUUGCUCGUGGACGUAGACUUUACACCGAACCACGUAAAUCUCUUGUGUUAGUUUGAGAUUGUUUGUUUUAGCUUUCACCUACGACGUUGAUAUUGGUACUUUGUUAGAAUUCGCUUCCGUUUGUGCAUAAAAGUACAACAGUUUUGUGCUUUCAUUUGUCACAACGCAGUUUUUUGUUUUCAUAAAUGAAGUUUUGUGCUUUCAUUUUAUUUAUUUUAUUUUGUCUUUCAGUCAGUUUUUCGUUUGAAAGAACUCUUAAUUUUCAUGGAAAUAUAGUUAUUUGUGAAUAUGGAAACUUGAUACUGUGUAGACAUCAGAGUUCGUAUGUUUGUGAUAUGAAAUUUAAAUACAAGCUUCCCAAUUUGUUUUUGGAAUUUUAACUAAACUCGCGUUAUAGGUAGAUCAUGUAUUAAGAUAACAAAAAAGAUAGGUAGAUUUGUGUAUGCGAUGAGUUGUAGUGAACAUUUGGCAGUAAUAGAAAUGGUUUAGGUGUGCUCAGUUUUGGCCUAAAUGGUUAUCACACGAGCGUAAAUGUUUGUUUCAUUUGUGAUUGAACUUGAAUUCGUUGGAAAGCUUUUCAAUUUAUGAAUAUGGAAAGCUUUUCGUCUUUACUUUUAAACUUAUUUUCUGUUUGGUUGUUGAGAAGGUGAUGGAAAUAUAGUUAUCUGUUAAUAUGGAAACUUGAAUCUGUGUAGACUCCUUGGGUUGUCUGUUGGGUUCAGUGGAGGUUUAGUGUUUUAAUUUUGAAUGAUUUGUUUUUCGUUUCAUGGAAAUGACCUAUUAUUUGAUAUUAUUUGAUUUAACUGAGUAAUUUAAUGGAAGUAUAUUCUCUUUUUUUCUUUUCCAUAUUUCAUUUUGUCAGCAACCAAACGAGUUAAGGAACUGUAAUCUUUUUAAUUACUCUGCUAUCUCCGUGAGUUAUGAAUAUCAGACUUUUUGUUUUAUUUCUAUAUAUGUAGUUCCGAAGGAAUCAAGUGCCAAAAUUAGAAUAAAUAUCCUUUAGUCACGUUACACACUUUUCCAUAGAAUGUUUGGUUCAGGGAUCCCUUAUACAAGCACAAUAUUCUUAUGUAUUUAAAUCAUAGUUGACUGUCAUGGUUUAAUAAGUGUGAAAACUGUCUUAACUAUACCAUUGGAGCGUUACAGUUUUAGUUAUUUUAUUGGAUCCGUUUGUUAGCACUUUGAAUUCUUUUGAUUUCUUACUCUGAAUCUCACUCAUUUUUUGCAGUUUAGAUUGGACUCUCAUCAUAGCAUUGUAAUAUGAUCUUGCUGCUGCGAUUAAUCUGACAGUUCUGAGGCGUUGCAUUUGAAUCAAGACUUUGGUAUGUUAGCUGAACUUCAAUGCAUUCUUUUCCCAUUCUUUCUGUUUGAGGCAGCGCAACUUUAUGAUUUUUUUAUUGAUUGUUUGGGUUGAUCGUCUUAUGUUAUCCAUUUGCUUUGUGCUUUGUUUUUCAUUCUUGGUUGUCUCUGUGAUCGUCUCAUUGUCCAGAUGUUGGAUGGUUUUUUAUUUUAUUUUUUUAUUCUAAUUUUGUUUGAAGGUCCGUGCUAUCUCUGUGAUUCUGGUUUAACCCAGUGCUCUUAAUUCUUUAUCGGAUGUUGUUGGCCAUUUUAUCUCUUUUAUUAGUGGGAAAAGGCUUUGUUGUUGUUGUAUUCUGUUAUUGGUUGGUUGGUGUUUUCGUUUGGUUUUCUGAUAGUGAACUAUCUCAUCCUCCCCAAAGUGUUUUAACAUGUUUUGUUGAUAACUGCGCUCUCUAAACGACCUAGAUAUUUUUUUAGAAAAAUCACGACUUCCAUAUUUAAGAAAAUGAGUGGCUUUUUAGCAAAUGCAUGAAUGCAGCUAGAUGUUCAGAAAAAUUCACGGAUAUUUACAUUCAAACCACAAGUAUCAUUAACUUAUAAAUAAUUAAGUUAUGUAUUUUCUUUAUCGGCCAUCACUUCAAAAUUUGAAUUAAAACACUGUCAAAAUGCUUUUUGAUUGUGUUUUCUUUAUUCAUUAUGUAAGUUUGGCAAAUCUUCUACAUGCUGCAUAUUUUUUUGUUUGAACAUCUAUGGUUGACGAGUUACCUGCUCAAACACCACUUUUUCUGUGUUUUGCUAACUGCUAAGUGAGGCAUGUAGGUUGCAGAGCAUAUAUUUGGCCGUCUUAACUAUGUGUAAACUGCAGCUUCCUUCUGUUUCUUCAGUUUCAUAUGGAAACAGGCCUUCUGUUUUUUUGGCCUUUGAACAAUUGUGGUUCCAAAAUUAGCUACUUGAACAAGUCCUCAACACUUUCUGUUUUACAUUACCUGUUGAACUAGCUGCCUACACUGCAGGACACAUGUUAUUUGUGAACUAAAUGUUUCUUCUGUUUCUUAAGUAAACAGAAAUUUUUUGGAAACCAUCUCUUUCUAAUCAAACACGUACAAUUUCUUCCCACUCAUUGUGCAUUGUGUUUAUAUGCCAACUCACUUAAAUAUGUAUAAAAGCAAAAUUGCUUAUCUUACCGGCCUCAUUCACUCAUGUAUCCCUCUGUUUGUUUGUAAUUGUGUUGAAUUUAUUCAACUUAAAUGUGUUUUAUCCAUCUGAUUAUGUCUGAAACAGUGGUUCCCGCAGCAACGCGCGGGCGUAUUUUCUAGUUUUUAACUAAAUUUUGCAAACUAAAUGACAUGAUUGUUGAUGAGUGGAUUAUUAUUUUAGUGUUGAUAAACAUGCUUAUUUUCUAAGGAAAACUAAUGAAAAGGGCUUGAAAACUUUGCGUUUUAACAAUAAGGACAAAAUAAAGGGUAAAGUGAAUAGUAUCAUGAUUGACUUUUUAGUGUAAAAAUAUGGUUUUUCGUUAAAGUGAACAGUACCAGGAGCUUUUCAUUAACGUUCCCUAUUAUCUAGUGGUGACACAUCAUUUAGUUUAAAAUUUUAUUCUCCUUGGCAUUACCCAUUUGUAUAUGAUUGCGGAAUCAAUAAUUAGUUCUCACCAUUUGAAUUUGUGCAGUUGUGACAACAGAUCAAGCUUCCAAAUUUCCAAGGAACUAGUCUUUGACUGUUGAUCUUCCCUUCAUUGAGUCUGUAUUUGUUGAUCACAAGCGGAGUCAGAUUUGAACUUCCAUGUAAGUUCUUAUUAUUCAACUGAAUAAUACAUUAGUUGUUUCUCAUUUUAUUUGAACUACUUUUUAUUCAUUUGUUUCUUCACUUAAUUUGUGCAGCUCUGCACCUCAAUAUUGCUCAAGAGCGGUUCAGUCUUUCUUUGAUUGCUUGGAGUAAUCCUCGCUCUUAAUAUGGUACUGGGAGAGGUUUUUCUUGGGGCGUUUCUACAGGUGCUGCUAGACAGGUUGACCCCUCGCGAGGUUCUCAACUACUUUGGAAACUUCCGGGGCCUUAGAAAGAAGCUGGAGAAGUGGAGGGCCACGUUAUCUACAAUCGCAGCGGUGUUGAGCGACGCUGAGGAAAGACAAGUGACUGACCAUCCUGUAAAACUGUUGCUUGAUGAUCUCAGAGACCUCGCUUAUGAUGUCGAAGACAUGUUGGACGAAUUUUCCACUCAAAUGUUGAAGCGCACAAUAGAGGGACGUGAUCAAGCUAGCACGAGCAACAAGGUGCGGAACUCAUUUUUCAAAAUUAAAUUCAAUUGGGAUAUGAGCUCCGAAAUGAAGAAGAUUACGGAGCGGUUGCAAGACAUAUCUGAACGGAAAGAUAAGUUUGGCUUGAAAGAUACUGGGACGUCUGCUAAGGAAUCGCGACGUCUACCUAGUUCAGACGUGUUAGAUGAAAAGCUUGUUGUUGGAAGAGAUGGUGACAAAGGGAAGAUUAUUGAAUUGUUGUCAAGAAAAUACGAGCAUGCAGGUGCUGUCAAUUUUGAUGUAGUUGCUAUAGUUGGCAUGGCCGGAGUUGGGAAGACGACACUUGCUCAACUUGUAUUCAACAACAAAGAUGAUGCCAUGAAGGAGUUUGAGCUCAAGGUCUGGGUAUCUGUGUCCGAUGACUUCGAUGUGGUGCGAGUGACAAAGGCAAUUCUUGAAUCAAUCACAUCCCGACCCGUUAAAGUGCAGGAGUUUAGUAAAAUGCAGCAUAAUUUGAGUGAGCAAUUAAGAGGAAAAAAGUUUUUAAUCGUUUUAGAUGAUAUUUGGAACAAAGGCGACUAUGAUCUAUACGAUCUCUGGACAAGACUUCAAUCCCCUUUUGGCGUCGGAGCAGGAGGAAGUAAGAUAAUUGUGACAACCCGUGACAGGAAUGUUGCAAAGACUACGGGAGCCGCUGGAGUUCAUAAUUUGGAGUGUAUGGCAGAUGGUGAUUGUUUGGAAAUAUUUGAGCGACAUGCGUUCGGGGAAAUUAAUAAUGGAAAGCCGGUAAAUUAUGAUUUAAUUGGGACAAAAAUUGUUGAAACAUGUCAUGGAUUACCAUUAGCUGCGAGGACUCUCGGUGGUCUUCUACGUUGCAAAGAAAAAGAUGAGUGGGGAGAAAUAUUGAACAACAAGUUAUGGAAUCCAGCAGAUAAGAGUGGCAUUCUCCCCGUACUAAAGUUGAGCUAUCACUAUCUUCCAUCACAUUUGAAGAGGUGUUUUGCCUAUUGCUCCAUUCUUCCAAAUGACUAUGAAUUUGGGGAGAAACAGCUCGUCCUUUUGUGGAUGGCAGAGGGUUUGAUUCAACAAAAACCUGACGACAAUAAACAAAUGGAGGAUUUGGGCCGCGACUACUUUCGAGAGCUAUUAGCAAGGUCGCUGCUUCAAGGAUCAAGCAAAAACAAUUCACGAUAUGUAAUGCAUGACCUCGUUAAUGAUUUAGCACAAUGGGCAGCAGGAGAAAUAUGUUUUAGGUUGGAAGAUAAGCAAGGUGAUAACUUGCAAAGCACUUGCUUUCAAAGGGCUCGCUAUUCGUCUUUCAUUGCUGGUGAUUUUGAUGGAGUUAUGAGAUUUGAGGCCUUUCCAAAACUUGAACGCUUGCGAACAUUCCUGCCACUUUCGCUUUCAGAUUCCAGGUGGUGGUGGAAAUAUUUGUCUCGUAAGGUUAUUUUCGAGUUAUUACCACAGAUGAAAUACUUACGAGUGCUCUCUUUCAAUGGCUAUAAAAUAACUGAGCUGCCAAAGUCAAUCGGUGAUCUGAGGUUGUUACAGUAUCUUGACCUUUCCUACACAGAUAUAACCUGUUUGCCUAAAUCAACAAGCACUCUUUACAACUUGCAAACAUUGAUAUUGGAGGGUUGUUCUAAAUUGAAGUCAUUGCCCACAAACAUGAGUAAUCUAAUUAAUUUGCGCCAUCUCAACAACUCAGGUGCAUCUUCAUUGGUAGGAAUGCCUUCACAACUAGGUCGAUUGACGAAUCUACAAUCAUUGCCUCUUUUUGUGGUGAGCAAAGGUAGUGAUCAACCAGGGGUAAGAGAGAUAGGGCCCCUAUUGCAUCUCCGAGGGACACUGUGCCUCUCAAGAUUGGAGAAUGUGACUGAUGUCGAGGAUGCCAGGAGGGCCAACUUGAUAUGCAAGGAGAGGCUUGAUUCGUUGGUCCUAAAAUGGUCUCAUUCAAGCGACACGAGAAAAACAGAAACCGUUGUGCUUGACAUGUUACAGCCUCAUACAAAGCUCAAGGAGUUCACUCUCAAGAGUUAUGCCGGAAAGGAAUUUUCAUCAUGGGUUGGAGGUUCUUUCUUCUCUAAUAUGGUGCUUGUGCGCUUAGAGGAAUGUAACAAUUGUUUAUCGUUGCCACCUCUCGGACAAUUGCCUCGUCUCAAAGAGCUUUAUAUUAGAGAAAUGAAUGCAGUCGAAAGUGUUGGUGCUGAGUUUUAUGGUGAGUGUGUCUUGCCCUUUCCGCUGUUAGAGAUUCUGGAGUUUGUGGAUAUGCGGCAUUGGAAGGUGUGGCUUCCUUUCCAACUGGAUCAAGGAAGUAGUGUUUUCCCUUGCCUGAAAAGGCUUUCAAUCAAAGGAUGUUCUAAGUUGGAAGGCAAGCUGCCAGAGAAGCUCGAUUUGUUAGCCGAACUUGAAAUUGUUAAAUGUGAGGAAUUGGUGGUUUCGAUUGCCAAUUGCAAACAACUUCGUCAAAUAAACAUUGACAGUUGUAAAGUGUUGGUACAUACAGAUGCUAAGGUUGAGUUUGAGUUGUUAGAGUCCUUGUGCCUUUCAAACAUUUCGGAGGUGAUGUCUCUGCAAACAGGGGAAUUGUUCAGGAAGGGAUUAAGCAAGGCUAGAGAUUUGAAGAUUAAUGGAUGUGAGAAGCUGACGUCGUCAUUGAAGAAUGAGGGUAGAUUAUUGCAGCAGUUGACUUGUCUUGGCCGUUUGGAAAUUGAAGACAACUCUCCUCUAGUUGAAGAAUUGGGAGAAGAAGCAGAGGAGUUGCUGCAAUUGCAAAUAUUGGAGUUAAAAAAGUGCGAAAAUCUUUUGAAGCUACCAAAAGGAUUAAAUGAGCUGUCGUCUCUUCAAGAGCUUCGCAUACACAAAUGUUCACGUCUAGUUUCUUUUCCAGAAGUUGGUCUGCCACCGUCUCUUAAAAACAUCGAGAUUAGAGAGUGCCAUUCGUUGAUAUAUUUUGCAAAAUUCCAGAUUCCCCAAUUUCUCAGAAGAAUAGAGAUAAGUAAUUGCAGAAGUUUGAAAUCACUAGUAGAACCGAACGGGUUAUUCAGCGACAACACCAAUCACUGCCUUGAAUAUAUUAGGAUCUGGAAUUGCCAAAAUCUGGAAUCCUUACCGGAUGGCUUAUGCCACCUUAGCAAUCUUCAAACUCUAAUUAUUGGGAACUGUGGAAGUCUUGUUUCCAUCCCGAGACUGAGUGCGGAGAGAAGACCCUCCAACCUGAGAGAUAUCAUGAUCAACGAAUGCGAGAAAUUGGAGGCGUUUCCCGAAGACAUGCACAAUCUCAACUCUCUUGAGGGAUUGAAGAUCGACUACCGUAAAGGUUUGACUUUUCCUCCCAACCUAACAUCACUUGAAAUUUGGAAGGUCAAGAGCUGUAAGUCAUUGUGGGAGUUGGAGUGGGGGUUGCACAGACUCACCUCUCUUAGAAAGUUGGGGAUCAGUGGAAAAAACACACGUACGGUGUCGUUUCCACCUGACAUAGUCCGGAUGGAGCCGCUCCUCCCCAAAUCUCUCACUGAACUCAGAAUAGAAGGCUUCCCGAAUCUGAAGAGACUGAGCAGCAAGGGCUUUCAAUUCCUCAACUCCCUUCAAUCUCUGCAACUCUCUAGAUGUCCAAAGCUAGCAUUCAUUCCAGAGGAGGGUCUGCCUCCUUCACUUGGUCAGCUUAUCAUCUAUAAGUGUCCUGUGCUAAAAGUGAGAUGCCAACCAGGAAAAGGACUCUACUGGCACAAAAUAUCCAACAUCCCUAAAAUAGAGAUACAUGAAGCUAAUGGUCCAGGUAUCAUCUCUCGAGGAAUGUUUUAAUAUUAAUAUUAUUAUUAUUAUUAUUAUUAUUAAUCAUGUUUAUUCUUGUAAAGUAAUCCACAAUAUUUGGUUUGGGUCAAGGUUUUGGGGGUUGAGGAGUGGCUGCUUUAGGAGGCCUUCAAUUGGCGACAACCUGGAUACUUCUCGGCCAACGUUUCUUCUCCCGGAUUCCUAUGUUUGCUGAUAGCACUACCCUUUCAAAUUUUAUUAGGUCGAGCUUUUUUCAAUUUUCAAAUUUAAACAUUUUUUUGGGUCAACAGUCCAAUAAUUCGAACUUGUUUUAUCUUUCAUUAAGAUAAUUCUACCAAAAACCUGACCUCAUUUUGUAUCAAGCUUGAGCUUUUAUGAAAUCAUUUGAGUCAAACUUGAGCACAUAUUUACGAGCUUUAUUUGGGACUGACCGAAUUUGAAUCUUGAGCAAUGUUUGUUAAACCAAGGUCAUUUAAUUACGAUCUGAGUUAUUAAUAAGUUGUGUUGUUUUGUGUUGGGUUAGUGGGUCUUGCAAGACAUUGCUUGAUGUUUAAAUUUGACAAACAAUAUUUUAUCAAGUUCUUGAUUCUACAAGUAUCCAACUCGUUAAAAGGUUCUUAAUGAGCAGCUUGAUAACGAAUCGACUUGUUAACAUAUUAACUCGAAACCUGCUAUUUUUAUGUUGUUUUAUAUCGAAUUAACGGGUCGUGUAAAAAAUUAUCAAACCUAACCGGAUCAUGCCAAACUAUUGAUGGUCAAUGACUUAUUUGAAAGUGAUUUUAAAGUGACUGAAAUUGAUUUCAGAUUCCAAAAACACUUUUUAAGUGCUUUUUGGAAUAAUCUUGGGCGUCUCCACCCAUUGCCAAUUGGUUUCGGGUUGGAUGCUCAAUUUGUAAUUAGAAUAACAGGUAUUGUUGUUUUUUUUUAUUAUCUUUCAUUGUUUGAGUGGGGGAUAUAAUCUUUAUACAAAUUGCUUCCUCAUGGUUUUUAUGACUGGUUUCUGUAUCUACUUUUAAUGCUUAGUACAUUAAGGGCAUCGGGUACUUCCUAAGUUCUCAUGGUCAAGUGUUUGUAUGGUUCUGUAUGUAUGUUUGUGAUCUUCAUCCCGACUUUGAAUGCGUAAACUAGAUGGAUGAAGAGGUUUUGUUGUUAUUGCCUUGCCCAACACAAGGAUUUCUUUAAGGGCUAAAUAGAUUUCUUUUAACUGGGUUCUUAUGUCUUCGACGAAGGUUAGAGUUCUUUAUCCUUUUUGGUAUUUCAGUCAAUUGGUGUAUCUUUCGACAUCUGUGCUAAGUGCUUCGUGAAAAUUGAUAUAUGUUGUCUAAAUGGUUGUGUUUCAGUUGCCUUUUCUGAGCUUCUUCCUUCCUGUCUGAUAUCUAUUUUCUAUCCUUCGUCAUAGGAUAUUAGCUCCAUGGUGUGCUGGUUGCUUUAUGUUUGUAUAUUCUCGUGUUUUUUCAUUACAGUGUUGAACUCAGUGAAAUGCUAGUAUGAAUUGGAGUGGUUCCCAUUGUCUUUGAGUGAUUCCUAUCACAACAAUCAGGGAGGAAAUCCCUCUCUUUUUUUCACUCUAGGACUAUCCAAAAGAUGCAGCACUGAAGAAGAGUUAGGACUUUAACUCAGUGUCGCAAAAACCUACUACCAAGAGAAAGUUUGUAAGCACUUAUGUUCCGACUCAGAUCCUUACCAAAGUUUUUUUGAAAGUUGAAAUGAUAUAGCACUAGGCCCAAGGUUGAGAGCAGGUUAGAAUUGUUAGAUUGGUGUUUGGCAUGUAAAGACUAGUGGUAUGAUAUUGGGGUACGUUUUUAGGUAUAUGGGGCCAGUACCUGUAAGCUUGAAGACAACCUAAAUAUGCCCGGGAUGUAACAGAGUGCUUGCCUAUACUUCUGUUUUUGUAGUUAAGAGAACGUAAUUGCUUAGCAAUCAUUAAAUUUGUAUACUUAUUACUUGGGUGCCCUCUGCCUUGCUAUGCUGCAUAACAAUGAGAAUAUAUUACGGAAUUCUAACAGGAAAAAGGCAGGGGACUCCCAAAAUUUGGUGAAUGGGACGUCAAUGAUCCUGCUUCGGCUGAGGGGUUUACUGUGAUCUUUAACAAGGCUAGGGAUGAGAAGAAGACAGGUGGAAAACCCGAGUCACCAGGAAAGGUUGAUCCUAAUAUCAGGCAUGGAGGAGGAGUGGAUCCUGGCACUAGCAGGCCUUCGUCUGUAAGAUUUUUUCUCAUAACUGUUGUCGUUUCUUUCUCUAAUGAUUUGAUAUAUACAUGGGUCAGCCAAUAGAAAUACAUUCUUUGCGGUUUUCUUAGUUGCAAGUUAUUGCUUUUCAAGUGACGUUGGUAGUACAAAAUACAACUAUAUGUAACACUGACUUAUCGAUCAAACUCAGCAUACCAUUUGAUGUGAAAAUCAAUGCAACUGACUUAUAUAGAACUCUAGUAAGGAAAUGUGGCAAAAGACAUAUCUAAUGUUAGGGCCAAGAUAUUUGAAAAAUAAAAGAGCACAAGAUGAUUCGGCUGUUUUAUCUGGAUUAUUCCAUGCAAGUGGAAUUGGCAUACAUUAACUCGGGUUCUGUCUCCUUUUAGACAGAUGUAGCCUAAUAGGAAUAUUUGUUUGUUUUAUUGUGAAUAAUUGAAAGAACCAAUGGCCCUGGAAAUAUUUGCUUUUGUCAAUUGAUCAUUGUGUGACCUUUUCGUUUUUUCUAUGCGUUUUCUGUACCUGCUGCGUUUCCAAUAGUAGACUAAUAGAAUGAAUAACUGGAGGUGAUUAUUUCUGCUGCCAAAAUCUAAUAUGCUUAAAUUCCUCACUCUUUGCGGAUGAUUUGAUUUGGUUUGAUUUCCUGAUGCACAGAAAAAAUGGUUUUGCUGCAUUCAUCAACCACCGGCAGAGUUUUGACAAUGUUGUUCUCCUAAGUGCUUCGAUGGAGGAGCACGAUGUUCUGUAACUGGCUCCACUAUAUUUCCUCACUUAAUCUAUGUCUAUGAAAUUGGCAGCUAGGGAAGUGAAGUUUGAAGCAAUGGUUAGCAGUUUGCCUAAGGAAAUCGUACAUGAUAUCCUUUUGAGACUACCUCCUAAAGCUUUGAUCAGAUGCACCUCGGUGUCCAAGCCUUGGAACUCCAUGAUAAAAAGUCCAAGCUUUAUUCGCACCCACCUCAGCCUUACCAUCGAUUUUAACCAGUUUGGCACCCACCAACUCCUUCUGCAUUGUGUUCGUGGAGACAAUCCAGUGGAGCAGAAUUACUAUUUGCAUUAUGAUAACCAUGCUUUUGAUGAGUACUGCAAGCUAGAGUAUCCAAGUGUUCCCAAGCGCAAUAGAUUUCUUCGUGUGGUCGGAAUGCGAGGAUCCGAAUGCUUUUUAUGAGGCUUAUUCACUUGCUAGAGGCUUGUGGAGUAGUCCUCGUUCUUUUGAUCCCGUUUGUAAAGUUUUAUUCUUGCAAAUUUCAGGCUUUUGUGAACGGGGCAGUUCAUUGGCUGGCAUGGCGCUGCUUGAACGAUGGUCGUUAUCAAAAUUUCAUUUUAGCAAUUGAUGUGGACGGUGAGUUAUUUUGCGAGAUAAGGGUGCUAAAGAGUUUCAGACAGGAUGAACCAUUAGAUUAUCACUUGUCUGUUUCAGGUGAUGGAAACUCCAUUGCUAUGUUCACGACGACGCGUGGUCGUAAUUGUCCUGAGGAUUUUCUUGACAUAUGGGUGAUGAAAGAGUAUGGCAUCGAGGAUUCAUGGGCCAAACUGAUAACUCUCCACCGUAUCCGGAAACAAGGGUGCCCUACAAGCCCUUAUGUUUUAGGAACAGUGGUGAAGUGGUGUCCUGACUUUAUCACUUGUUCUAGAAAAAAACGUCGCAUGUACUGGGAUUUUCUCCGGGAUGCCUUGUGAUAUUCUGACAUUGCUGGAUUCUUGUUAGAGAUGAACAUUUUUCCUUCUGUUUGUCUGUUAAUUUACAGACCUAGAAGAAGUUGCUUAUCACAUGUUGCCAAUGUUCAUGGAUAUAUACAGUUAUAUUAAUUUCCUUGAAAUUUCUUGUGACAUUUUUUUAGCUCUAAUAAGAUUUAUCUCUCGUCACAAGACUUUUACAAUAACUUGUGCUCCUAUGGUCUACCAAAAUAAUAAUAUUGCAGUAGAGACUAGUAGUCUAUUAUUAAUUGUGUGUUCAACUUAAAGCAGCGAGAAAAAUGUGUACCUUUUUCUUUUCUUUUUUUUCAAAGAAUUUUUUAUCUUUUUCCUCUGGGAGGAGGAUUGUCUGCCCUCCUAGUUUCAGUGCCCUUCCAUGCCAUCUUGAUUGUGUGGUCAUGGUUAAGCCACGUUAAUAUUUUAUAUUACUAUUUAUUUUUGUCUUAUUAUAUCUAUAAAAAAACAAUAUAAAAUAAUGAUGUGGCUUAACCGUGACCACACAAAACAGGAGGGCAUGGAAGAGCAUUGAAACUAGGAGGGCAGACAAUCCUCCUCCCUUCCUCUGACCCUUGCAUGCAGGUUUGGCAGUAAAGUAAGAGUUUCCACGCAAUUAAAAUAAUGGCAAACUAGUCUUUCGGUUUUGCACGAAGAUAGGAUAAUUUAUACUAAAUUAUUUUUUUGUCUUUUAUUAAAGAAUCAUUUAAAAAAAAAAGUUUUUAAGUGUUUGGGAUCUUUUAAAUACCAAUUUCAAUACAGCUAUUAGUUCAAGUAACAUAAUUUUUAGUUUAGGUACCAAUGAAAAAAUCAACUAAAAUAAUUCUAUAAAUACUAUUAUAAUUCAAAAUAAUUAUAUGAUUGCCGUGUUUUCCGACCAGCCAACUGUAUUCGCAACCACCUCACCCUUACAAUCAAUCUUAAUAACCAGGUUUCGACUAACCUCCUUGUACUGCAUUGUAAACGCAUACAUGAGCCAAGGGAGGAGCAUUACUAUUUUUGCAUUAUGAUAAAUAACCAUGAUUUUGAUGGGUAAUGUAGACUAGAAUUUCCAAUCAUUCCGAAGGGAGAAUGGUUCAAUAUGACCUAUAGACUACAAGAACUCAAAUUCCUUAUUUGUUAUCUUCUGUAAACCAUUCAUCAGAGCUCUUGACAGGCAGUGACCAUAUUUGAGGAAUGACUAGACGCAUGUUGGGGCGCCAUCAUGACUUCAUGGGUGAACAAUAGAAUUUCGUGUGUAAGUUUCUCUCCACAUACAUCGUGUUAACUUUGUUUUUCUAGUUUCCUAGCAUGUUCCAGUUCGUGCAUUUUCAGUUUUUGGAUAGUGGAAAGGUCAAGUUGGUAGCAAAUUGACACGGCGAAGACGUAAGUCUAAAAUUCAUUGUCACUAAUUCAAUUUACCAAGCUUAAUUGGCCUCUCUUAACCUACAAAAUUGUCAUAAUAAACUAGUAAUUUCACUUCAUGAAAAUCUUGCUCAAUGUUGUUUGACUUGUUUCCCUUCCUAAACAUCGAGAUGUUCGUUAAUUAUAUGCUAAUAAGUUCAUCUUCAAAUGGAUCAUAAAUUAAUAUAGCUAUGUGACUAAUUAAGUAGUAUAACUCCAAAAUGGUAAAGCAUAAUCCAUGAUAAUUUUGGUAAAUCUGGUGUCGGCAGGAUCAUGUUCAUCUUCUUCGUGUUGUGUGGCUCAGGUUGUUUAAGAGUUUUUUACUAUUUUAAAUUGAUUCUCUAUAUUAUCUACAAUGGCCUACAAAAAACUGAACCAAACACCCCCACAAAGGAAAGGGGUCCUUUUCAGAUCCUUUCGACCUAAUUAUCUUCAUCAAAUAAUCCGUGUUCUUAAAAUUUGAUUCAACAACUAAAAACACGGAUCUAUUUUAAAAAUUAUAAUAACUUUAGUUGUUGAAUCAGAUUUCAAGAACCUUAAUAAAGAAGAUUAGGUAAAAGGAAUCAAGAAAUGAUCCCUUUCGAUCACAAAAUAAUAUAAUCGGUGUUGAAAGGAAUGUAGCUCAGUUGUUUACCAGCAGUCACUCAUAACGUUUGGUUCCCCCCCAAAAUCGGUGUUGAAAUGAUCCCUUUCUCUCACACUCUUUUUUUUUUACUUCUCACAUACCUCUUGUUAACUUCUGUCAUUUGAUCUACUUCCAUUUAUCCGAUCCAACGGUCAAAAAUUAAAAGGGUGUGUGAGAGGUAAAAAUUGGUGUAUAGAUAUCACACCCUUUUACUAAAUCCUAAAUUGUACAACUCCUUCAAAUAUAUCAAGGACGAAUAUGGUAUCUUCUACAAACCAUCCAGUAGAGCUCUCAGCAUGCAAUGACCAUAUUUAGGGAAUGGACUAGACACAUGUUGGGGCAUUAUCAUGACAUCAUGGGUUAACAAUACAAUUUGUGUUUAGUCUCUCUUCACAUACAUUACGUUAACUUAGUUUUUCUACUUUCUUAGCAUGUUCGGGUUCGUGCAUUUUCACCUUUUGGGUAGUGGAAAGGUCAAGUUGUUGGGAGACUUAUUAGUAAAAAGCAAAUUCACACGGCAAGACAUAAAUCUAAAAUUACUUGUCACUAAUUCAAUUCCACUGAAUUUAAUUCUUCUCUCUUAAUCUUCAAAAUUAACAUAAUAAGCUAGUAAAUUUCACUUCAUGAAAAUCUUGCUCAAUGUUGUUUGACUUGUUUCCUUUCUUUAACAGCUAGAUGUCCAUUAAUUAUAUGCUAAUAAAACUUGCUCUUCAUCUUCAAUUGAUCUAAUAUAGCUUUGUGACUAAUUAAGUAGUAUAACUACAAGAUGGUAAACAAUAAUCCAUGGUAACUUUUUGCAGGAUUAUUUUCUACUUCUUUGUGUUGUGUGGCUCAGGCUGUUUGAGAGUCUCAACAUUAUCUACCAUGGCCUAUAAAAUUGAACCAAUCACCAUCUCAAAAUAAAAUAAUCGGUAUUGCAAGGAAAUGCAACUCGGUUGUUUACGAGCAAUCACUCUUCCACCCUGAGUUGCGUGUUUGGUUCCUCAUCUCCCAAAAUCGUUCGUAUAAAGGAAAAGAAAAGUAUAACCGUGUGGGACAUAGGAGAUAAGAAAGCAAUUAAAAAGAUAAAACAGCAUGAUCAUGACCCCACAAAAAAAUAAAGAGAAAGUAAAAAGAGGAAGACUUGCUGUGGUCUUUCAACACCUAAUCCUCAUUGCAAAUUGAAGAGCUCUAAAGUGGUCUGGAUCUGUUGAUUUUCAUAAUCUAUGGAAAACAAGUCCCUUCAUCUUCAUCAUCAUCUGAAAACUUGAACGCAGUAAGUUCCUCUUGCAACUAUAUAUGCGGAAUCCAUUAUUUAUAAAUUAAUUAUUUCAUUUUUCUUCAAGAUUGUAUGCUUAAUUAAUUAUUUCAUCGAUAACCAGCUAUAUAAUUUGUUCAGUUUUCAGCCUUAAUUAUUCCAUCAUUCAGUUUGGAUUUAUUGAUCAUCAGUGCAAACAAGCGCCCUCAUGACCUGACAGACUUCCAUGAAACUGCUUCUUGCUACAGAUCUUGUCCAAUAUCCGUGCAGAUUUCGAGUCUUGAAACGUAGGAUUGCAAGGUAAUCCCAAAACUGCCCCAUUUUAUUUGUUCAACAUGUUAAAAUUUAAGAAAAAUGAUGCAUUGCUUACUAGCAUGAUUUUUUCAAUCUUGAGUUUUUAUGGUGUGUUUUAUUGUGCCUUAUCAUUGAGUAAUAUUAUGGUGUACGUGUUUUUCUUUUGACAAACGAUAACGUUAGUAGGUUAAAUUGUUAGUCCCGUACUGGAACACCAACCAGGUUACCCAAAAAAUGAUUCACACACCCAUCUUUAUUCUAUAACUUAAUUCCAUGCUUGUCCCUCGAUACUCGUGAGCGAAAGGGAGGGUCCAAGCGGAUAUGAAAAUGAUCUAUUACUCCAAAGUCUACUUCAUAUGGCCAAUUAUUAGGUGUGUGAUCCUCAUCAUCAACUAUACUUUUUAUAAGGAAUAUCAUUCAUAACCCAGCUAUAAGCAUGCCGAUAUCGUUGAAAGCAUUAAAACAAUGAAAAAUAUGAAGUCUUACCCAGUGGCAGAUCGAAGAUUUUAAUAUCGGUGGUCCUAAUAUAAAGGCCCUAAAAAAUAUUAAGCGAAAAAUAAUAUUGAAAAUUAAAUGCUAGACUACAAUUUUUCAUUCAUAAUUUUUGUACAAACAACAUUACAAGCUACAAAGUACAAAGACUUAUUUGUCAACGAUGAGGUAUGCGUAAUAUCGUUCCAUACUUCUAAUUUCUACACAUAUCAAUUACUCAAAACAAAAAAAAAACAUAUUAAUUGAUGAAGCUAAAAGAAAAAAAAUACCUAUAACUAUUAUGAAUUUAACAUUCUACAACAACAACAACAACAACAACAAAGCCUUUUCCCACUAAGUGGGGUCGGCUAUAUGAAUCCUAGAACGCCAUUGCGCUCGGUUUUGUGUCAUGUCCUCCGUUAGAUCCAAGUACUCUAAGUCUUUUCUUAGAGUCUCUUCCAAAGUUGUCCUAGGUCUUCCUCUACCCCUUCGGCCCUGAACCUCUGUCCCGUAGUCACAUCUUCGAACCGGAGCGUCAGUCGGCCUUCUUUGCACAUGUUCAAAAUCACCGGAGCCGAUUUUCUCUCAUCUUUCCUACAAUUUCGGCUACUCCUACUUUACCUCGGAUAUCCUCAUUCCCAAUCUUAUCCUUUCUCGUGUGCCCACACAUCCCACGAAGCAUCCUCAUCUCCGCUACACCCAUUUUGUGUACGUGUUGAUGCUUCACCACCCAACAUUCUAUGCCAUACAACAUCGCUAGCCUUAUUGCCGUCCUAUAAAAUUUUCCCUUGAGCUUCAGUGGCCUACGACGGUCACACAACACGCCGGAUGCACUCUUUCCAUCCAGCUCGUAUUCUAUGGUUGAGAUCUCCAUCUAAUUCUCCGUUCUCUUGCAAGAUAGAUCCUAGGUAGCGAAAAACGAUCGCUUUUUGUGAUCUUCGCUAGAUUGCUCCGGUCAUUAGUGUGGAUAAGUAUAUAAAUGGAUAGAGAUAGGAAAGCAAACACAAGAUGUACGUGGUUCACCCAGAUUGGCUACGUCCACGGAAUAGAAGAGUUCUCAUUAAUUGUGAAGGGUUUACACAAGUACAUAGGUUCAAGCUCUCAUUUAGUGAGUACAAGUGAAUGAUUUAGUACAAAUGACAUUAGGAAAUAUUGUGGGAGAAUGAUCUCGUAAUCACGAAACUUCUAAGUAUCGGAGUGUGGUGUCGUCUUGACUUGCCUUAUCUAUCUCAUAGGUAGAUGUGGCAUCUUCUCUGGAAGUACUCUUCCUCCAUCCAGGGGUGGUAUCUUUAACUGGUGGAGAUGCACAAGGUAAUGUAUCAAUUUCACUUGAAGCUUACUUGUAGUUUCAGGCUUGGUCAAGCGCGAUACAAACCAUGUAGUAGGAGUCCCCCAAGUCGCCGAGCUAGGGGGUCUGCUGAAAGAGGUGACAGACAAGGUAAGCAAUCAGAGCUCCGACUGAUUGUUCACCUUCUCCCCAUCUUGCAGCAGCAUGAAGGAUAAAGAGAAGAAAAAUGAGAAGAGAUGAUAUGAGAUACUUUUGCUUUUGAAGAAGUAACUUUCCACAGGCUUAUUCUUGAACUGAGCUGGAGGGUUUUCUGGUUUCCUCCAGAGUAUAAGGCCGACUGAAGAAUUUGAGGGUCAAAACAAGUCCAUCAAAUCUAGAGUACGUUCCACCCUGCUGAUAUGGGAUACUUUUGCUUUUGACAGAGUAAUGAAUGUAUCGACCCGUGUGCUGUUACGCUUGUCUCCACAUGCUUCCUUGUAUCCUUCGCACUUGCCCUAUCUGUUCCUCAAGCAGAUGCGGAAUCUUCCCUGGAAACAUAAGAUGUUGAAGAUGAGUACUCGAGAGCAAUGCCAGGUAAGUAAUCAGGUAAGGGGUUCCAGGCAGUCAGUUCCUGGCUGGAAGCUUGAUUCCAAGUGCUGACUGAUUGCUCUCUUUCUCCUUGUCUUGCAGGUAAAAAACAAGGCCAAAAGAAAAGACAGGGAAAAAGCAUGAUAUGGGAUACUCUUGCUUUUAACCCUGAUGAUAUGAGAUAUUCUUGCUCUAGUAUAGCUUGUUUGCAGAGGUAUUAUCGGGGGGAAAGAAAGCUGAAAUAUUUCGAAAGGCUUCGUUGGGAGUGCCCUCUCAAAUAUGAUGAAGGGUUGAGCAUUUUUGCAGGUCUGCCUGUCCGUUGGGGAUGGAGGUCGACAUAUAUAGGAGUCUCCCUAACAACAAGUAGUAAUGCUAUUCCUUUACCCUGCUUGGUCAUAGCACGGUAGUGGGAGCUGCCAGUUUCACAUGUUUUAACUCUGUCAGAGCACUUUGAAAAAGUGGUCUGUGGUAUCUGGCUCUCGAGAUUUGGAGAACGAUGCCUCUUCGAUUUUUGAGAAAGCAAUCAUGCUGGGGGUAUGACUCUCGAGAUUCGGAGAGCAGUGUCUCUUCGAUUUUUGAGGAAGUAAUCAUGUUGGGAGUCUGGCUCUCGAGAUUCGGAGGGCGGUGCCUCUUCGAUUUUGGAGCAAACAAUCUUGUUGGGAGUGUUGUCUCGAAUGUGAGUAAAGGUUGGGCAUGUUUGCUAGUCUACCUUGCCACGAAGCACAAAGGUUGACACACAGGGACUUUCCAAUUAUCCAGCAAUGGUACUGUUCCUUUACCUCUCUCUUCGAUUUUGAGAAAGUAGUCAUGUUGGGAGUCUGGCUCUCGAGAUUCGGAGGAUGGUGCCUCUUCGAUUUUGGAGCAAGCAAUCUUAUUGGGAGUGUUUUUCUCGAAUGUGAGUAAAGGUUGGGCAUGUUUGCUAGUCUACCUUGCCACGAAGCACAGAGGUUGACACACAGGGACUUUCCAAUUAUCCAGCAGUGGUACUGUUCCUUUACAGUUGUGGGUAAUAAUAUGGUAGCUAGACCUUCAAAAUUUAUGUGUCUAAACUUUUGUUAGUGCUGUUUCUUUGCUAUUCUUUUACCUUUCUUGGUCAGAGCGAUGUAGUGGGAGCUGCAAGCUUCACGUGCUCAACUUUGGCAGAGAACUUUGGCAAAGUUAUUUGUGGUACCCAUGAGCUAUUGUUGCGUGUGGGAAGUGGGUGUGAUUGAACAGUAAGAUUCAUGUGCUUUCUACUUCACCAGAAGUCUUCGACAGAAUGCCCAUAAUUUCUGCAAAGCUGAGUGUGCGUGUGACAGGUGCUGACAAGGCUAGAAAAGUAGGUGCCUCUUCGAUUUCUGAGAUCGGCCCUCGUGGUCUCUGAGCAGCCCAGCUUUUGAGAAAGCGAGCGCCUCUUCGAUUGAUUCGGAGAACGAUGCCUCAUCGAUUUUUGAGAAAGCAAUCAUGCUGGGGGUCUGGCUCUCGAGAUUCGGGGAGCAGUGUCUCUUCGAUUUUUGAGAAAGUAAUCAUGUUGGGAGUCUGGCUCUCGAGAUUCGGAGGGCGGUGCCUCUUCGAUUUUGGAGCAAGCAAUCUUGUUGGGAGUGUUUUCUCGAAUGUGAGUAAAGGUUGGGCAUGUUUGCUAGUCUACCUUGCCACGAAGCACAGAGGUUGACACACAGGGAGUUUCCAAUUAUCCAGCAAUGGUACUGUUCCUUUACCCUCUCUUCGAUUUUUAAGAAAGUAGUCAUGUUGGGAGUCUGGCUCUCGAGAUUCGGAGGACGGUGCCUCUUCGAUUUUGGAGCAAGCAAUCUUAUUGGGAGUGUUUUCUCGAAUGUGAGUAAAGGUUGGGCAUGUUUGCUAGUCUACCUUGCCACGAAGCACAGAGGUUGACACACAGGGACUUUCCAAUUAUCCAGCAGUGGUACUGUUCCUUUACCCUUGUGGGUAAUAAUAUGGUAGUUAGACCUUCAAAAUUUAUGGGUCUAAACUUUGUUAGUGCUGUUUCUUUGCUAUUCUUUUACCCUUCUUGGUCAGAGCGAUGUAGUGGGAGCUGCAAGCUUCACGUGCUCAACUUUGGCAGAGAACUUUGGCAAAGUUAUCUGUGGUACCCAUGAGCUAUUGUUGCGUGUGGGAAGUGGGUGAUUGAACAGUAAGAUUCAUGUGUUUUCUACUUCCCCAGAAGUCUUUGACAGAAUGCCCAUAAUUUCCGCAAAACUGAGUGUGCGUGUGACAGGUGCUGACAAGGCUGGAAAAGGCUGGAAAAAGUAGGUGCCUCUUCGAUUUCUGAUAUCGGCCCUCGUGGUCUCUGGGGAGCCCAGCUUUUGAGAAAGCGAGCGCCUCUUCGAUUUUUGAGAUCGGCCUUCGUGGUCUUUGAGCAGCCCAACUUUUGAGAAAGCAAACGCCUCUUCGAUUUCUGAGAUCAACCCUCGUGAUCUCUAAGCAGCCCAGCUUUUGAGAAAGCAAACGCCUCUUCGAUUUCUGAGCAGGCGCCUCUUCGAUUUCUGAAGCUUCGUCGAGUGCAGAUUUUUAUAGGGGCUGGCAUUAAGUUCCAAAGCACACUUGAAUCUCCACCAGUAGAAGCUUCAUUCUUGCACUUCUAAGAUCUUGAUUUGUCCGACCUCUUCUCUCUUCAACACCUUUGAAAAUGUCUGGCCCCUCCGACCGUCGUUUUGACUUGAACCUUGUUGAAGAGGCAGCCCCGCCUUCUCCAGACAACAUAUGGCGCCCAUCCUUCGUCUCCCCUACUGGUCCUCUUACCGUUGGGGAUUCCGUGAUGAAGAAUGAUAUGACCGCUGCGGUGGUGGCCAGGAACCUUCUCACUCCCAAAGAUAACAGACUACUUUCCAAACGGUCUGAUGAGUUAGCUGUUAAGGAUUCGCUGGCUCUCAGUGUUCAGUGUGCAGGUUCUGUGUCUAAUAUGGCCCAACGCCUAUUUGCUCGAACCCGCCAAGUUGAAUCAUUGGCGGCUGAAGUGAUGAGUCUCAAACAGGAGAUUAGAGGGCUCAAGCAUGAGAAUAAACAGUUGCACCGGCUCGCACAUGACUAUGCUACAAACAUGAAGAGGAAGCUUGACCAGAUGAAGGAAACUGAUGGUCAGGUUUUACUUGAUCAUCAGAGAUUUGUGGGUUUGUUCCAAAGGCAUUUAUUGCCUUCGUCUUCUGGGGCUGUACCGCGUAAUGAAGCUCCAAAUGAUCAACCUCUGAUGCCUCCUCCUUCUAGGGUUCUGUCCAGUACUGAGGCUCCAAAUGAUCCCCCUCCGGUGCCUUCUCUUUCUGGGGCUCUACCGACUGCUGAGACUUCUCCUAAGCAACCUUUGUGAAGGCUCCCUCUUGUGUGCUUAUUUUGACUCAUGUAUAUGUACAUAUUUGUAGCUUAUCGGGGAUAUCAAUAAAUAAGCUUUCCUUGUACAUAUUUGUAGCUUAUCGGGGAUAUCAAAAAAUCAUAAUAGUUAAAACAAUACCUAUAAUUAUUAUGAAUUUAACAUUCUACAUGAUUAAUUUAGACUAAAAUAAAAAUCUCAGUUAAAUUUAGAAACGAGGGGAUUAAGUGGUGGUGAAGAAAGGACAGCAGAAUGGUAGGUUAUGUCGGUGGUGUGGACCGUGUGAUCAAUCUGAUCGUGGUUUGUGGAGACUGGAGAGGAGACUGGUAUUGUGCUGAUGGUCUUCGGUUGGGACAAGGAUUGUCUGCCCUUCCACUUCCGGUGUCCUUCCGUGUCCUCCUGUUUUGUGUGGUCACAGUUAAGCCAAGUUAACAUUUUAUAUUGUUUUUUUAUAGAGAUAAUAAGACAAAAAUGAAUAGUAAUAUAAAAUGUUGACGUGACUUAACCGUGACCAUACAAAUAAGAGGGCACGAGAGGGCAUUGGAAGUGGGAGGGUAGACAAUCCUUGUCCCUUCGGUUGAGUGGGGUGGGGUUUUCAAGCUACGCAUCAAAACACACCGUUUUACUUAAAUGACUUGACUCCUUUAAAAAGAAAAAAAAGAAAAAAAAGAAAAAAAAAAAACUUCUUCUCUCCAUCUCGGUUGCAGAAUACCAGAAGACCCACCAGAAGUCAGAACACGGUGCGGCCCCACUCUUCUUCUCCUCCACCACACUUGGUGGUCCACGGAGGUCCUUGCAGCCACUUGUUCGGGCUUCCGGAUGGUCCCAAGACCACCCAAGUCUCUUAGUAGAUGGUAUUACCUCAUGUGAAGCUUCCGAAACAACUUUGAUAUAUUUUUCUCAAAUUAUUAUGAUUGGUUGAAAUUUUUUUUUUAAUUUCCAGCCACGUUAAUUAAGGAUGAAUCAUUUUAUCUCUUAUUUAAGAAUAUUUGUUAAAAACAAAUGUAAAAAUAUUUGUUCCUUGAUCCUAACUUAUUUUGUAUAUAUUAGGAAAAAGAACAUUUCCAUAAAACGUAACAGGACUGCAUACCUGACGGGACGGUUAUGGUGUAGGCAAUCCCUAGCCAUUCCCAAAUUGUCACCUCUAGAUAUGCUUUGCUAGGAGUCCAUUAAUUGAUUACUUCACUGUUACUAUAAAUUUGUAUGUGAUUGCGCAGGCAUCAAUAAUUACUUCUCAUCAUUUUAAUUUGUGCAGUUGUGACUAUUUCUGAGCCUCAACAGAUCAAGCUUCCAAAUUUCCAAGGAACUAGUCUUUGGCUGUUACUCUUCCCUUCGUUGAGUUCUGCACCUCAAUAUUGCUCAAGAACGUUUCACUAUUUCUUUGAUUUCUUGGAGUGCCCUUCACUCUUAACAUGGCACUGGGAGAGGGUUUUCUUGCGGCGUUUCUAAAGGUGCUGCUCAACAGGUUGACCUCCCGCGAGAUUCUCAACUACAUUGGAAACUUCCGGGGCGUCAGAAAGAAGCUGGACAAGUGGAGGGCCGUGUUAACUGCAAUAGGAGCGGUGCUCAGCGAUGCCGAGGAAAAACAACUCACUGAGGAUGCUGUGAAACUGUGGCUCGAUGAUCUCAGAGACUUGGCUUAUGAUGUCGAAGACAUGUUGGACAAAUUUGACACCCAAAUGUUGAAGCGCAUGAUAGAGGGACGUGAUCAAGCCCGCACAAGCAACAAGGUGCGGACCUCACUUUUCAAAAUUAAAUUCAAUAGGGAUAUGAACUCCGAAAUGAAGAAGAUUACGGAGCGGUUGCAAGACAUAUCUGAACGGAAAGAGAAGUUUGGCUUGAAAGAUACUGGGACGUCUGCUAAGGAAUCGCGAAGUCUACCAAGUUCAGAUGUGUUAGAUGAAAAGCUAGUUGUUGGAAGGGAUGGUGACAAAGGGGAGAUUAUUGAAUUGUUGUCAAGAAAAUACGAGCAUGAAGGUGCUGUCAAUUUUGGUGUAGUUGCUAUAGUUGGCAUGCCCGGAGUUGGGAAGAUGACACUUGCUCAACUUGUAUUCAACCACAAAGAUGAUGCCAUGAAGGAGUUUGAGCCUAAGGUGUGGGUAUCUGUGUCUGAUGACUUCAAUGUGGUGCGAGUGACAAAGGCAAUUCUUGAAUCCAUCACAUCCCGACCCGUUCAAAUGGAGGAGUUUAGUAAAAUUCAGCAUGAUUUGUGUGAGCAAUUAAGAGGAAAAAAGUUUUUAAUCGUGUUAGAUGAUAUCUGGAACAAAGGCGACUAUGAUCUACACGAUCUCUGGACAAGACUUAAAUCCCCUUUUGGCGUCGGAGCAGGAGGAAGUAAGAUUAUUGUGACAACCCGUGAUGUGCAUGUUGCAAGGACUAUGGGAGCCACGGGAGUUCAUAAUUUGGAAUGUAUGGCAGAUGAUGAUUGUUUGGAAAUAUUUGAGCGACAUGCAUUUGGGGAAGUUAAUAGUGUAAAACCAGUAAAUUAUGAGUUGAUUCGGACAAAAAUUGUUGAAAAAUGUUGUGGCUUACCAUUAGCUGCGAGGACUCUCGGUGGUCUCUUACUUUGCAAAGAAAAAGAUGAGUGGGGAGAAAUAUUGGACAACAAACUAUGGAAUCUUGCAGAUAACAGUAGCCUUCUCCCCGUACUAAAGUUGAGCUAUCACUAUCUUCCAUCACAUUUGAAGAGGUGUUUUGCCUACUGCUCAAUACUUCCAAAUGACUACGAAUUUUGGGAGAAGCGGCUCGUCCUUUUGUGGAUGGCAGAGGGUUUGAUUCAACAAAAACCUGAUGACAAUAAACAAAUGGAGGAUUUGGGCCGCGACUACUUUCGAGAGCUAUUAGCAAGGUCGCUGUUUCAAGAAUCAAGCAAAACCAAUUCAAGAUAUGUAAUGCAUGACCUCGUUAAUGAUUUAGCACAUUGGGCAGCAGGAGAAAUAUGUUUUAGGUUGGAAGAUAAGCAAGGUGAUAACUUGCAAAGCACUUGCUUUCAAAGGGCUCGCCAUUCGUCUUUCAUUGCUGGUGAAUUUGAUGGAGUUACGAGAUUUGAGGACUUCCCAAAAGCUGAACGCUUGCGAACAUUCCUGCCACUUUCACUUUCAGAUUCUGGUGGAUGGUACAAAUGUUUGUCUCGUAAGGUUACUUUUGAGCUAUUACCACAGUUGCAAUACUUACGAGUGCUCUCGUUCAAUUGCUACACAAUAACUGAGCUGCCAAAGUCAAUCGGUGAUUUGAGGUUGUUACAGUAUCUUGACCUUUCCUACACAGAUAUAACCUGUUUGCCUAAGUCAACAAGCACUCUUUACCACUUGCAAACAUUGAUAUUGGAAGGUUGUUCUAAAUUGAAGUCAUUGCCCACAAACAUGAGUAAUCUAAUUAAUUUGCGCCAUCUCAACAACUCAGGUGCAUAUUCGUUGGAAGGAAUGCCUUGGCAACUAGGUCGAUUGACGAAUCUACAAUCAUUGCCUCUUUUUGUGGUGAGCAAAGGUAGUGAUCAAUCAGGGAUAAGAGAGAUAGGGCCCCUAUUGCAUCUUCGAGGGACACUGUGCCUCUCAAGAUUGGAGAAUGUGACUGAUGUCAAGGAUGCCAGGAGGGCCAACUUGAAAUGCAAGGAGAGGCUUGAUUCGUUGGUCCUAAAAUGGUCUCAUUCAAGCGACACGAGAGAAACGGAAUCCGUUGUGCUUGACAUGUUAGAGCCUCAUACAAAGCUCAAGGAGCUCACCAUCAAGAGUUAUGCCGUAGAGGAAUUUUCAUCAUGGGUUGGAGGUCAUUUGUUCUCUAAUAUGGUGCUUGUGCGGUUAGAGGAAUGUAACAAUUGUUUAUCGGUGCCACCUCUCGGACAAUUGCCUCAUCUCAAAGAACUUUAUAUUAGAGGAAUGAAUGCAGUGGAAAGUGUUGGUGCUGAGUUUUAUGGCGAGUGUAUCUUGCCUUUUCCGCUGUUAGAGAUUCUUGAGUUUGUGGAUAUGUAGCAUUGGAAGGUGUGGCUUCCUUUCCAACUGGAUCACGAAAGUGCUUUUUUCCCUUGCCUGAAAAGGCUUUCAAUCAAACGAUGUUCAAAGUUGGAAGGUGAGCUGCCAGAGAAGCUCGAUUUGUUAGCCGAACUUGAAAUUGUUAAAUGUGAGGAAUUGGUGGUUUCGAUUGCCAACUACAAACAACUUCGUCAAAUAAAAAUUGACGGUUGUAAAGUGUUGGUACAUACAGAUGCUAAGGUUGAGUUUGAGUUAUUAGAGUCCUUGUGGCUUUCAAACAUUUCGGAGGUGACGUCUCUGCAAACAGGGGAAUUGUUCAGGAAGGGAUUAAGCAAGGUUAGAGAUUUGAAGAUCCAUGGAUGUGAGAAGCUGACGUCUUUAUGGAAGAAUGAGGAUGCUAAGGUUGAGUUUGAGUUAUUAGAGUCCUUGUGGCUUUCAAACAUUUCGGAGGUGACGUCUCUGCUAACAGGGGAAUUGUUCAGGAAGGGAUUAAGCAAGGUUAGAGAUUUGAAGAUCCAUGGAUGUGAGAAGUUGACGUCUUUAUGGAAGAAUGAGGCUAGAUUAUUGCAGCGGUUGACUUGUCUUGGCCGUUUGGAAAUUGAAGACAACUCUUGUCUAGUUGAAGAAUUGGGAAAAGAAGCAGAGGAGUUGAUGCAAUUGCAAAUAUUGGAGUGCAAGCUUGAAUUUCUGGAGUUAAACAAGUGCGAAAAUCUUUGGACGCUACCAAAAGGAUUAAAUCAGCUGUCGUCUCUUAAAGAGCUUCGCAUUCACGAAUGUUCACGUCUAGUUUCUUUCCCAGAUGUUGGUCUGCCACCUUCUCUUAAAGACAUUGAGAUUAUAUCGUGCGCUUCGUUGAUAUAUUUUGCAAAAUUCCAGAUUCCCCAAAAUCUAAGAAGAAUAGAUAUAAGAGAUUGCAAAAGUUUGAAAUCACUAGUAGAUGAGGAGGAAUGUGAACGACUGGGUUUAAUAGCACCGAACGGGUUCUUCAGCGACAACACCAAUCACUGCCUUGAAUAUAUUCUGAUCUCGAAUUGCCAAAAUCUGAAAUCCUUACCGGAUGGCUUAUGCCACCUCAGCAAUCUUCAAAAGCUAUAUAUUGAACUAUGUGGAAGUCUUGUUUCCAUCCCGAGACUGAGUGGGGGGAGAAGACCCUCCAACCUGAGAACGAUCUGGAUCAUCGGAUGCGACAAAUUGGAGGCGUUGCCCGAAAACAUGCACAAUCUCAACUCUCUUGAGGAUUUGAGCAUCGACUACCGUGAAGGUUUGACUUUUCCUCCCAACCUAACAUCACUUGAUCUUUGGAAGGUCAAGAGUUGUAAGUCAUUGUGGGAGUUGGAGUGGGGGUUGCACAGACUCACCUCUCUUAGAUACUUGUAUAUCGACAGUGAAGACCCGGAUACGGUGUCGUUUCCACCCGACAUGGUACGGAUGGAGACGCUCUUCCCCAAAUCUCUCACUAACCUCGCAAUAGGUGGCUUCCCGAAUCUAAAGAAACUGAGCAGCAAGGGCUUUCAAUUCCUCACCUCCCUUCAAUCUCUGAAACUCUUCCGUUGUCCAAAGCUAGCAUCUAUUCCAAAGGAGGGUCUGCCUCCUUCGCUAGAGGAACUUUGGAUCGAAGGGUGUCCAGUGCUAAAAGAGAGAUGUCAACCAGGAAAAGGACGCUACUGGCACAAAAUAUCCCACAUCCCUUACAUAAGGAUAGAUUAUAAGAAGAUAUGAAGCUGAUGGUCCAGGUAUCAUCUCUCGAGGAAUGUUUUAAUAUUAAUAUUAUUAUUAUUAAUAUCUCACAUCCCUUUCAUAAGCAUAGAUUGGGAGUUGAUAUGAAGCUGAUGGUCCAGGUAUCAUCUCUCAAGGAAUGUUUUAAUAUUAAUAUUAUUAUUAUUAUUAAUCAUCUUUAUUCUUGUAAAGUAAAGUAAUCCACAUAUUUUGGUUUGGGUCAAGGCUUUGGGGGUUGAGGAGUGGCUACUUUGGGAGGCCUUUCAAUUGGCGUCAACGGGGAUAUUUCUCCGCCAACGUUUCUUCUCCCAGAUUCCUAUAUUUGCUUCUUUCUUUCUUUUUUUUAUUGGUAAACGAUUGCUAUGUUUGCUUGGUCCCUUUUCAUUGAUUUGUAUUAUAACUUUAUAAAUGUGCUACUCUUUCUCCCAGCAAGAUUUUAAUCAGGCCACUUUAAUCUAAUCUUUUAUUUUAUUUUAGCAAAUUUUGACUUAUGAGCUAGUAAUGCAUUUUAUUUAAUGCAUCGAGAAUAAGCAAUCAACAAAGAAAUGGAAAUGUAAAGAGCUCGUUGCUCAAGUGGGUACAAGAGUGAUUUUACCCUUGGCCGUUUGUUAUGCACUUGCUAGAGGCUUGUGGAACGAUGACCACUAAAUGACUUCCUUUACUAUAACUUGUCUUCCUGAAAGUAGAAAAUACGUGCCAACGAAUUUUGGUCAAUCAAAUCCUUAUACCAAGCCUUCAUCACUUGUUCAAAAAAUGCAUUAUUCAUCUAAUUGAUAUGUGAUAAAUUGGUGAUGAUUAUGCAUUUUAACCGAGUUCUAAGGAAAAUUGAAGAUAGUAAUACAUCAGUACUAAAACUACAAAAUAUUACUGAAUUUGUAUACUUAUUACUUGGGUGCCCUCUGCCUUGCUGUGCUGAAUAACAAUGAGAAUAUAUUACUGAAUUCUAGCAGGAAAAAGGCAGGCCACUCUCAAAAUUUGGUGAAUGGGACGUCAAUGAUCCUGCUUCAGCUGAGGGGUUUACUGUGAUCUUUAACAAGGCUAGGGAUGAGAAGAAGACAGGUGGAAAACCGGAGUCACCAGGAAAGGUUGAUCCUAAUAUCAGGCAUGGAGGAGUGGAUACUGGCACUGGCACUGGCAGGCCUUCGUCUGUAAGAUUUUUUCUCAUAACUCUGUCUCAUUUCUUUGUCUAAUGAUUUGAUAAUAUACACAUGAGACAGCCAAUAGCAAUACAUUCUUUACGGUUUUCUUAGUUGCAAGUUAUUGCUUUUCAAGUGACGUCAGUAGUACAACACAGCAUACCAUUUGAUGUGAAAAUCAAUGCAACUGACUUAUAUAGAACUCUAGUAAGGAAAUGUGGCAAAAGACAGAUCUAAUGUUAGGGCCAAGAUAUUUGAAAAAUAAAAGAACACAAGAUGAUUCGGCUGUUUUAUCUGCAUUAUUCCAUGGGAGUGGAAUUGGCAUACGUUAACUUCACUCAGGUUCCAUCUCCUUUUAGACAGAUGUAGCCUAAUAGGAACAUUUGUUUGUUUUAUUGUGAACAAUUGAAAGAACUAUUGGCCCUUGAAAUAUUUGCUCUUGUCAAUUGAUCAUUGUGUGGCCUUUUCGUUUUCUGUGUCUGCUGCAUUUCCAAUUAGUAGAAUAAUAGAACGAAUAACUGGACGGUAAUUAUUUCUGCUGCCAAAAUCUAAUAUGCUUAAAUUCCUCACUCUUUGUGGAUGAUUUGAUUUGGUUUGAUUUCCUGGUGCACAGAAAAAAUGGUUUUGCAGCAUUCAUCAACCACCAGCAGUUUUGUUGACAAUGUUGUUCUCCUAAGUGCUCCGAUGGAGGAGCACGGUGUUCUGUAACUGGCUCCACUAUAUUUCCUCUCUCACUGUAUGUCUAUGAAAUUGGCAGCCGGGUAAGUGAAGUUUGAAGCAAUGGUUAGCAGUUUGCCUAAGGAAAUCGUACAUGAUAUCCUUUUGAGACUACCUCCUAAAGCUUUGAUGAGAUGCACCUCGGUGUCCAAGCCUUGGAACUCCAUGAUAAAAAGUCCCAGCUUUAUUCGCACCAAGGUAUAAAAUAUCAAUGAUAUCGGAAAUGUCGGUAGUCCAAAAACACGGAAAUUUCGAUGGAAAUAUCGGGAUAUUAUCGAUAUCGAUAAAAAUUGAAUAAAAACCAUGGAAAUUGUUAGAAAAACUUGGAAAUUUUUAUUGAAACUUUGCUGGAUGUUUAUUUAGUCAAUUAUCUAUUAGUUUAUUACAAAAAAUUGGAAGGAAAUGCAUUGCAUGAUAGAUAUAACUGAUUUAAAUUGAUUAUAUAGCGAGCUGGCAAACAUGGUGAGUGUAGAAAAUAUGUAGUAAUUAAUGAAAGAAGUUUAAACACACCAUAAUCAUUUAUAUAUAAUGAAUUAGUACAAUAUUUUACACUUUAUACAUUUCAUGGUAAGAUACAUGAGUGACUUAGCAAGGUCUAAAAUAUCGAUGAUAUCGGAAAUAUCGGUAGUCCAAAAAAAUAUCACUAGUCCAAAAACGCGGAAAUUUCGAUGGAAAUAUCGGGAUAUUAUGGAUAUUUUAGACCAUGAUUCGCACCCACCUCAGCCGUACCAUCGAUUUUAAGCAGUUUGGCACCCACCGACUCCUUCUGCAUUGUGUUAGUGGAGACAAUCCAGUGGAGCAGAAUUACUAUUUGCAUUAUGAUAACCAUGCUUUUGAUGAGUACUGCAAGCUAGAGUAUCCAAGUGUUCCCAAGCGCAAGAGAUUUCUUCGUGUGGUCGGAAUGCGAGGAUCCGAAUACUUUUUAUGGGCUUAUUCACUUGCUAGAGGCUUGUGGAGUAGUCCUUGUUCUUUUGAUCCCGUUUGUAAAGUUUUUUAUUCUUGCAAAUUUCAGGCUUUUGUGAACUGGGCAGUUCAUUGGCUGGCAUGGCGCUGCUUGAACGAUGGUCGUUAUCAAAAUUUCAUUUUAGCAAUUGAUGUGGACGGUGAGUUAUUUUGCGAGAUAAGGGUGCUAAAGAGUUUCAGACAGGAUGAACCAUUAGAUUAUCACUUGUCUGUUUCAGGUGAUGGAAACUCCGUUGCUAUGUUCACGACAACGCGUGGUCGUAAUUGUCCUGAGGAUUUUCUUGACAUAUGGGUGAUGAAAGAGUAUGGCAUCGAGGAUUCAUGGGCCAAACUGAUAACUCUAAGUCCACCGGAUCCGGAAAGAAGGGUGCCCUACAAGCCCUUAUGUUUUAGGAACAAUGGUGAAGUAGUGUCCUGACUUUAUCACUUGUUCUAGUAAAAAACGUCGCAUGUACUGGGAUUUUCUCAGGGAUGCCUUGUGAUAUUCUGACAUGGGUAAAUUGUAGCAAUGGUCCCUCAUUUUUUAAUCAAAUUGGAGCAAUGAUUCGUCAACUAAAAUUUCAUUACCAUUGGUCCCUCAAUUUAUGAAAAUGUGUAGCUAUAGUCAUAUUCAUCAAUUUUGUCUAAAUAAGUUAUGUUGGAAUAAUCAUUUAUAUAAUUAGGGUCCCUCAAUUCAUCAAAGUGUGUAAUUAAGGUUCUUUUCGUCAACUACGUCAAAAUUUUUGUCAAAACGAGUUAUGUUGGACGGAUCAUUGCUACAAUUAGGUUAAAGUUAAGGGACUAUUUCUCCAGUUGAAUUAAAGUUGAGGGAUCAAUGGUAAUAGAUUUUUAGUUAAGAGACCAUAGCUGCACAUUUUGAUGAGUUGAGGGACCAAUAAUAAUGAAUUUUUAGUUGAGUGACCAUUGCUCCAAUUGAGUUAAAGUUAAGAGACCAUAGCUACAAUUUACUCUUCUAACAUUGCUGGAUGUUAGCUAGAGAUGAACAUUUUUCCUUUAGUUUGUCUGUUAAUUUAGAGACCUAGAAGAAGUUGCUUAUCACAACAUGUUGCCAAUGUUCAUGGAUAUAUACAGUUAAAUUAAUUUCUUUGAAAUUGCUUGUGAUAUUUUCGUGCCAAAUAGGAAGAGAAGAAAAUUGCAUAUCUUAUUUUUUUAGCUCUAAUAAGAUUUAUCUAGUCACGAGACUUUUACAAUAACUUUUGCUCCUAUGGUCAACCAAAAUAAUAAUAUUACAGUAGAGACUAGUAGUCCAUUAGUAAUUGUGUGUUCAACUGAAAGCAGCGAGAAAAAUACGUACCUUUUUCUCUUCUCUGUUUUCAAAGAAUUUUUUAUCUUCUUCCUCUGCAACCCUUGCAUGCAGGUUUGGCAGUAAAGUAAGUUUCCGCGCAAUUAAAAUAAUGGCAAACUAAUCUUUCGGUUUCGUACGAAGAUAGGAUAAUUUAUACUAAAUUAUUUUUUUGUCUUUUAUUAAAGAAUACAUUUAUAAAAAAAUAAAAAAAGAAGUUUUAAGUGUUUGGGAUCUUUUAAAUACCAAUUUCAAUACAGCUAUUAGUUUAAGUAACAUAAUUUUUAGUUUAGGUGCCAAUGAAAAAAUCAACUAAAAUAAUUCUAUAAAAACUAUUAUAAUUCAAAAUAAUUAUACGAUUGCCGCGUUUUCCGACCUGCCAACUGUAUUCGCAACCACCUCACCCUUACAAUCAAUCUUAAUAACCACGUUUCGACUGACCUCCUUGUACUGCAUUGUAUUCGCAUACACGAGCCAAGGGAGGAGCAUUAGUAUUUGCAUUAUGAUAAAUAACCAUGAUUUUGAUGAGUACUGUAGACUAGAAUUUCCAAUCAUUCCCAAGGGAGAAUGGUUUAAUACGACCUAUAGACUACAAGAACUCAAAUUCCUUUUUUGUUAUCUUCUGUAAACCAUCCAUUAGAGCUCUCGGCAGGCAGUGACCAUUUUUGAGGAAUGACUAGACACAUGUUGGGGCAUCAUCAUGACAUCAUAGGUGAACAAUACGAUUUCGCGUUUAAGUUUCUCUCUAUAUACAUCGUGUUAACUUUGUUUUUCUACUUUCCUAGCACGUUCCGGUUCGUGUAUUUUCAGUUUUUGUAUAGUGGAAAGGUCAAGUUGGUAGUAGAUUGACAUAGCGAAAAAAUUACUUGUCACUAAUUCAGUUUACCAAGCUUAAUUGGUCUCUCUUAACUUACAAAAUUGUCAUAAUAAGCUAGUAGUUUCACUUCAUGGAAAUCUUGCUCAAUGUUGUUUGACUUGUUUCCCUUCUUAAACAUCGAUCGAGAUGUUCGUUAAUUAAAUGCUAAUAAUACUUGCUCUUCACCUUCAAAUGGAUCAUAAGUUAAUAUAGCUCUGUGAUUAAUUAAGUAGUAUGACUCCAAAAUGGUAAAAGCAUAAUCCAUGAUAAUUUUGGUAAAUCUGAUCUCGGCAAGAUCAUGUUCUUCUCUUCUUGUUGUGUGGCUCACGUUGUUUCAGAGUCUUUUACUGUUUAAAAUUAAUUACUAUUCCACCCGAAGUUUCACGUUUGGGUCCUCUUCUUAUAGCGGAAACGAAAAAGUAUAACCGUGUAGGAUAUUUGCGAUAAGAAAGCAAUCAAAAAGAAAACAAUAUGACCCCACGAAAAAUAAAGAGAGAACAAAAACAAGGAAUCUUUCUUUCUUUACGGGCAGAAAGAUGAAGACAUGUUAGUCUUUUAACACGUAUCGCAAUGGCAAAUUGAAGUAGUUAUCGUCGAAAGAGGAAGACUUGUUAUAGUCUUUCAAGUCGACACCUAAUUAUCCUAGCAAAUUGAUCUGUAAAGUAGUCUACAAAAACUCAAAUUCCAUUUAAACUACCUGUUUUAUUAAAGGAAUAUACUAUCCGCAUAUCUAUUUUUACUUAUCAGACACUCUUUUUUACUUCUCACAUCCCCUUUGUUAACUUUUGUCCUUUGAUCUACUUCAAUUCAUCCGAUCCGACACCGAAAAUUAAAAUGAUGUGUGAGAAGUAAAAAAAGGUGUGUGGAUAUCACACCAUUUUACUAAAUCCUAAAUUGUAUAACUCCUUCAAAUAUAUCAAAGGCGAAUAUGGUACCUUCUGUAAACAAUCCGGUAGAGCUCUCAGCAGGCAAUGAUAAUAUUUAGGGAAUGACUAGACACAUGUUGGGACGUUAUCGUGACAUCAUGGGUUAACAAUACAAUUUGUGUUUAAAUUUCUCUUCACUAGCUUAGUUUUUCUACUUUCCUAACAUGUUCGGGUUCGUGCAUUUUCAGCUUUUGGGUAGUGGAAAAGUCAAGUUGCUGGUAGACUAAGUAGUGAACAAGUAGAUUCACACGGCAAUACAUAAGUCAAAAAUUACUCGUCACUAAUUCAGUUCUACCGAGUUUAGUUUGUCUCUCUUAAUCUUCAAACUUACAUAAUAAGCUAGUAAUUUCACUUCAUGAAAAUCUUGCUCAAAGUUGUUUGACUUGUUUCCUUUCUUUAGCAGCUAGACGUUCAAUUAUAUGCUAAUAAAACUUGCUCUUCAUCUUCAAUUGAUCUAAAAUAUAGCUCUGCGACUAAUUAAGUAGUAUGACUACAAGAUGGUUAACAAUAAUCCAUGGUAACCUUUUGCAGGAUCAUUUUCUUCUUCUUUGUGUUGUGUGGCUUAGGCUGUUUGAGUCUUUUACUACUUUAAAUUAAUUUAAGGAAAACUAAUGAAAAUGACUUGAAAACUUUGAGUUUUAACGAAAAUGACAAAAAUGUGUUGUAAAUGAAUAGUAUCAAUAUUGACUUUUUAGAGUAAAAAUGUGAUUUUUUGUUAAAGUAACAGUACCUUGAGUUUUUCUUCGUUAAAGUUUCGUUAAAUUUAUUGUCUCAACAUUAUCUACAAUGGCCUAAAAAAUUAAUCACCCUUUCAAACUAAUAUAAUCGGUAUUGCAAGAAAUGCAACUCAGUUGUUUACCAGCAAUCACCCUUUCACCCUAAAUUGCGUGUUUGGUUCCUCAUCUCCCAAAAUCGUUCGUAUAAAUGAAAAGAAAAUGUAUAACCGUGUAGGACAUAGGAGAUAAGAAAGCAAUUAAAAAGAUAAAAGAGGAAUCUGUCUUUUUUGGCAGAAAGAGGAAGACUUGUUAUAGUCUUUCAACACCUAAUCAUCAUUGCAAUUUGAAGAGCCUCGACUAGAAGAAAAAGACGUCUUAUGUACUCGGAAUUUUCUCCGGGAUGCCUUGUGAUAUUCUGAUAUUGCUGCUAGAAAUAAACAUUUUUCCUUAAGUUUGUCUGCUAAUUUACCGUCCUAGAAAAAGUUGCUUAUCACAACAUGUUGCCAAUGUUCAUGGACAUAUACAGUUAAUGAGUUUCUAUGAAAAUGUUGUCGAUAUUUUCGUGCCAAAUGUUGAGUGCAUCAUCUAUUUGUUGUAGCCUUAAUUUCUAGUUGCCCUCCAACUUUCAACGUUGCUUUGCUUAAUUGCAAACCUUUCAUCUCUUAUUGUGCUUUCUUCUCAAUAUUCUCACACCUCUAUAAGGCGAGAAGCAAAUUACAUAUCUCGGUUUCAAAGCUUUAAUAAGAUUUAUAUCUCUCUCAUUACAAAACUUUUACAAUAAAUUUUCCUCCCAUGGUCUAUCAAAAUAAUAAUAUUUCAGCAGCGACUAUCUAUUAUCAUAAAUUUUGGUGCAUUUGAAAGCAGCGAGAACAAUACAUUUUUAUUUUAUUUUUUCUCAAAUAAAUUUUUUGGUCAUUUUCCUCUGCAACCCUUGAGUUUCAACCCACUUUAUUUAUAAGAGUGAGGAGAACAAAUUUUUAAACCAAAUUUUGUAAAUAAAAUGAUAUGUCACUAAUAAAAAAUAAGUACGUUAAUUAAUACUUGAAUAAUUUGAUCUCUCUAACAUUAUUCUUAAAAUAAUGGUAAACUAAUUUUUUUAUUUAUUUUUACGAAUGAUAGAAUAAUCUAUUAAACUAUUGUGUUUUUUUUCUUUUUGUGAACAAUAAGACAAUAAACUAUUAUUUCGCCUUUUAUUAAAGAGUACUAAAAAAACGAAGUUUUUGAGAUCUUUUAAGUACCAAUUCCAAUAAAACUUUCAGGGUAAGUAACGUGAUUUUUAGUUUACAAAUAUUAAAAAAAACUAAUGAAAAUGACUUGAAAAUUUUGAGUUUUAAUGAAAAAGACAAAAAUGUGUUGUAAGUGAAUAGUACCAGAAUUGACAUUUUAAAGUAAAAAUGUGGUUUUUUGUUAAAGUGAGCAGUACCGAAAGAGUUUCGUUAAAGCUCCCAAAUACUAAUGAAAAAGUUAACCAAAAUAAAUCUACAGAUAUUAGAGCAAGUCCAUCCCUGAAAACUUUGUGCCAGCACCCAGCGUAUUUAUAUCUCCAUCGGCACCCGGAUGCAGUGUUAAAUGAGCAAGGGGGCUAUAGAAACUUCUUUUCGAACGACUCCACUCAAAGUUGUUUGGGAGCAUAUGCUCCUAUCAACUUUACACGGGACACACAAAAGAAGUACUUUGAUCCUAUUAGACGGGGAAGGGUGAAGAAGCUAGGACAGAAGGGUAGAGUUCAAGAGAGCAAAAUGCGUUUAGGAACGUGGAAUAUAGGAACCUUGACGGGAAAAUCUAUGGAAGUAGUAGAAGUUAUGGUGAGGAGAAGGAUAAAUAUUAUGUGCCUACAAGAAACUAAGUGGGUUGGGCGUAAGGCAAAGGAUCUAGAAAACUCAGGGUUUAAACUAUGGUAUUCGGGCACAAAUAGAACGAGAAACGGUGUUGGCAUCAUCGUGGACAAGACCUUGACACAAGAUGUUGUAGAUGUCAAGAGGGUAGGAGAUAGAAUCAUGGCAAUCAAGAUUGUAAUAGGACAAGAACUUAUCAAUGUGAUUAGUGCGUACGCACCUCAAGUAGGGUUGGAUACGAGUUCGAAGGAGAAAUUUUGGGAAGACCUUGGAGACUUGGUGCAAGGAAUUGCUCAGACGGAGAAGUUAUUUAUAGGAGGAGAUUUAAAUGGACACGUGGGCAGGGAGACAGGCAACUAUGGAGGUUUUCAUGGUGGCCAUGGUUUUGGGGAGAGAAACGAGGAUGGGGAAGCUAUCUUGGAUUUUGCAAUGGCAUAUGAUCUCUUCUUAGCCAACACCUUCUUUAAGAAGCGGGAAGAACAUGUGAUCACCUACAAGAGUGGGUCGUCAAAAACACAAAUAGAUUUUCUUCUAAUGAGGAAAAGGGAUCGUAUAACUUGUAAGGAUUGCAAAGUUAUACCAGGAGAGAGCGUGGCUAAUCAACAUCGCUUGUUGGUGAUGGAUGUACAUAUCAAAAGAGUGAGAAAAAAGAACAAGACUUGGAAGUGCCCAAGGACUAGAUGGUGGAAUCUAAAAGAAGAAAAACAAGCAAUUUUCAAAGAGAAAAUAAUCACCCAGUGUGUGUGGGAUAGAGAGGGGGAAGCUAACCAAAUGUGGGAUUCCAUGGCUAGUUGUAUCCGAAAAGUAGCAAAAGAGGUAUUAGGAGAGUCCAAGGGCUUUGCCCCACACCAAAAGGAAUCUUGGUGGUGGAGUGAGGAGGUACAAACAAAGGUGAAGGCUAAGAAGGAAUGUUGUAAAGCCUUAUACAAGGAUAGGACCGAUGAAAAUGGUGAAAGGUAUAGAAAAGCGAAGCAAGAGGUGAAGAAAGCUGUGAGAGAAGCUAAGUUAGCGGCUUAUGACGAUAUGUAUAAACGACUAGAUACCAAAGAAGGAGAGUUGGAUAUCUAUAAACUAGCUAGAGCAAGGGAAAAGAAGACAAGGGACCUAAACCAAGUGAGGUGCAUCAAGGAUGAGGAUGGAAAGGUUCUUGCUACAGAGAACGCGGUUAAAGACAGAUGGAAAGGUUAUUUUCAUAAUCUUUUCAAUGAAGGACAUGAAAGGAGUGCUUCUUUAGGGGAGUUGAGUAACUCAGAAGAGUGUAGAAACUACUCUUUUUAUCGUAGAAUCCGGAAGGAAGAAGUGGUUGUAUCUUUGAAGAAGAUGAAGCAUAGAAAAGCAGUAGGCCCAGACGAUAUACCAAUCGAAGUGUGGAAAGUUUUGGGAGAGACAGGUAUAACAUGGCUCACUGACAUUUUCAAUAGGAUUUUGAAAACGAAGAAGAUGCCAAAUGAGUGGCGAACGAGCACUUUGGUGCCUAUCUACAAGAAUAAGGGCGAUGUACAAAAUUGCAUGAACUAUAGGGGUAUUAAGCUAAUGAGUCAUACAAUGAAGCUCUGGGAGAGAGUCAUUGAGCAUAGAUUGAGGCAAGAGACACGGGUUUCGGACAACCAAUUCGGGUUCAUGCCAGGGGCGCUCAACCAUGGAGGCAAUCUAUCUCUUACGAAGAUUGAUGGAAAGAUAUAGAGAUGGGAAAAAGGAUUUACACAUGGUCUUUAUAGAUUUGGAAAAAGCGUAUGAUAGGGUCCCAAGAGACAUUCUUUGGAGGAUUUUAGAGAAGAAAGGAGUACGAGUAGCAUAUAUCCAAGCUAUACAGGAUAUGUAUGAAGGAGCAAAGACUGCCGUAAGAACUCAUGAAGGACAAACCGAAAGCUUUCCCAUAACUGUAGGAUUACAUCAAGGCUCAUCCUUAAGUCCUUACCUUUUUGCGUUGGUAAUGGAUGAGUUAACAGGACAUAUUCAAGAUGAUAUUCCUUGGUGUAUGCUUUUCGCAGACGAUAUAGUGUUGAUAGAUGAAACUCAAGAAGGGGUAAAUGCAAAGAUUAACCUUUGGAGAGAAGUGUUGGAAUCUAAAGGUCUUCGCCUAAGCCGAUCAAAGACAGAAUAUAUGGAGUGCAAGUUCAGUGCAAAUGGAGGCCAAAAACGAGUUAGGGGUGAGGAUCGGAGAUCAAGAAAUACCAAAGAGCGACCGUUUUCGUUACCUAGGAUCUAUCUUGCAAAAGAACGGAGAAUUAGAUGGAGAUCUCAACCAUAGAAUACAAGCUGGAUGGAUGAAGUGGAAGAGUGCAUCCGGCGUGUUGUGUGACCGCCGUAUGCCACUGAAGCUCAAGGGAAAAUUUUAUAGGACGGCAAUAAGGCCGGCGAUGCUGUAUGGCACAGAAUGUGGGGCGGUGAAGCAUCAACACGUACACAAAAUGGGUGUAGCGGAGAUGAGGAUGCUUCGUUGGAUGUGUGGGCACACGAGAAAGGAUAAGAUUAGGAAUGAGGAUAUCCGGGGUAAAGUAGGAGUAGCCGAAAUUGAAGGAAAGAUGAGAGAAAAUCGGUUACGGUGGUUUGGACAUGUGCAAAGAAGGCCUACUGACGCUCCGAUUAGAAGAUGCGACUAUGGGACAGAGGUUCAGGGCCGAAGGGGUAGAGGAAGACCCAGGAAAACUUUGAGAGAGACCCUAAGAAAAGACGUAGAGUACUUGGAUCUAACGGAGGACAUGACACAGGACAGAACACAAUGGCGUUCUAAGAUUCAUAUAGCCGAUCCCACUCAGUGACUUGGAUUUUUCCAAGUCUCCAACCGAAAAGUUUGUCCUCGCUCGGGAAAUUAAGGGAACACUACCUCAACCUACAUGCUCCACUCACAAAGCUCCAACAUACAAGCUUCAACAAAAGAAAAUUCAAAGAACUUAGCGAAGAAGGCUUUGGUGAUUUAACACAAUACGUUGAAAUGAAGGAAAGCUUAUUUAUUGAUAUCCCCGAUAAAUUACAAAUAUGUACAUAUACUUGAGUCAAAAUAAACAAACAAGAGGAAGCCUUCACAAAGGUUGCUUAGGAGAAGUCUCGGCAGUCGGUAGAGCCCCAGAAAGAGAAGGCACCGGAGGGGGAUCAUUCGGAGCCUCAGUACUGGACAGAACCCUAGAAGGAGGAGGCAUCAGAGGUUGAUCAUUUGGAGCUUCAUUACGCGGUACAGCCCCAGAAGACGAAGGCAAUAAAUGCCUUUGGAACAAACCCACAAAUCUCUGAUGAUCAAGUAAAACCUGACCAUCAGAUUCCUUCAUCUGGUCAAGCUUCCUCUUCAUGUUUGUAGCAUAGUCAUGUGCGAGCCGGUGCAACUGUUUAUUCUCAUGCUUGAGCCCUCUAAUCUCCUGUUUGAGACUCAUCACUUCAGCCGCCAAUGAUUCAACUUGGCGGGUUCGAGCAAAUAGGUGUUGGGCCAUAUUAGACACAGAACCUGCACACUGAACACUAAGAGCCAGAGAAUCCUUAACAGCCAACUCAUCAGACCGUUUGGAAAGUAGUCUGUUAUCUUUGGGAGUGAGAAGGUUCCUGGCCACUACCGCAGCGGUCAUAUCAUUCUUCAUAACGGAAUCCCCAACGGUAAGAGGACCAGUAUGGGAGACGAAGGAUGGGCGCCAUAUGUUGUCUGGAGAAGGUGGGGCUGCCUCUUCAACAAGGUUCAAGUCAAAACGACGGUCGGAGGGGCCAGACAUUUUCAAAGGUGUAGAAGAGAGAAGAGGUCGGACAAAUCAAGAUCUUAGAAGUGCAAGAAUGGAGCUUCUACUGGUGGAUAUUCAAGUGUGCUUUGGAACUUAAUGUCAACCUCUAUAAAAAUCUGCACUCGACGAAGCUUCAGAAAUCGAAGAGGCGUUUGCUUUCUCAAAAGCUGGGCUGCUCAGAGACCACGAGGGUCGAUCUCAGAAAUCGAAGAGGCGUUUGCUUUCUCAAAAGCUGGGCUGCUCAAAGACCACGAAGGCCGAUCUCAGAAAUCGAAGAGGUUUGCUUUCUCAAAAGCUGGGCUACUCAGAGACCACGAGGGCCGAUCUCAGAAAUCGAAGAGGUUUGCUUUCUCAAAAGCUGGGCUGCUCAGAGACCACGAGGGCCGAUCUCAGAAAUCGAAGAGGUUUGCUUUCUCAAAAGCUGGGCUGCUCAGAGACCACGAGGGCCGAUCUCAGAAAUCGAAGAGGCACCUACUUUUCCAACCUUGUCAGCACCUGUCACACGCACACUCAGCUUUGCGGAAAUUAUGGGCAUUCUAUCGAAGAUUUCUGGCGAAGUAGAAAGCACAUGAAUCGUACUGUUCAAUCACCCACUUCCCACACGCAACAGUAGCUCAUGGGUACCACAUAUAACUUUGCCAAAGUUCUCUGACAAAGUUGAGACUACUUUUCCAGCCUUGUCAGCACCUGUCACACGCACACUCAGCUUUGCGGAAAUUAUGGGCAUUCUGUCGAAGAUUUCUGGCGAAGUAGAAAGCACAUGAUUCGUACUGUUCAAUCACCCACUUUCCACAUGCAACAGUAGCUCAUGGGUACCACAUAUAACUUUGCCAAAGUUCUCUGACAAAGUCGAGACAUGUGAAGCUUGCAACUCUCACUACAUCGCUCUGACCAAGAAGGGUAAAAGAAUAGCAAAGAAACAACACUAACAAAGUUUAGACACAUAAAUUUUGAAGGGCUAGCUACCAUAUUAUUACCCACAAGGGUAAAGGAACAGUACCACUGCUGGAUAAUUGGAAAGUCCCUGUGUGUCAACCUCUGUGCUUCAUGGCAAGGUAGACUAGCAAACAUGCCCAACCUUUACUCACAUUCGAAAAAACACUCCCAACAAGAUUGCUUGCCCCAAAAUCGAUGAGGCAUCGCCUCCGAAUCUCGAGAGCCAGACUCCCAACAUGAUUACUUUCUCAAAAAUCGAAGAGAGGGUAAAGGAACAGUACCACUGCUGGAUAAUUUGAAAGUCCCUGUGUAUCAACCUCUGUGCUUCGUGGCAAGGUAGACUAGCAAACAUGCCCAACCUUUACUCACAUUCGAGAAAACACCCCCAACAAGAUUGCUUGCUCCAAAAUCGAAGAGGCACCGCCCUCCGAAUCUCGAGAGCCAGACUCCUAACAUGAUUACUUUCUCAAAAAUCGAAGAGAGGGUAAAGGAACAGUACCACUGCUGGAUAAUUGGAAAGUCCCUGUGUGUCAACCUCUGUGCUUCGUGGCAAGGUAGACUAGCAAACAUGCCCAACCUUUACUCAUAUUCGAGAAAACACUCCCAACAAGAUUGCUUGCUCCAAAAUCGAAGAGGCACAGCCCUCCGAAUCUCAAGAGCCAGACUCCCAACAUGAUUACUUUCUCAAAAAUUGAAGACACCGCUCUCCGAAUCUCGAGAGCCAGACCCCCAGCAUGAUUGCUUUCUCAAAAAUCGAAGAGGCAUCGUUCUCCGAAUCUCGAGAGCCAGAUCCCCGACAGGAUUGCUUGUUCGAAAACCGAAGAGGCACCACUUUCCCAACUUCAAGAGCCGGAUCUCCUUGGAUAAAGCUUGUCUGUAAUCUUCACACGCAACAUCAGCUUUCCAGAUACCACAGACCACUUUUUCAAAGUGCUCUAACAGAGUUAAAACUUGUGAAGCUGGCAGCUCCCACUACCGUGCUAUGACCAAGGAGGGUAAAGGAAUAGCAUUAUUACUUGAUGUUAGGGAGACUCCUAUAUAUGUCGACCUCCAUCCCCAACGAACAGGCAGACCUGCAAAAAUGCUCAACCCUUCCUCUUAUCUGAGAGGGCACUCCCAACGAAGCCUUUCGAAAUAUUCAGCUUUCUUUCCCCCCGAUAAUACCUCUGUAAACAAGCUAUACUAGAGCAAGAAUAUCUCAUAUCAUCAGGGUUAAAAGCAAGAGUAUCCCAUAUCAUGCUUUUUCCCUGUCUUUUCCUUUGGCCUUGUUCUUACUUGCAAGACAAGGAGAAAAGAGAGCAAUCAGUCAGCACUUGGAAUCAAGCUUCCAGCCAGGAACUGACUGCCUGGAACCCCUUACCCUGGCAUUGCUCUCGAGUACUCAUCUUCAACAUCUUAUGCUUCCAGGGAAGAUACCGCAUCUGCCUGAGGAACAGAUAGGGCAAGUGAGAAGGAUACAAGGAAGCAUGUGGAGACAAGCGUAACAGCACACGUGCCGAUACAUCCACUACUCUGUCAAAAGCAAAAGUAUCCCAUAUCAGCAGGGUCGAACGUACUCUAGAUUUGAUGGACUUGUUUUGACCCUCAAAUUCUUCAGUCGGCCUUAUACUUUGGAGGAAACCAUAAAACCCUCCAGCCCAGUUCAAGAAUAAGCCUGUGGAAAGUUACUUCUUCAAAAGCAAAAGUAUCCCAUAUCAUCUCUUCUCAUUUUUCUUCUCUUUAUCCUUCAUGCUGCCUGCAAGAUAGGGAGAAUGUGAACAAUCAGCCGGAGCUCUGAUUGUUUACCUUGUCUGUUACCUCUUUCAGCAGAUCCCCUAGCUCGGCGACUUGGGGGACUCCUACUACAUGGUUUGUAUCGCGCUUGACCAAGCCUGAAACUACAAGUAAGCUUCAAGUGACAUUGAUACAUUACCUUGUGCAUCUCCACCAGUUACAGAUACCACCCCUGGAUGGAGGAAGAGUACUUCCAGAGAAGAUUCCACAUCUACCUAUGAGACAGAUAAGGAAAGUCAAGACGAUACCACACUCCGGUACUUAGAAGUUUCGUGGUUACGAGAUCAUUCUCCCACAAUAUUUCCUAAUGUCAUUUGUACUAAAUCAUUCACUUGUACUCCCUAAAGGAGAGCUUGAACCUAUGUACUUGUGUAAACCCUUCACAAUUAAUGAGAACUCCUCUAUUCCGUGGACGUAGCCAAUCUGGGUGAACCACGUACAUCUUGUGUUUGCUUUCCUAUCUCUAUCCAUUUAUAUACUUAUCCACACUAAUGACCGGACCAAUCUAGCGAAGAUCACAAAAAGUGACCGUUUUCGCUACCUAGGAUCUAUCUUGCAAGAGAACGGAGAAUUAGAUGGAGAUCUCAACCAUAAAAUACAAGCUGGAUGGAUGAAGUGUAAGAGUGUAUCCGGCGUGUUGUGUGAUCGUCGUAGGCCACUGAAGCUCAAGGGAAAAUUUUAUAGGACGGCAAUAAGGCCAACGAUGUUGUAUGGCACAGAAUGUUGGGCGGUGAAGCAUCAACACGUACACAAAAUGGGUGUAGCGGAGAUGAGGAUGCUUCGUGGGAUGUAUGGGCACACGAGAAAGGAUAAGAAUGGGAAUGAGGAUAUCCAAGGUAAAGUAGGAGUAGCCAAAAUUGAAGGAAAUAUGAGAGAAAAUCGGUUCCGGUGGUUUGGACAUGUGCAAAGAAGGCCUACUGACGCUCCGGUUCGAAAAUGUGACUACGGGACAGAAGUUCAGGGCCGAAGGGGUAGAGGAAGACCUAGGAAAACUUUGGAAGAGACCCUAAGAAAAGACUUGAUUACUUGGAUCUAACGGAGGACAUGACACAAAACCGAGCGCAAUGGCGUUCUAAGAUUCAUAUAGCCGACCCCACUUAGUGGGAAAAGGCUUUGUUGUUGUUGCUUCCUUUCCCUUUCCGGUCCUUUCUUUAUCAUUUAUUUUUUCUGCUUUCUUCUUUCUUCCUUUCCCUCACCAUGUCGGUACCCAGGCUUCAACCUUCACUGCACGAUCGCACGACCUCGACACCCAGGGCUUCAACCUUCACCGCACGAUCGCACGACCUCCGACCAAGACCUCGACACCCAGGGCUUCAACCUUCACCGCACGAUCGCGGAGCUCAACCUGGACCACCUCAACAAGGUGUUCAUGGCCGUCGGGUUUCUGAAGACAUGAAGACGAAGUGGCCGGUGGCGUUCACGAUCGUGCGAUCGCGGAGCUCAACACGGACUCGCUACUGUGAAUGGAGUACAUGAAGACGAACCGGCCGGUGGCGUUCACAAGGUCGACGGGAGACGGCCUCCAGUUCAAACUUCCUUCGGACGCCAUGCUGGCGUCACCAUGGCAUCAGAUAGGCCGGUCCCAAGGUCUGUCGAUUUUAGGCCGGCCUGUGGACUGGCAUGGGCUGGGUGCCAGUCAAUUGGGUCGGCUAGAGCAAAUUCACUGGGUCCUGGCCUAUUUUUUCGGCUGGGUGCUGGGCAAAAAGUCCUCCAGUGGACUUGCUCUUACUAUAUAGAAUUCAAAAUAAUUAUACGAUUGCCAUUUUUUGUUUACCGGUCAACUGUAUUCCCAACGACCUUACCCGCACAAUCAAUCUUGAUAACCAGGUUUCCACUAACCUCCUUGUACUCGAUUGUGUUCGCAUGCAUGAGCCAAGGUAGGUGCAUUACUAUUUGCAUUCUGAUAAACAACAAUGAUUUUUUAUGAAUAUUGCAGACUAGAAUUUCCAAUCAUUCCCAAGGGAGAACGGUUCAAUCAUAACAUCAUGGGCUAAGAAUACAAUUUCAUGUUUAAGUUUUUCUCCACAUACAUCACGUUAACUUGGUGUUUUUUACUUUCCUAGCAUGUUCCCUUCUGUGCAUUUUCAGCUUUUAAAUAGUGACUUAUUAGUGAAAAAGCAGAUUCACAUGACGAAGACAUAAGUAUAAAAUUACUUGUCACUAAUUCAGUCAUCAAGCUUAAGUCAUCUAUUUUAAUCUUCAAAAUUAACACAAUAAGCUAGAAAAUUCAGUUCAUGAAAAUCUUGCUCAAUGUUGUUUGACUUGUUUCCUUUCUUAAACGUUUAGAUGCUCAUUAAUUAUAUGCUAAUAAAACUUGCUCUUCAUCUUCAAAUGGAUCAUAAUCCAAUAUAGCUCUGUUACCAAUUAACUAGCAUAACUACAAGUCUACAAGACAACUUUGGUAAAUCCGGUGCCGGCAGGAUCAUUUUCUUCUUCUUUGUGUUGUGUGGCUCAGGUUUUUUUUCAGUCUUUUACAAUUUUAAAUUGAUUGUCUCUACAUUAUCUACCAUGACCUACGAACAAUUGAAACAAUCACCCUCCCAAAAUAAUAUGAUCGGUGUUGCAAGGGAUUGUAGCUUAGUUGUUUACAAGCAGAUAUUUUUUUAUUUUUUUUAGUACAUCUUCUUUAUGUUAAGGAAGAGAAGAAGUUUGGCUAAGCCACACAAUGAAUAGCCUAAUUUGAUAUCAAAUUCGUCAUCUACAAUAUUCGAACCUAAGGCCUCUACUUAUAAGUGAGGAGGAAUAUCAUUAGAUCGUAGUACUAGGUGUUGCAAUUAGUCAUUUUUUUGUUGAGAAUAAAUCUCAUAUUAAUGAAAUGAGAGACUUUGUAUGUGCUUAUAAUAAGUAGUUGAGGUACUCUCCCUAUUGUCAAAUUUUUUUUGGUGGAACUUCAACAUUUUUCAUGCUAUCAAAACAAGUUGUCUCAUGUAUGACACAUAAUGGCUUUACGUGAUCCAUAUCUUUCGAGUUGUAUUAUUCACAUGUUAAACUUAAAAUUCGUCAUACGUAACGGAACAUAUUAAGAAUGAAUCUCAUAUUAAAAAAAAAAAAAAGACUUUGAAAUCUCAAGUUUAUUCUAUUUCCAUCCAAAGUUCUAUAUUUGAUUUCCCAUCUCCAAAAUCGUUCCUAUAAAGAAAAAGAAAAAGUAUAACGUACGUGUAGGGCUUUGGAGAUAAGAAAUCAAAUAAAAAGACAACAAUAUGACCCCACGAAAAGUACAGAGGGAAAAGAGGAGUCCUUCUUUGUGGGCAGAAAGGUGCAGACUUGUUAUAAGUCUUUCAACACCUAAUUAUCAAAAGCAAAUUGCAGAGUUCGAGAGUAGUCUGGAUCUGUUGAUUUUUAUAAUCUAUGGAAACAAGUCCCUUCAUCUGAAAACUUGUACGCAGUAAGUUCCUCUUGCAACUAUAUAUGCGAAAUUCAUUAUUUAUUAAUGAAUUAUUUCAUUUUUCUUGAAGUUUGUAUAUUUAAUUAAAGAUUUCAUCAAUAACCAGCUAUAUAAUUUGUGCUGUUUUCAGCCUUGAUUAUUCCAUCAUUCGGUCUGGAUUUGUUGACGAUAAGUGCAAACAAGUGCCCUCAUGACCUGACAGGCUUCCAUGUAACUGCUGCUUGCUUCAGAUCAUGCCCAAUAUUUGUGCAACGGUGCAAGUUUCGAGUCUUGAAGCGUAGGGUUGCAAGAAUUCCCCCCUGCAGUUACGGGUAAUCCCAAAACUGCCCAUUUUUUGUCCAGUUCAAAUUUAAGAAAAAUAAUGUUUACUAGUAUAUGAUUUUUGCAAGCUUGAGUUUUUCUUUUUGCUCGUCUUUUAAAUUUAUAUGGUGUGUUUUAUUGUGCUUUAUUAUUUAUUGUGUUUUAUGUCAUCUCAAAUGACAAGUGAAUCAAAUGUACACAAUUAACAAUUAAUGGGAUAAAUUUAUUAAUUGAUGUGACAUAUCACAUCAAAUUGUACAUAAAUAUGGUACAAACAUAUGUGAUUCCCUUAACAUUUUCGGAUUUUCCUAGUAAUAUUAUAUGGCGUGUUAUUGUGCUUUAUACAUACAAUAUCAAGUUUUUUUUUUUUUUUUUUUUUUGCUUUUUAUUGGAACAUACAAUAUCAAGUUAUUAGGGACUGUAUACCUGGUGGUGGGAAGGUUAUGAUGUAGGCAACCUUGAUCUGAAUCCGGCCCGUUGCCAUCCUUUGCUAUUCCCAAAUUGUUAUCUCUAGAUAUGCUUACUAGGAGUCUCCAUUAAUUGAAUAUUAUUUCAAUUUUACUAUAAAUUUAUAUAGGUAAAUGCUAGGGACAUUAAAUUACUUUAGUCUAAAGUAAGGUUUGAAAUUGGCACUAUUUAAAUGAACAGUGUUUCAAUCCGAAUUUCAGAUUAAUUACAACCAUGCCAUUGGUCUUUGUGUUGGUUUUGGGUCAGCAGCCAGGCCCUCAGCCAUGCCCAAAUGUGUUGGUUUUAGCUGGGAAGCCCCGCCCUCAGUGAGGCCCAAAUUGUUAAUUACAAUUUUGCCCAUCUAAGAUUACAAUCCAAUGGUGGAGAUGGUGUAUUAAGAAGGGCAAUUUUGUCCUCUCCGUUUUGGGCGAGAUAGGGGGUCAUCGGGUAGGUAUCAUUUGCUGUCGUUCAAUUAGGGUUUCAGGGAGGGUCUGAGAGAGAGAGAGAGAGACAGAGAGAGAUGGCGAUGGGAGGAGAGCGAGGGGGAGGGGUAGGGCUCUCGGCACUGUUGUUGCGGAUGGGAGGGUCGGUAUGGUCAGAGAAGACCAUAUGGGUCGUCGGGAUUUCAGGGAGACGGGGUAGGGGUCAUCAACAAACCCUAUUGAGAGUGGGGUGUGCUGGAUCUUGCGCUGCAUGCCUCGAAUCCAAAGAUAAGUUCUUUUUAAAAUUGUAUUCUUUAAUGGUGCCUUAGAUUUUCUAAUUGUUUAGUAUGUUAGGUCCGGUUUUGGGGGAUUUGUGAUUUUACAGAGAGAGAUGGAUAGGGAGAUAGAGAUAGAGAGAGAGAGGAGAUAGCAUGGGUGUGUGCAUUUUUUUGAGUUAAUUAAUGGGUUAGUGCGCAUGUCAGUGAGGAGAGUGACAGAGGGGUGAAUGGCAUUGGCAGGGUAUGGGUUUUCAGUUUUUCCCUCUGAUUCAAUAGGUUAUGCACUGUUUGAAAAUAAAUUGUUUAUUGUUUUGUUUUCCGUUUGCUUUGUUAAAACCAUCAUUCGAAUUUUUCGGUUUCACUGUGCUCAUUUCUGUGCUUCUUCAAAAUUUUCUGGUGUUUGCUUUUCAUUCCUAUGUUGGUUGAUUUUUUUUUUUUCCCAUUUCUUGGUUCCUUAUGUAUUUCUUGGUUCUGUCUAAUUUUUUGCUGUGGGAUGAUGCUUGCAGGUGAACCUGAAAACAGCAUACAAGAUAGAGAACUGGUAUGCUAUUUUGUCUUUCUGUUGGAUUUUGAUGUUUAUGUUCUGCUACUAAGAGGAUUUUAUAGUGUUCUAAAUCUGUUUUGUAAAUGUGCUUAAAGAUUGGACAUGUUCUUGAAUGUUAGCCAUGUUGUUUGAAUUGGAUAUGUGAUUGAAUAUUAGGUAUUUAGUUUGAAUUGAUCUGGAUAUGUGGUUUAUUGAACUAGAAUUUGGAUAUGUGCUGAUUUGAAUUGAGUAUGUUGAAUUAGAGAUGUGCUACUUUGAAUUAAGUUGAAAAAUGGCAAGCCAUGGUAUAUUGAAUGUUUUUUUUUGCCCCAAAUUUACAUAAGUCCCAAAGGGUGAAUGUCGUCCCAAAACUUUACAACAACAACAACAACAAAGCCUUUUCCCACUAAGUGGGGUCGGCUAUAUGAAUCCUAGAACGCCAUUGCGCUCGGUUUUGUAUCAUGUCCUCCGUUAGAUCCAAGUACUCUAAGUCUUUUCUUAGAGUCUCUUCCAAAGUUGUCCUAGGUCUUCCUCUACCCCUUCGGCCUUGAACCUCUGUCCCGUAGUUACAUCUUCGAACCGGAGCGUCAGUCGGCCUUCUUUGCACAUGUUCAAAAUCACCGGAGCCGAUUUUCUCUCAUAUUUCCUACAAUUUCGGCUACUCCUACUUUACCUCAGAUAUCCUAAUUCCCAAUCUUAUCCUUUCUCGUGUGCCCACACAUCCCACGAAGCAUCCUCAUCUCCGCUACACCCAUUUUGUGUACGUGUUGAUGCUUCACCACCCAACAUUCUGUGCCAUACAACAUCGCUAGCCUUAUUGCCGUCCUAUAAAAUUUUCCCUUGAGCUUCAGUGGCCUACGACGGUCACACAACACGCCGGAUGCACUCUUUCCAUCCAGCUCGUAUUCUAUGGUUGAGAUCUCCAUCUAAUUCUCCGUUCUCUUGCAAGAUAGAUCCUAGGUAGCGAAAACGAUCGCUUUUUGUGAUCUUCGCUAGAUUGCUCCGGUCAUUAGUGUGGAUAAGUAUAUAAAUGGAUAGAGAUAGGAAAGCAAAUACAAGAUGUACGUGGUUCACCCAGAUUGGCUACGUCCACGGAAUAGAAGAGUUCUCAUUAAUUGUGAAGGGUUUACACAAGUACAUAGGUUCAAGCUCUCAUUUAGUGAGUACAAGUGAAUGAUUUAGUACAAAUGACAUUAGGAAAUAUUGUGGGAGAAUGAUCUCGUAAUCACGAAACUUCUAAGUAUCGGAGUGUGGUGUCGUCUUGCCUUACCUUAUCUGUCUCAUAGGUAGAUGUGGCAUCUUCUCUGGAAGUACUCUUCCUCCAUCCAGGGGUGGUAUCUUUAACUGGUGGAGAUGCACAAGGUAAUGUAUCAAUUUCACUUGAAGCUUACUUGUAGUUUCAGGCUUGGUCAAGCGCGAUACAAACCAUGUAGUAGGAGUCCCCCAAGUCGCCGAGCUAGGGGGUCUGCUGAAAGAGGUGACAAACAAGGUAAGCAAUCAGAGCUCCGACUGAUUGUUCACCUUCUCCCCAUCUUGCAGCAGCAUGAAGGAUAAAGAGAAGAAAAAUGAGAAGAGAUGAUAUGAGAUACUUUUGCUUUUGAAGAAGUAACUUUCCACAGGCUUAUUCUUGAACUGAGCUGGAGGGUUUUCUGGUUUCCUCCAGAGUAUAAGGCCGACUGAAGAAUUUGAGGGUCAAAACAAGUCCAUCAAAUCUAGAGUACGUUCCACCCUGCUGAUAUGGGAUACUUUUGCUUUUGACAGAGUAAUGAAUGUAUCGGCACGUGUGCUGUUACGCUUGUCUCCACAUGCUUCCUUGUAUCCUUCGCACUUGCCCUAUCUGUUCCUCAAGCAGAUGCGGAAUCUUCCCUGGAAACAUAAGAUGUCGAAGAUGAGUACUCGAGAGCAAUGCCAGGUAAGUAAUCAGGUAAGGGGUUCCAGGCAGUCAGUUCCUGGCUGGAAGCUUGAUUCCAAGUGCUGACUGAUUGCUCUCUUUCUCCUUGUCUUGCAGGUAAAAACAAGGCCAAAAGAAAAGACAGGGAAAAAGCAUGAUAUGGGAUACUCUUGCUUUUAACCCUGAUGAUAUGAGAUAUUCUUGCUCUAGUAUAGCUUGUUUGCAGAGGUAUUAUCGGGGGGAAAGAAAGCUGAAUAUUUCGAAAUGCUUCGUUGGGAGUGCCUUCUCAGAUAUGAUGAAGGGUUGAGCAUUUUUGCAGGUCUGCCUGUCCGUUGGGGAUGGAGGUCGACAUAUAUAGGAGUCUCCCUAAAAACAAGUAGUAAUGCUAUUCCUUUACCCUGCUUGGUCAUAGCACGGUAGUGGGAGCUGCCAGUUUCACAUGUUUUAACUCUGUCAGAGCACUUUGAAAAAGUGGUCUGUGGUAUCUGGCUCUCGAGAUUCGGAGAACGAUGCCUCUUCGAUUUUUGAGAAAGCAAUCAUGCUGGGGGUAUGACUCUCGAGAUUCGGAGAGCAGUGUCUCUUCGAUUUUUGAGGAAGUAAUCAUGUUGGGAGUCUGGCUCUCGAGAUUCGGAGGGCGAUGCCUCUUCGAUUUUGGAGCAAGCAAUCUUGUUGGGAGUGUUGUCUCGAAUGUGAGUAAAGGUUGGGCAUGUUUGCUAGUCUACCUUGCCACGAAGCACAAAGGUUGACACACAGGGACUUUCCAAUUAUCCAGCAAUGGUACUGUUCCUUUACCCUCUCUUCGAUUUUGAGAAAGUAGUCAUGUUGGGAGUCUGGCUCUCGAGAUUCGGAGGACGGUGCCUCUUCGAUUUUGGAGCAAGCAAUCUUAUUGGGAGUGUUUUCUCGAAUGUGAGUAAAGGUUGGGCAUGUUUGCUAGUCUACCUUGCCACGAAGCACAGAGGUUGACACACAGGGACUUUCCAAUUAUCCAGCAGUGGUACUGUUCCUUUACAGUUGUGGGUAAUAAUAUGGUAGCUAGACCUUCAAAAUUUAUGUGUCUAAACUUUUGUUAGUGCUGUUUCUUUGCUAUUCUUUUACCUUUCUUGGUCAGAGCGAUGUAGUGGGAGCUGCAAGCUUCACGUGCUCAACUUUGGCAGAGAACUUUGGCAAAGUUAUUUGUGGUACCCAUGAGCUAUUGUUGCGUGUGGGAAGUGGAUGAUUGAACAGUAAGAUUCAUGUGCUUUCUACUUCACCAGAAGUCUUCGACAGAAUGCCCAUAAUUUCUGCAAAGCUGAGUGUGCGUGUGACAGGUGCUGACAAGGGUAGAAAAGUAGGUGCCUCUUCGAUUUCUGAGAUUGGCCCUCGUGGUCUCUGAGCAGCCCAGCUUUUGAGAAAGCGAGCGCCUCUUCGAUUGAUUCGGAGAACGAUGCCUCAUCGAUUUUUGAGAAAGCAAUCAUGCUGGGGGUCUGGCUCUCGAGAUUCGGGGAGCAGUGUCUCUUCGAUUUUUGAGAAAGUAAUCAUGUUGGGAGUCUGGCUCUCGAGAUUCGGAGGGCGGUGUCUCUUCGAUUUUGGAGCAAGCAAUCUUGUUGGGAGUGUUUUCUCGAAUGUGAGUAAAGGUUGGGCAUGUUUGCUAGUCUACCUUGCCACGAAGCACAGAGGUUGACACACAGGGACUUUCCAAUUAUCCAGCAAUGGUACUGUUCCUUUACCCUCUCUUCGAUUUUUAAGAAAGUAGUCAUGUUGGGAGUCUGGCUCUCGAGAUUCGGAGGACGGUGCCUCUUCGAUUUUGGAGCAAGCAAUCUUAUUGGGAGUGUUUUCUCGAAUGUGAGUAAAGGUUGGGCAUGUUUGAUAGUCUACCUUGCCACGAAGCACAGAGGUUGACACACAGGGACUUUCCAAUUAUCCAGCAGUGGUACUGUUCCUUUACCCUUGUGGGUAAUAAUAUGGUAGCUAGACCUUCAAAAUUUAUGGGUCUAAACUUUGUUAGUGCUGUUUCUUUGCUAUUCUUUUACCCUUCUUGGUCAGAGCGAUGUAGUGGGAGCUGCAAGCUUCACGUGCUCAACUUUGGCAGAGAACUUUGGCAAAGUUAUCUGUGGUACCCAUGAGCUAUUGUUGCGUGUGGGAAGUGGGUGAUUGAACAGUAAGAUUCAUGUGUUUUCUACUUCCCCAGAAGUCUUUGACAGAAUGCCUAUAAUUUCCGCAAAACUGAGUGUGCGUGUGACAGGUGCUGACAAGGCUGGAAAAGGCUGGAAAAGUAGGUGCCUCUUCGAUUUCUGAGAUCGGCCCUCGUGGUCUCUGGGGAGCCCAGCUUUUAAGAAAGCGAGCGUAUCUUCGAUUUUUGAGAUCGGCCAUCGUGGUCUUUGAGCAGCCCAACUUUUGAGAAAGCAAACGCCUCUUCGAUUUCUGAGAUCAACCCUCGUGAUCUCUAAGCAGCCCAGCUUUUGAGAAAGCAAACGCCUCUUCGAUUUCUGAGCAGGCGCCUCUUCGAUUUCUGAAGCUUCGUCGAGUGCAGAUUUUUAUAGGGGCUGGCAUUAAGUUCCAAAGCACACUUGAAUCUCCACCAGUAGAAGCUUCAUUCUUGCACUUCUAAGAUCUUGAUUUUUCCGACCUCUUCUCUCUUCAACACCUUUGAAAAUGUCUGGCCCCUCCGACCGUCGUUUUGACUUGAACCUUGUUGAAGAGGCAGCCCCGCCUUCUCCAGACAACAUAUGGCGCCCAUCCUUCGUUUCCCCUACUGGUCCUCUUACCGUUGGGGAUUCCGUGAUGAAGAAUGAUAUGACCGCUGCGGUGGUGGCCAGGAACCUUCUCACUCCCAAAGAUAACAGACUACUUUCCAAACGGUCUGAUGAGUUAGCUGUUAAGGAUUCGCUGGCUCUCAGUGUUCAGUGUGCAGGUUCUGUGUCUAAUAUGGCCCAACACCUAUUUGCUCGAACCCGCCAAGUUGAAUCAUUGGCGGCUGAAGUGAUGAGUCUCAAACAGGAGAUUAGAGGGCUCAAGCAUGAGAAUAAACAGUUGCACCGGCUCGCACAUGACUAUGCUACAAACAUGAAGAGGAAGCUUGACCAGAUGAAGGAAACUGAUGGUCAGGUUUUACUUGAUCAUCAGAGAUUUGUGGGUUUGUUCCAAAGGCAUUUAUUGCCUUCGUCUUCUGGGGCUGUACCGCGUAAUGAAGCUCCAAAUGAUCAACCUCUGAUGCCUCCUCCUUCUAGGGUUCUGUCCAGUACUGAGGCUCCAAAUGAUCCCCCCCUCCGGUGCCUUCUCUUUCUGGGGCUCUACCUGACUGCUGAGACUUCUCCUAAGCAACCUUUGUGAAGGCUCCCUCUUGUGUGCUUAUUUUGACUCAUGUAUAUGUACAUAUUUGUAGCUUAUCGGGGAUAUCAAUAAAUAAGCUUUCCUUCAUUUCAACGUAUUGUGUUAAAUACACACCAAAGCCUUCUUCGCUAAGUUCUUUGAAUUUUCUUUUGUUAAAGCUUGUAUGUUGAAGCUUUCUGAGUGGAGCAUGUAGGUUGGGGUAGUGUUCCCUUAAUUUCCCGAGUGAGGAAAACUUCUCGGUUGGAGACUUGGAAAAUCCAAGUCACUGAGUGGGAUCGGCUAUAUGAAUCUUAGAACGCCAUUGUGCUCGAUCCUGUGUCAUGUCCUUCGUUAGAUCCAAGUACUCUAAGUCUUUUCUUAGAGUCUCUUCCAAAGUUUUCCUAGGUCUUCCUCUACCCCUUCGGCCCUGAACCUCUGUCCCAUAGUCGCAUCUUCUAAUCGGAACGUCAGUAGGCCUUCUUUGCACAUGUCCAAACCACCGUAACCGAUUUUCUCUCAUCUUUCCUUCAAUUUCGGCUACUCCUACUUUACCCCGGAUAUCCUCAUUCCUAAUCUUAUCCUUUCUCGUGUGCCCACACAUCCAACGAAGCAUCCUCAUCUCCGCUACACCCAUUUUGUGUACGUGUUGAUGUUUCACCGCCCAACAUUCUGUGCCAUACAGCAUCGCCGGCCUUAUUGCCGUCCUAUAAAAUUUUCCCUUGAGCUUCAAUGGCAUACGGCGGUCACACAACACGCCGGAUGCACUCUUCCACUUCAUCCAUCCAGCUUGUAUUCUAUGGUUAAGAUCUCCAUCUAAUUCUCCGUUCUUUUGCAAGAUAGAUCCUAGGUAACGAAAACGGUCACUCUUUGGUAUUUCUUGAUCUCCGAUCCUCACCCCUAACUCGUUUUGGCCUCCAUUUGCACUGAACUUGCACUCCAUAUAUUCUGUCUUUGAUCGGCUUAGGCGAAGACCUUUAGAUUCCAACACUUCUCUCCAAAGGUUAAGCUUUGCAUUUACCCCUUCCUGAGUUUCAUCUAUCAACACUAUAUCGUCUGCGAAAAGCAUACACCAAGGAAUAUCAUCUUGAAUAUGUCCUGUUAACUUAUCCAUUACCAACGCAAAAAGGUAAGGACUUAAGGAUGAGCCUUGAUGUAAUCCUACAGUUAUGGGAAAGCUUUCGGUUUGUCCUUCAUGAGUUCUUACGGCAGUCUUUGCUCCUUCAUACAUAUCCUUUAUAGCUUGGAUAUAUGCUACUCGUACUCCUUUCUUCUCUAAAAUCCUCCAAAGAAUGUCUCUUGGGACCCUAUCAUACGCUUUUUCCAAAUCUAUAAAGACCAUGUGUAAAUCCUUUUUCCCAUCUCUAUAUCUUUCCAUCAAUCUUCGUAAGAGAUAGAUUACCUCCAUGGUUGAGCGCCCUGGCAUGAACCCGAAUUGGUUGUCCGAAACCCGUGUCUCUUGCCUCAAUCUAUGCUCAAUGACUCUCUCCCAGAGCUUCAUUGUAUGACUCAUUAGCUUAAAUACCCCUAUAGUUCAUGCAAUUUUGUACGUCGCCCUUAUUCUUGUAGAUAGGCACCAAAGUGCUCAUUCGCCACUCAUUUGGCAUCUUCUUCGUUUUCAAAAUCCUAUUGAAAAGGUCAGUGAGCCAUGUUUAUACCUGUCUCUCCCAAAAGUUUCCACACUUCGAUUGGUAUAUCGUCUGGGCCUAUUGCUUUUUUAUGCUUCAUCUUCUUCAAAGCUACAACCACUUCUUCCUUUCGGAUUCGACGAUAAAAAGAGUAGUUUCUACACUCUUCUGAGUUACUCAACUCCCCUAAAGAAGCACUCAUUUCAUGUCCUUCAUUGAAAAGAUUAUGAAAAUAACCUCUCCAUCUGUCUUUAACCGCGUUCUCUGUAGCAAGAACAUUUCCAUCCUCAUCCUUGAUGCACCUCACUUGGUUUAGGUCCCUUGUCUUCUUUUCCCUUGCUCUAGAUAGUUUAUAGAUAUCCAACUCUCCUUCUUUGGUAUCUAGUCGUUUAUACAUAUCGUCGUAAGCUGCUAACUUAGCUUCUCUGACAGCUUUCUUCGCCUCUUGCUUCGCUUUUCUAUACCUUUCACCAUUUUCAUCAGUCCUCUCCUUGUAUAAGGCUUUACAACAUUCCUUCUUAGCCUUCACCUUUGUUUGUACCUCCUCAUUCCACCACCAAGAUUCCUUUUGGUGUGGGGCAAAGCCCUUGGACUCUCCUAAUACCUCUUUUGCUACUUUUCGGAUACAACUAGCCAUGGAAUCCCACAUUUGGCUAGCUUCCCCCUCUCUAUCCCACACACAUUGGGUGAUUACCUUCUCUUUGAAAAUGGCUUGUUUUUCUUCUUUUAGAUUCCACCAUCUAGUCCUUGGGCACUUCCAAGUCUUGUUCUUUUGUCUUACUCUUUUGAUAUGUACAUCCCAUCACCAACAAGCGAUGUUGAUUAGCCACGCUCUCUCCUGGUAUAACUUUGCAAUCCUUACAAGUUAUACGAUCCCCUUUCCUCAUUAGAAGAAAAUCUAUUUGUGUUUUUGACGACCCACUCUUGUAGGUGAUCACAUGUUCUUCUCUCUUCUUAAAGAAGGUGUUGGCUAAGAAGAGAUCAUAUGCCAUUGCAAAAUCCAAGAUAGCUUCCCCAUCCUCGUUUCUCUCCCCAAAACCAUGGCCACCAUGAAAACCUCCAUAGUUGCCUGUCUCCCUGCCCACGUGUCCAUUUAAAUCUCCUCCUAUAAAUAACUUCUCCGUCUGAGCAAUUCCUUGCACCAAGUCUCCAAGAUCUUCCCAAAAUUUCUCCUUCGAACUCGUAUCCAACCCUACUUGAGGUGCGUACGCACUAAUCACAUUGAUAAGUUCUUGUCCUAUUACAAUCUUGAUUGCCAUGAUUCUAUCUCCUACCCUCUUGACAUCUACAACAUCUUGUACCAAGGUCUUGUCCACGAUGAUGCCAACACCGUUUCUCGUUCUAUUUGUGCCCGAAUACCAAAGUUUAAACCCUGAGUUUUCUAGAUCCUUUGCCUUACUACCAACCCACUUAGUUUCUUGUAGGCACAUAAUAUUUAUCCUUCUCCUCACCAUAACUUCCACUACUUCCAUAGAUUUUCCCGUUAAGGUUCCUAUAUUCCACGUUCCUAAACGCAUUUUGCUCUCUUGAACUCUACCCUUCUGUCCUAGCUUCUUCACCCUCCCCCGUCUAAUAGGAUCAAAGUACUUCUUUUGUGUGUCCCGGGUAAAGUUGAUAGGAGCAUAUGCUCCCAAACAACUUUGAGUGGAGUCGUUCGAAAAGAAGUUUCUAUAGCCCCCUUGCUCAUUUAACACUGCAUCCGGGUGCCGAUGGAGAUACAGCGACCCUUGCUCACUUAUCACUGUGCUCAGGCCACACAGCGCGCCACUUACGGGUGACGCCCUAGCUUUAGCGCGAUUUUGUUCUGGAUUCAUUUUCAUAAGGAUUCGACGUGAUCAUGGAGUGCCGGCUGUCGACUACCUGACGCCCUCCCCCUCCUCCUUUAUCCGGGCUUGGGACCGGCCAUGUAAGACAUAGGCGGAGUUAUCAACCAAAACUUUAAAAGAAAAUAAUUAGAAAACAUGAUUCAGGAGAGAAAUAACAAGUCCAUCACGUAUUAGAAAAUCAGUUUUGCCCAGUGAUCGAAAUCAUUACAGGAUUAAAAACUAGAAUCCGACUUUGGAAGAACUUCCAUUCUCUUCUAAAACAGCUUCCACCAACGACAAACGUUCUUGCAGAUGUUUAACUGCACAUAGCAAUGGAAAAAGAUAAUAGGUCAGAAGUUAAUAGUUUACACCCAUUUUUCAAACACGGUGGUUGUUUGUUUUGAACCUACACCAGGUUCACCCUGUAUCAGCGGUUUCCCAGUCACACUAGUAUGAACAUUAGAUAUGAGUUUGAUAACACAAAAAACUAGUAGAUUUGUGUAUGCCCCCUUGGGAACUAAUUCUGUGUGGAAUUUUGUUGUAUGGGCUAUGGAGUAAAUACAUGUUGCAUGACGUGACUUGUUCGAGUUCAUUAGAGGGUCGUGGCGAUGCCCAUGGAAAGACAAGCUCAGGUCCUUUCCAUGUUCUUUUGUGAUCUUUGUUUCACAGUUGGAACGGGGGAGGUUUUGAUUCUGUGAUGAUAUUUGGGUUGGGAUUCCUAUUUCAGUGUCAUUUUCUGCCAUCUGUAUAGGAUCUCUUUGCCAUAAUUAAUCACCCCAAAAAAAUUAUUUGCAUUUGAUUCUUUGCAUAAACUUAUCUUAUGAAUAGUUGAGUAUGCUUUAAUGUCAAUACUAAUUUGUCCGUGACUAUGUCUUUGGUUCUCUAUGUUGUGUAUGGACCAGGGAAUUUAAAUUUUAAAGUGCUAUAUAACUUAUGCUAAAAUAUGUUUGGAAUACCCUAGAAAAAUUAGAUAGAGGCUUGAAAGGACUAGAUCCAGUACAUUUGAAAGAGCUCUCAGUACAAGACAACUUUGUUAAGUGUUUUUGUAGUGGUGUUCUAAUAGCAGCUUCGUAGUUUUAGUCUAAUGUUUUUGUUGUACAUUUUUAACAACCGAAUCUAAAAUCCCUCCGUACUUUAAAGUCCCUCCUCCAGACAUCACAUUAGAGAAUUAUAACUAUUCAACAUCCUUGGUGCAUUGGCAGAUUAAUGAUUGUAUCACGGAAUUUUGGCUAAGUUCCUUGAAUUAUUGAACCGUUAAUGCUUUCCAAAUGUUUUACUUUGAUUCAUUGUCUCACAUUUUCCAUGGUACAAGUUUACAUGAUUGCAAGCCGAUAGAAAGAGAUAGAUGUAGGGAGAAGUGGGAAUUGGGGGAGAGAGAGAGUGAGUGAGGGGUGCGGUUGCUUUUUAAAGAUUUCCUUGAAAUUGUUUCUGCAGUUUUUUUUUUUGGGUGGAUUUUCUCGAGUUCUUUCUAUUUGUUUGGAAUUGUUUCAUUUUUACUGAGAUUCUUUUGGUCCCUGUCACUAAACUCUGAUUUCUACUAUUAAUUGCUGCUGAAAUGUGACUUUUGCUAUUAAUUUUGUAAAUUAAUUAAGAUGCUUAAUGUUCCCUUAAUUGUGAUUAAGAUGGUCACAAUCCUACCAUCCUCUGUAUGCUCUGCCAUGUCCGCCGCCAAUGUUUUAUGUUCCGAUUUUUACUUUUUAAUCCUUUCUUACAACAUUUAAAUAAUCAGGUUGAAAUAGUAAUUCUAUUUUUCGACAAACGAUAGGUUAAAUUGUUAGUUGUUAUGAGAGAAGGAGAUCGUUUUAGAGAUCAAACCCGCAUCAAAAUAUAUGAUGAUUUCUGCAAAUGCGAUCAGCAGUUGCAUUUUACAAUAUACAACUUCAGUUAGCAUCAGUUUCUUAAUGAGUGGCAUGUGAAUUCUUAAUUUAAUUUCGGAAAAAAAUGCAUUUAAAUUUGGUGGUAUGUGAUGAACUUAGCAUUCUGUCUUUUAUUAUAUACUGGUGAUGGACAUUUUUAGCAUAUUGGAUUUAUCAUUUUCUAUAAAAUGAAGCUUCAUUCUCGCUAUGUUGUUGAUGUUUUUUUGUGAUUUCAGUUUAUAGUGCUUCUAAAUGCUGUUUUAAUUUAGGAAUUUGAAUAAUUGUUUAAAUGGGAUUGGAGGGUGAUAAAUAUUUCUAGCUAGGGAAAGGUCGCAUCCAUGUGUUGGUCGAAUUGAUGGAUGUAAAAAAUGAAUAUGGCAAGGUGUAAAAAAUGAAUAUGGAUGAACGUUUAGCUACUGCAUGUAGAUUCAGCUUUCCUUUGCAUUUGAGUGAGUUGGAAACCGAGUGGAACAGUUUGAGAGAGGGAGGGACGGAGGGAGAGAGAGAGAGAGGACGAUGUUGGGAUUUUGGUAAAGAUUUGAGCUUUAGUGGUAAGCAUGCUGAUUUGAGCUCACAGAAAAACCCAACAGUAUGUAGAUUGAAUUGAGUUGGGAACUGAGUGGAAAAAUGUUAGAGAGAGGAUUGUGUAUAGUUCUCAAAGCUUCUUACGUUGUUUUCUGAUGCAUCUUUGAGCCACUGGCCUUAGGUGGAGUCUUAUACUGCAAUAUUAUGUGCUAAUCUAAUAAACCCUGCAACUUAUUCGUCUUUGUCAUGAGUAAGUUUUGGUUUUUUUCAUUGGAAUAGGGAUUUAGUGGAUGAUUGUUUUUAACGCAUAUUAGUUAAAAUGAGUUGAGUAUUGGGUGCCAAUCCCAUGUCUGCAAAUCACAGUAGCCUAAGGAAGAAACACUGUCUGCACGAUCUAUAAUACCUAUUCACGCAAGAAUCUUUUCCCAAACUAAAAAGCUUACAUUUCCAAACGUGUAAAGGAUGGGCCACUAUCAUCUUACUUUUUCAAUACCUAAACCAUGCAGUGAUGCAUGGGCUGGAUAUUGCUCCUUUCAAGUUUCAAACCAUUAAAUGCUAAAGAUUUCUGGAUAAAUCAUCGUAGAAGUCGAUUCUACAGAUUCCUUCUUAGUUACACUCAGAUGAUAAUGUAUUUAUUGUCCUUGACAUGUUUUUAAAGUUUGCAUUUUCAAUGUAUAUUUCAUUAACUAAGCUUUAUCAGCGGAAUAUCAUCGCAAAUUUGUUACGGAAAAUGCUAUUGCUAGAUUCUGAUAUAUCUACUUUAGUUUUAAGGAUUACACAUUGUUUUACGAUAUAAAAUAGAUGUUCUGCCUUGAUUUGAUGCGGGGGUAUGCAUUAGCUAACAUUAAUUCUGCUUAGUAUUUCUCAAAUUCAUUUUGGGUUAAAAAGUUGGAGCUUUGGAUCGGGUUUUUUCUUUAUUCAUGUUGGAAGAAUACAUGCAAGUCAUAUCUUGUGUUAAAAUGCAUGCAUGAAAUAAACUUGUUGGAUGACUAGUGAAGUUAGGCUAGUCAACAUUCUUUGUGUAAAAUGCAUGCAUGAAAUAAACAUGUUGGAUGACUAGUGAAGUUAGGCUAGUCAACAUUCUUUGUGUAAGUUAAGCAAGUUAGGCAAGUUAGGCUUAUGUCUACUUUCUUUUCCUAUAUAUAUGUUUCAUUUGUAAUUGUUUCUUCAUGAAAUACACAUAAAAAAUUCUACAUGGUAUCAGAGCAGGUUCAUUUGUAACCUGUCUCUGCCAUUCUUGCUGCUGCAAUUUUUUCUUUCUUUCAAAGUCUAAGUCAUGACUGAAGAAAGUUCUGUGAACCAUGAUGAGGAAACCCGGCACAAUCUCUCUCCAAACUUCUCAGACGUUGAGGUUAACACCAAUCAACGUUUGUGUUCAGUUCUCUUGAACGAGUUCAAUUAUCUUCCUUGGUCCCGAGCUGUUUCACUAGCUCUCGGAGGCAAAGGGAAGUUAGGGUUUGUAAAUGGAAGCGUGGAAGCUCCAGACAGUUCUUCCUCUACAUACAAUGCAUGGCUCUGCAAAGAUCAACUUGUCAUGUCCUUGCUGCUCAAACACCAUGGAGAAACAUGUUGCUGAAAUUUUUAGCUACUCCAAUUCCGCACAUGAUCUUUGGAAAGCUUUGCAGGAUAUGUAUGGAAAUCAAAACAACUAUGCACGGGUCUUCCAAUUAAAGAAGGACAUUGACAGUGCUCAACAAGAAGGGAAAGCAUUUGUUCAACACCUUGGGAGCCUCAAAGCCAUGUGGAAUGAGUUGGAUGUAUAUCUCCCUCAUACCACAGAUCCUACCAUUCUCCUAAAACGAGCUGAGGAAGACAAAAUUUAUCAGCUGUUAGGGAGUUUGAGCUCUGAGUACGAGGACCUAAGGAGUCACAUCUUGAUGAGUCAAGACCUGCCUACCUUCAACAAUGUUUGUGCAACUAUCCAACGAGAAGAAGUAAGGAAGAAGGUUAUGAAUGUUGAUCACAAUCCUAGAUUAACGGAGACUCGGGCAUAUGCAUCAAAGUACAAGAACUCAUAAGCCAAGGUAUACAAGGGAAGAAACACACAUCUAAAAUGCAAAUAUUGCAAUGGUGUUGGUCAUGAGGAAGACAAGUGUUGGGAACUUCAUCCUGAACUCAAGCCUAAGUUCAGCAAAGAUGGAAGGAUGAUACCAAGGUCCUCACAACAAUUUCAAACCUCAUUUCAAGGCACAACUUGCUAAUGCUCACGCUCCUACUAUCUCACAAGGAUCCAUGGAGUUCACUGCCAAUCCAUUGUCAUUAAUCAAUGAAUUUGCAGCUUACCUACAAAGUAAGGGGCACGGAGGAGGCUCAUAUGGUCAAGGCAAUGAAGAGGGUAGUCACACACACAGCUAUGUUGGGACAAUUUGCCGGAUUUCUUGCUGGAAAUGAGAAAGUUCCAAAGGGAGAAGCAUCAGGUAUACUCAAAGCCUUUACUACUGCCCUAUUAACUAGUACUGAAAUUGAUUGUUGGAUAAUUGAUUCAGGCGCCACAGAUCAUAUGACAAACAAAGUUACAAAUUUACAUCAUUUUAAAAAAAUUUCAAGCCCCUCACAUGUGUCUAUUGCAAAUGGAAAAAAUGUCUUAGUUUUGGGAAAAGGAGAAAUAAACUUACUCUCUCAAAAAACACCUUCCACUGCCCUCUAUGUACCAACCUUUCCCUUCCAACUUUUGUCAAUUGGAAAGAUCACCAACACCCCUAAACUGCCGUGCUAUUUUCUCACCAAAUAAAGUAAUGUUUCAGGAUGUUCUCACCAUGAAGAUGAUUGGUGAAGGGGUCUUCAUAAAUGGACUUUACUACCUGUGCAAGAAUGCAUGUUUCACUCAGGCUCUUCAAGCUCAAUCGAAGUCCAUAGAUGAAAACCAACUUUGGCAUAGGAGAUUAGCUCACCCCUCUGAACUUGUCUUGUCGAAACUGUUUCCAAAUUUUUGUAACCCCUAUCCUACUUGUGAUACUUGUCAAUUUUCUAAGUUUACUAGGCUACCUUUUGGUAAUUCAAUGUCUAGGACAAGUAAACCUUUUGAAAUGGUACACACCGAUGUAUGGGGACCUGCAACUGAAUCAAUGGAAGGUUUUAAAUAUUUUGUUCUAUUUGUUGAUGAUUUCUCUCGAACAAGUUUUCUAUAUCUUAUGAAAUCAAAAAGUGAAGUCCCUACCAUUUUCAAAGACUUUCACAUGCAUGUUAAAACGCAAUUUCAAUCAAACAUUAAGGUUUUAAGGUCAGAUAAUGGCACUGAAUUUCUAUCCAACAACAUGCUUCAAUACAUAAGUUCUCAGGGUAUCAUACAUCAAACCAGCUGUGUGGGGACUCCCCAACAAAAUGGAGUAGCCGAGAGGAAAAAUAGAGAUCUCUUGGAAAAAACUCGUGCUCUCAUGAUUCACAUGCACGUUCCAAAGAAAUUUUGGUCGUUUGCCAUCCUUACUGCCACUUAUCUCAUCAAUCGACUUCCAAGUCGUGUGCUAGGGUUUAAAUCUCCUUAUGAAGUUCUCAAGGGGAGGAAAAUAGAUUUGACACAUCUCAAGGUGUUUGGUUGUGUGUGUUUUGUUCACAUCCAAACCUUGAACCGUGACAAAACUAGAUGCCAGGGCAACCAAGUGUGUGUUUAUGGGAUACUCGACCACUCAAAAGGGAUACAAGUGCUUCAAUCCAGUCACUAAGAAGUGCACAGUUUCAAGAGAUGUGAAGUUCGAAGAAGACUAUCCCUAUUUUACAAGUCAGGGGGAGGAUUUAGUUGACAUGUUCCCACUCCCUCAAAACUUUAAUUAUCCGAUGUUGGAAAAGAGAUCAGUCAUUGUAAGUCCAGAUUGUGAAGAAGUUCAAACUGACCAAAUUACUGCCAGUGAAAGUGAAGACGAGCCCUACUCUGAUCCUUCUCCGCCCUCUACAGAGUCUCAGGUGAUUAAAAGAAAUCCUCCUCGAAUCAGAAAACCUCCAGCUAGGUUGCAGGACUAUGUUACAUAUGCCUCACGACAUCCAAUCAAUGAAUGUAUCAGCUUUAGUAAGUUCUCAACAUCUCAUGCUGCAUUUCUCAGUGAAAUUGAUAAGCACUAUGAACCAAGAAGCUUUCAAGAAGCUUCUCUUCUCCCACAAUGGAACCAAGCCAUGAAAGAAGAGAUUCGUGCACUGGAAGAGAAUUGCACCUGGAGCCUAGUUCAACUACCACCAGGAAAAAAGGCUGUUGGAAGUCGUUGGAUUUACAAGACUAAAUUCAAAGCUGAUGGAUCUAUCGAGAGACACAAGGCUAGACUUGUUGCUCGAGGUUUCACCCAAACCUUUGGUGUAGAUUAUAAGGAAACAUUCGCACCGGUGGCCAAGAUGAACUCAGUCAGGGUUUUACUGUCAGUUGCAAUCAAUUGUGGAUGGUCACUCUACCAAAUGGACGUGAAGAAUGUUUCCUUCACGGCGAGCUGCAGGAAGAAGUGUAUAUGCAACCUCCUCCAGGCUAUGAUGGUAUUAAAGGCAACAUGGUUUGUAAAUUGCACAAGGCAAUAUACGGAUUGAAACAAUCACCAAGAGCUUGGUAUGCCAAGCUCAGUUCUGUUCUGGAAAAGGCUGGAUUCAUGCGAAGUAAUGCUGAUUCUUCGUUAUUUGUAAGAACUGGCACCAGGGGGAAGUUGGUGGUCCUCGUCUAUGUUGAUGAUCUUAUCAUCACUGUAGAUAAUACCGUGGAGAUUGAGGCACUAAAACUCUCACUACAUCAAGCUUUCGCUAUCAAAGAUUUGGGGAGGUUAAAGUAUUUUUUGGGGAUCGAAAUGGCAACAUCUUCAAAAGGACUGUUUCUACAUCAACGGAAAUAUGUAUUGGACCUCCUUCAAGAAGCAAAAAUGCUUGACUGCAAGCCUGUUAUCACUCCCGUUGAUUGUAAACUGAAGCUCAGCAUAGAUGGAGAAGCCAUGCAUGAUGUAAGCUACUAUCAACGAUUAGUAGGCAAGCUCAUAUACCUCACUAUCACUCGUCCAGAUAUCACAUAUGCAGUGAGCUUGGCUAGUCAGUUCAUGCACUCUCCCACUGUUGAUCACCUUAACCUUGUUAAGAGAAUCCUUCGUUAUCUUAAGGGUUCAAUUGGGCAAGGAAUUACAAUGCAUAACAAUCAGUCCACUGUCAUUAGUGGCUACACAGAUGCAGACUGGGCAGGUAAUGCAAUUGAUAGGAAAUCAAUCACAGGCUAUUGUACAUUUGUUGGUGGAAACCUUGUCACAUGGAAGAGUAAGAAGCAACAGGUAAUUGCUCGUUCCAGCGCAGAGGCUGAGUAUCGAGCCAUGGCAGCCACUGCGUGUGAACUCAUUUGGCUUAAAGGGCUUCUUUCAGACUUAGGGUUUCCUAGUUCUACUCCUAUGAUGCUUAUGUGUGAUAAUCAGGCAGCCAUGCAUAUUGCUGCCAAUCCUGUGUUCCAUGAAAGAACCAAACAUAUUGAAGUGGAUUGUCAUUUCAUCAGAGCUCAAGUUCAAACGCAAAUCAUCCGGACCAUGUUCACACGAAGCCAUGAUCAACUAGCAGAUCUUUUUACAAAGGCACUAGCAUCAUCUCAGUUUCAUCGGUUAUUGGGCAAGCUUGGCUCAGUGAAUCCCCUCGAUCCAGCUUGAGGGGGAGUGUUGGAAGAAUACAUGCAAGUCAUAUCUUGUGUUAAAAUGCAUGCAUGAAAUAAACAUGUUGGAUGACUAGUGAAGUUAGGCUAGUCAACAUUCUUUGUGUAAAAUGCAUGCAUGAAAUAAACAUGUUGGAUGACUAGUGAAGUUAGGCUAGUCAACAUUCUUUGUGUAAGUUAAGCAAGUUAGGCAAGUUAGGCAAGUUAGGCUUAUGUCUACUUUCUUUUCCUAUAUAUAUGUUUCAUUUGUAAUUGUUUCUUCAUGAAAUACACAUCAAAAAUUCUACAAUUCAGCUAUCAUUUUCUGCUUAGGAGACUCUCUUAAACUGUGUGAAACUGUGCUCAUUAGGCUGGGCAGAGCAAUGACAAGCUAAAAACAAAACAAAAACAAGCAGAAUUAUCACAUGUAGUGCAGGAUAAAUUCUAAACGACCCAAAUCUGGAUGGUAAAAUACUUGGAGUUGGAAUUAAUAGGAUCGAUUGAAACAUGGAUUUUUUUUUUAUUAGAUUGGUAUAUCUGACUUAAUUAAGAAGUUGUUUAAGACACAGUCAUUAGGGAAUUUCUGUAAUUGAACGUAGUUGUUUUCAUGAGGUUAAAUACAAUAAGGUGAUUCUAUGCCAAGAAGUGAUUUUAUAUGGACACAUUGUAUGAUGUAAAAUGGUAAAAGGAGUACCUGUUCCUGUCCAGCCUUAUGUUUUCUGAGUCUUGCUUAUUUUUCAUUAGUCAUAUGAAAGAUGCUGCAAUAUCGUGGGAUCAAAAUAGCUAAGAAACUGGACGUGGACAUCUUUAUUCUAUAGAGCGUAUGUAAAAGUAAUUUAGACUUUAUUAGUUUAUAUUAAUCCUUCACUUCUGUUCAUAUAUUGUAAUUUCUAUAUGGUUUGUCCACAUUUGUCUUAGGAGACUCUGGGGCUGCUUAAAUUUUAUAUAUUCAGUUGCAUAGAGUCGGCAUGACAUGCACAGCGAUUGUCAGAUUGCCACCCUUAGUUGGUGAUAUUUUCUUUACAACACAUUCAAAUUGAGGAUUUAGAAAAUCUAAUAAUAAAACUCAAACAUAUGUUCGAUGCUUUUUGUUUUCAUUUUCGGUUAAAAGGUUUCAGCUUUGGAUUGGGAUUUACCUUUAUUAAUCUAUAAUUUUGUGCUCAGGACACCAUCUUGGGGGUCUUAACAUGAUUGUUCUUCUAUUUCAUAGACUCAAAACGUGUCUAGUGUUUCAUUGAAUUGGUAUACCUUUGCUCAUUUAACUCAAAUUUAAUACGGUUUGGUCCUCCAAUUUCUCUAAAUUGCCAACGGAUUUAUUUUCUUUGGAAAUUUCAGGAACUCUGGUUGUGGUAGGAACAAGCCGGCUCCUUGCUAUUUUUAGGUAUAUGAUUAUGUGCCCUGAUUGCAUGUUCAAAGUCUAAUUAGUUAUAUAAACUUUUAAUUUAUCUUUGCAAAGCUUUUGUACUUGGAUUUUAGUUUAGAUAUGCGAUUUGUUUGUGAAAAAUUAACGAGAAGACUAAUCAUGGGGACAUUCUUAUUUCUGAAAUUUUCUCUUCAGCAUUGUUUCUUGAAUAAAUUUGGAUUGGUAGAUGUAGGGGUAGAGUAACCCCCGUGGUGUAAAUAAAAGGUAUAGGCGUAAUGAUUUCUAGGUUUAGAAUUCAUUGAAAAAUAUGAUAUAAUGCUGCGUUCUCUAAUAUUUUUUUUUUUUUUGGCUGUUUGCUGUUCUAAACUUUUGAACUCCUUUUUGGAUUGAUCUUUGUUAUUUUUGUUUUUGGGGGUAUCUGAUUGGUCAAGGUUGCCCAAUCUUGGUUGUACUUUUUCCCAAGACAGGGCACAUUUGAAACUUUGAAUUCUUGAGUUUAUAUUUUAAUUCUCAUUAGUUAAUGCUUAAUAUUUGGCCUUUUAUUUUGAGAUUAGAAUGAAUACGUUUGGCCUGAAAGACAGUAAACUGAAUUAAAAGCUGGCUUAUUUUCCAUUGGCCAUCAAUUAGGGUGAGAAAACAUUGAAUUGAGAUCAUUAAACAGCACUUAUAUAGGGCACUAUACCAAAUGAGCUCGAAGAGGACUCAGCAAUUGAAGAACAAUUGAUGGCAUACACCUUGGACAUGAUUAAGUUAGUUGAACAUUAUACUAUAACAAGUACAUAUUUCUGGAGUCAGUUUCACACGCAGACACGCACACACACAUCUGACGUAAAGUUAGUCUAUUAGAUGGUUUCCAGAUUGACCCCCCCUUGCCAAAUCUAUUUCAAGGCUGGAAGGAGAGUUAAAACAUAUGUUAUUGUCUUAUAUGUUUGUAUUUGAAUGGUAACGAUGUUGUUCUUCUGGUGGAAAAUUUUUCCUUUGAAUCCAUUUCAGCUUAGGCUCUACUUUUUUUUUUUUCAUUUCAGCUUCAUUUUCAUGUUCAUCAUGUCCUGUUGGUAUGUGUUUUGUGUUGGCAUUGGAGGGUGGUGGGUUGUCGUUUUGUUUUUCUUUUCUCUGAUUGUAAGACCUUCUAACGAUUGAAUUUAUUUUAUGCUGAAACACUCAUUUUGAUCCCCUAGUUUGAGUUUUUCAGUUACGUAUCAAUACUUAACUGCUGGAUUUUUCUUAAGGAAAUUGGAUAUAGGCUAUAUACUAUGUGUAAAAGUCAUGGAGAUCAAGUUUUGUGCUUUCAUUUGUCACAAUGCAGUUUUUUGUUUUCAUAAAUCAAGUUUUGUGCUUUCAUUUUUCUUUUAAAUUUUAAUUUGUCUUUCAAUCAGUUUUUUGUUUGAGAGAACUCUUAAUUUUCAUGGAAAUAUAGUUAUUUGUGAAUAUGGAAACUUGAAUCUGUGUAGACAUCAGAGUUCUUAUGGUUGUGAUAUGAAAUUUAAAUACAAACUUCCCAAUUUGUUUUUGGAAUUUUAACUAAACUUGCGUUGUAGGUAGAUCAUGCUAUUAAGAUAACAAAAAAAUAGGUAGAUUUGUGUAUGCAAUGAGUUGUAGUGAACAUUUGGCAGUAAUAGAAAUGGUUUAGGUGUGCACAGUUUUGGCCUAAAUGGUUAUCACACGAGCGUAAAUGUUUGUUUCAUUUGUGAUUGAACUCGAAUUUGUUGGAAAGCUUUUCAAUUUAUGAAUAUGGAAAGCUUUUCGUCUUUACUUCUAAACUUAUUUUCUGCUUGGUUGUUGAGAAGGUGAUGGAAAUAUAGUUAUCUGUUAAUAUGGAAACUUGAAUCUGUGUAGACUCCUUGGGUUGUCUGUUGUGUUCAGUGGAGGUUUAGUGUUUUAAUUUUGAAUGAUUUGUUUUUCGUUUCAUGGAAAUGACCUAUUAUUUGAUUUAAUUGAGUAAUUUAAUGGAAGUAUAUUCUCUUUUUUUUCUUUUCCAUAUUUCGUUUUGUCUGCAACCAAACAGGGUAAGGAACUGUAAUCUUUUUAAUUACUCUGCUAUCUCCGUGAGUUAUGAAAAUCAGACCUUUUGUUUUAUUUCUGUAUAUGUAGUUCCGAAGGAAUCAAGUGCCAAAAUUAGAAUAAACAUCCUUUAGUCAAGUUACGCACUUUUCCAUAGAAUGUUUGGUUUAGGGAUCCCUUAUACAAGCACAAUAUUCUUAUGUAUUUAAAUCGUAGUUGACCGUCAUGGUUUAAUAAGUGUGAAAACUGUCUUUAAGUCUUAACUAUACCAUUGGAGCGAUACAGUUUUAGUUAUUUUAUUGGAUCCGUUUGUUAGCGCUUUGAAUUCUUACUCUGAAUCUCACUCAUUUUUUGCAGUUUAGAUUGGACUCUCAUCACGGCAUUGUAAUCUGCUCUUGCUGCUGCGAUUAAUCUAACGGUUCUGAGGCGUUGCAUUUGAAUCAAGACUUCGGUAUGCUAGCUGAACUUAAAUGCAUUCUUUUCCCAUUCUUUCCGUUUGAGGCAGCGCAACUUUAUGAUCUUUUAUAUUGAUUGUUUGGUUUGAUCACCUUUUGUUAUUCGUUUGCUUUAUGCUUUGUUUUUCAUUCUUGGUUGUCUCUGUGAUUGUCUCAUUGUCCAGAGGUCGGAUGGUUAGUUUUUUAUUUUUUUUGUUCUAAUUUUGUUUGUGCAAUUCCGUUAUUGUUUGAAGGCCCGUUGCUAUCUCUGUGAUUCUGGUUUAACCCGGUGCUCUUAAUUCUUUAUCGGAUGUUGUUGGUCAUUUUAUCUCUUUUAUUUUGUAUUGGUUGGUUGGUGUUUUCGUUUGGUUUUCUGAUGGUGAACUAUCUCAUCCUCCCCGAAGUGUUUUAACAUGUUUUGUUGAUAAUUGCGCUCUCUAAACGAACUCGACAUUUUUUUAGAAAAAUCACAACUUCCAUAUUUAAGAAAAUGUGUGGCUUUUUAGCAAUGCAUGAAUGCAGCUAAGAUGUUCUGAAAAAUUCAUGGAUAUUUUACAUUCAAACCACAAGUAUCAUUAACUUAUAAAUAAUUAAGUUAUGUAUUUUCUUUAUCGGCUAUCACUUCAAAAUUUGAACUAAAACACUGUCAAAAAGCUUUUUGGUUGUGUUUUCCUUAUUCAUUAUGUAAGUUUCGCAAAUCUUCUACAUGCUGCAUAUUUUUUUGUUUGAACAUCUAUGGUUGACGAGUUACCUGCUCAAACGCCACUUUUUCUGUGUUUUGCUAACUGCUAAGUGAGUUAUGUAGGUUGCAAAGCAUAUAUUUGGCCGUCUUAACUGCAGGGGCAAAAUAUGUGUGAAUUGCAGCUUCCUUCUGUUUCUACAGUUUCAUAUAUGGAAACAGGCCUUCUGUUUUUUUUUUUUUUUUUGCCUUUGAACAAUUAUGGUUCCAAAAUUAGCUACUUGAACAAGUCCUCAACACUUUCUGCUUUAAAUUACCUGUUGAACUAGCUGCCUACACUGCAGGACACAUGUUAUGUGUGAACUAAAUGUUUCUUCUUUUUCUUAAGCAAACGGAAAUUGUUUGGAAACCAUCUCUUUCUAAUCAAACACGUACAGUUUCUUCCCACUCAUUGUGCAUUGUGUUUAUAUGCCAACUCACUUAAAUAUGUAUAACAGCACAAUUGCUUAUCUUAUUGGGCUCAUUCACUCAUGUAUCCCUCUGUUUGUUUGUAAUUGUGUUGAAUUUAUUCAACUUAAAUGUGUUUUAUCCAUCCGAUUACGUCUGAAACAGUGGUUCCCGCAGCAGCGUGCGGGCGUAUUUUCUAGUUUUUAACAAAAUUUUGCAAACUAAAUGACACGAUUGUUGAUGAGUGGAUUAUUAUUUUAGUGUUGAUUAACAUGCUUAUUUUAUUGUGGUGACACAUCAUUUAGUUUGCAAAUUUAGUCUCCUUGUCAUUACCUAUUUGUGUAUGAUGGCGGAGGCAUCAAUAAUUAGUUCUCACCAUUUGAAUUUGUGCAAUUGUGACAACAGAUCAAGCUUCCAAAUCUCCAAGGAACUAGUCUUUGACUGUUGAUCUUCCCUUCGUCGAGUCUGUAUUUGUUGAUCAUAAGCGGAGUCAGAUUUGAACUUCCCUGUAAGUUCUUAUUAUUCACUGAAUAAUACAUUAGUUGUUUCUCAUUUUAUUUGAACUACUUUUUAUUCAUUUGUUUCUUCACUUAAUUUGUGCAGCUCUUCACCUCAAUAUUGCUCAAGAACGCUUCCUUAUUUCUUUGGUUGCUUGGAGUUCUCAGCGCUCCUAAGAUGCCACUUGGAGAGGUUUUUCUUGCGGCGUUUCUACAGUUGCUGCUUGACAGGUUGACCCCUCGCGACAUUCUCAACUACUUUGGAAACUUCCGGGGUGUUGGAAAGAAGCUGGAGAAGUGGAGGGCCACGUUAACUACAAUCGCAGCAGUGCUGAGCGACGCCGAUGAAAGACAACGGACUGACGAUGCUGUAAAACUAUGGCUCAAUAAUCUCAGAGACCUUGCUUAUGAUGUCGAAGACAUGUUGGACAAAUUUGCGACUCAAAUGUUGAAGCGCACGAUAGAGGGACGUGAUCAAGCCAGCACGAGCAACAAGGUGCGAAACUCACUUUUCAAAAUUAAAUUGAAUUGGAAUAUGAACUCCGAAAUGAAGAAGAUUACGGAGCGGUUACAAGACAUAUCUGACCGAAAAGUUAAGUUUAGCUUGAAAGAUACUGGGACGUCUGCUAAGGAAUCGCGAAGUCUACCAUGUUCAGGCGUGUUAGAUGAAAAGCUUCUUGUUGGAAGAGAUGGUGACAAAGGGAAGAUUAUUGAAUUGUUGAAAAAGUCUACCAAUUUUGGUGUGGUUGCUAUAGUUGGCAUGCCCGGAGUUGGGAAGACGACACUUGCUCAACUUGUAUUCAACAACAAAGAUGAUGCCAUGAAGGAGUUUGAGCUCAAGGUCUGGGUAUCUGUGUCCGAUGACUUCGAUGUUGUGCGAGUGACAAAGGCAAUUCUUGAAUCAAUGAAACCCCUACCCGUUCAAGUGGAGGAGUUUAGUAAAAUGCAGCAUGAUUUGAGUGAGCAAUUAAGAGGAAAAAAGUUUUUAAUCGUUUUAGAUGAUGUUUGGAACAAAGGUGACCGUGAUCUAAACGAUCUCUGGUUAAGACUUAAAUCCCCUUUUGGCGUCGGAGCAGGAGGAAGUAAGAUUAUUGUGACAACCCGUGAUUUAAAUGUUGCAAAGAUUAUGGGAGCCACUGGAUUUCAUAAUUUGGAAUGUAUGGCAAAUGAUGAUUGUUUGGAAAUAUUUGAGCGACAUGCAUUCGGGGAAGUUAAUAGUGGAAAACCAGUAAAUUAUGAGUUAAUUCGGACAAAAAUUGUUGAAAAAUGUUGUGGCUUACCAUUAGCUGCGAGGACUCUCGGUGGUCUUUUACGUUGCAAAGAAACAGAUGAGUGGGGAGAAAUAUUGGACAACAAACUAUGGAAUCUCGCAGAUAACUGUAACCUUCCCCGCGUACUAGAGUUGAGCUAUCACUAUCUUCCAUCACAUUUGAAGAGGUGUUUUGCCUAUUGCUCAAUACUUCCAAAUGACUACGAAUUUGGGGAGAAGCAGCUCGUCCUUUUGUGGAUGGCAGAGGGUUUGAUUCAACAAAAACCUGACAACAAUAAACAAAUGGAGGAUUUGGGCCGCGACUACUUUCGAGAGCUAUUAGCAAGGUCGCUGUUUCAAGAAUCAAGCAAAAACAAUUCACGAUAUGUAAUGCAUGACCUCGUUUCUGAGUUAACACGAUGGGCUGCAGGAGAAAUAUGUUUUAGGUUGGAAGAUAAGCAAGGUGAUAACUUGCAAAGCACUUGCUUUCGAGGGGCUCGCCAUUCGUCUUUCAUUGCUGGUGAAUUUGAUGGAGUUAAGAGAUUUGAGGACUUUCCAAAAGCUGAACGUUUGCGAACAUUCCUGCCACUUUCGCUUUCAUAUUCCACGGGAUGGUUAAAAUUUUUGUCUCGUCAGGUUACUUUUAAGCUAUUACCACAGUUGCAAUACUUACGAGUGCUCUCGUUCAAUGACUACAAAAUAACUGCGCUGCCAGAGUCAAUCGGUGAUUUGAGGUUGUUACAGUAUCUUGACCUUUCCUACACAUAUAUAACUAGUUUGCCUAAAUCGAUAAGUACUCUUUACAACUUGCAGACAUUGAUAUUGGAACACUGUUACUAUUUGAAGUCAUUGCUUGCGGACAUGAGUAAUUUAAUUAAUUUGCGCCAUCUCAACAACUCAUAUGUAUCUUCGUUGGAAGGAAUGCCUCCAAAUCUAGGUAGCUUGGUGAAUCUCCAAUCUUUGCCUAAUUUUGUGGUCAGUGGUGGAAGUGAUCAAUCAGGAAUAAGAGAGAUAGGGCCCCUAUCGCAUCUCCGAGGGACAUUGUGCAUCUCAGGAUUGGAGAAUGUGACUGAUGUCGAGGAUGCCAGGAGGGCCAACUUGAAAUGCAAGGAGAGGCUUGAUUCGUUGGUCCUAAAAUGGUCUCAUUCAAGCGACACGAGAGAAACGGAAUCCGUUGUGCUUGACAUGUUAGAGCCUCAUACAAAGCUCAAGGAGCUCACCAUCAAGAGUUAUGCCGGAGAGGAAUUUUCAUCAUGGGUUGGAGGUCCUUUGUUCUCUAAUAUGGUGCUUGUGUGCUUACAGAAAUGUAACAAUUGUUUAUCGUUGCCUCCUCUCGGACAAUUGCCUCAUCUCAGGGAACUUUAUAUUAGUGGAAUGAAUGCAGUGGAAAGUGUUGGUGCUGAGUUUUAUGGAGAGCGUAUGUUGCCUUUUCCGGUAUUAGAGACUCUUGAGUUUGUGGAAAUGCAGCAUUGGAAGGAAUGGCUUCCUUUCCAAGCCGAUCACGAAGGUGGUGCUUUCCCUUGCUUGAAAACACUCUUAGUAAAAAAAUGUUCUAAACUGGAGGGUAAACUGCCAGAGAACCUCAAUUCUUUAGCUAAGCUUAAAAUUGUUGAAUGUGAAGAAUUAGUGGUUUCAAUUGCCAACUGCAAACAACUUCGUCAAUUAAACAUUGACGGUUGUAAAGUGUUGGUGCAUACAGCUGCUAAGGUUGAGUUUGAGUUGUUAGAGUCCUUGUGCCUUUCAAACAUUUCGGAGAUGAUGUCUCUGCAAACAGGGGAGUUGUUGAAGAAGGGAUUAACCAAGGUUAGAGAUUUGAAGAUCAGUGGAUGUGAGGAGGUGACGUCUUCACUGAAGAAUGAGGAGGGUAGAUUAUUGCAGCAGUUGACUUCUCUUGGCAGUUUGGAAAUUGAAGACAACUCUCGUCUAGUUGAAGAAUUGGGAAAAGAAGCUGAGGAGUUGCAAAUAUCGGAGUGCAAGCUUGAAU